rnacentral:lncRNA from 1 species
CUUAGUAAACUAGGGAAGCUCAGUGUCACUAACUGCCAUAAGUUAUCUGCCUUGCCUGAAGGGAUUGGAAAGUUGGAAAAUUUAGAACUGUUGAGGCUAAGAUCGUGCGCUGAACUGUCGAAGCUUCCAACCUCAAUGAAGAACCUUGGAAAGGUAAACUUUCUUGAUAUAUCUGAUUGCUUCAGCAUCAAGGUGUUGCCCGAAGACAUUGGUGAAAUGAGUAGUUUAAGAAGGAUCAACAUGAGGCAAUGCUUACGGUUGCAGGAGCUGCCUCCAUCAGUCGUGGAUCUUGAGCAGUUAGAGGAAGUGGUCUGUGAUGAGGAGACAAAAUAUUUAUGGGAAUCUUUCUUGUCGUGUCUCAACAACGUAAGGAUAAUUGUGGCCAAAGAGAAUAUCAACCUAAAUUGGCUCCACAAGACUCAGUUCUGAUAUAUGUGUAUCCUCAGUGAAGGUUGUUCUUUAAACUCUUUGGUUUGUGUUUUUAGUGGGGCUUAUGGAAACUCGACUGUAACAUAGUUUCAAAUUCAAUCGCUGUACAUUUGCUUGACUUUCUUGUUUGAAAAUCUGUAUGUGUAAUCCAACGCCACAAUCUGAUUCAUGUUCUCCCAAAAUAAAUUCAACGCCACAAGGUUGAAGAGUCCCAUAAAAUAAAGAACUUUCAUGUCACGGGAUCAGGUGUUAAUCUUGUUGUGGAUAAGUUUCUUUGGUAUUUAUAUUAAGGUCAAGUGGUCAAGUUUCCAGAACUGUUCAUAUAAUCGAGAUGUUGUUGAACCAUAUAUUUACCCAAAGAAAAUAUAUUAAUAAGAAAAAAGAGAAUCUCUACAACUCAUACACGCACGUGGACCUCGAUGUGUGACAAGUUUGAGUUCGUGUAUGUAUGGAACUCUCCCAAAACUCUCACGUUCUCCACUAGGUGAUGGCCUUCUCUCAACCUCUCUACAUCCUCGGAAAGUGGCACACGUAACAGAGUGGAUAAGGAUCUCUGAACUGCUCCUUGCGUCUAUAAAAUGACGAAGGCUAGAUUCAAAUAAAAGGAGGAGACUGACGACCAAGAGCUGAGAGAGGGUCAAGAGGGCAGCGGAGGAGAGAAGAACGAAAACUGCAAAAAUAGAAAGAGGCUUAACAGAAAGAGAAGAAAUGAGCAAAGGGCUGUAAUUACGCAGAACUUUCACGAGGAAGAAGAAUCAAAGGUAAAAGUUUUAUUCUUCUUUAUUAUUUAUUUCCUUACACUAAUCUCCACUUCAUGGCACGGGACCUUCGAAGCAAAGUUAGUUUCCUAGAUGCUCCUACAAGGAGAUGCUCCAGUGAAGGACCUCUCUCUAUAACAAAUCAAAAUGGUUCCAAUCCCUCUUUGCCCUAGAAGCAAUCUUCCGGAUCAAAGCCGCUGGGCAAGAAGAAAAACCAGAAGCAAUAACCCUUCUCCGCUAUCAAAGUGCUCUUCGAAAUUAGACUGACAAGGUUAGCUUUCCUGUGAUUGUAGCAGUUUGGCAUGCAAGAACAAAAAUGGUUCCUGCCACAAGAAAAGCACAGCAAUUCUUGCCUUUUUUUCGAAAGAACGUAUCCAAUUGGCAUAGAAGGAUGGUCGAAGUCUUCUCGUCAAGACUUUCUCGGCACAGCAUAUCUGCACGCAGACACAAAGGUGCCGGAAAGUAAACUCCUUCAAGGUGUUCAUCUUUAGCGGCUCAGAUCUACUCAUCAAUCAUUUUUUCGGCACAGCAUGUCUUCAUGUAGACACAAAGGUGCCGGAAAUUGAUCUUUACAGGGAAUGUCGAAACCUACUCGUCAAUAAUUUAUUCGGCAUAGCCUGUCUCUAUGUAGACACGGAGGUGCCGGAAAGUGAUCUUUAAGGGAAAAGUCUAAAUCUACUUGUCAAGAAUUUUCUCGGCACAACAUGUCUCCUAGUACACACGGAGGUGCUGGAAGGUGAUCUUUACAGGGAAUCAUGGACGAAGCCAAUGAAGGCUCACUGAGGGCAGAUGCUCCCACUCAAGUAAUUCAUUUGUUUAGUUGCAAACUACAAUUAUAUAAUAUACACAGGUUAUUUUUCAAGAAAAUAUAUGUAUCUAAUAUCUAACAUACAUUCAUUCUACUUAUACUCCAUAUCAAAUAUUAUAUGAGCAAUAGUGCUCUUGUUCUAUCAUUCAAACCGAAAAAAUCAUCUCCCGCCUAUCAUGUACUUAUAUUUUUCUCAUCACUUAGCCACUUUCCACUACUAUAUUGAAAUUUUUGUAACAUUGGAAUUGUGAUACAUCAUCAUUUGAAACCAUCCUUAAUAUCAUACUGUGUACAACCAUACUAUAAUAAAAUUUUCUUAGUUAUUUUUUGUUGCCCCCACUAGAAGAAAUUUUUGGCUUCAUCUCUACAGGGAAUGUCGAAAUCUACUUGUCAAAAAAAAAAAUUUCACCACAACAUGUCUCUAUGUAGAUACGGAGGUGCCAGAAAGUGAUCUUUACAAGAAAAGUCGAAAUCUACUCGUCAAAAAUGUUCUUGGCACAACUUGUCUCCACGUAGACACAGAAGUGCCGAAAAGUGAUCUUUACAGGAAAGGUCGAAAUCUGCUAAUCAAAGAAUUUCCAGCACAACAUGUCUAUAGGUGGAUGUGGAGGUGCUAGGAAAUUGACAUCUCUACACUAUGACAUUUGUACACUAACACCAGGGCCUGCCCAGGCCCAGUGCAGGUAGGGCUAGCAUUCGGGGUCCAAACAAAUUGGGGGCACCAAAAUGAUUAGGGUGAUAUAUUGAUAUAUGUUUUCAUAAGAGUAUAAAUUUAUAAAAUUUGGCUCAAUGAUAAAAAAAAUUAAUUAGAAGUGGUGGUAUUGUCAUUUGAAAUUAAUGAGGAGGUCACGGGUUCAAAACAUCAUAUGUGCUUAUUUACUUUUCAAUUUUUACAAAUUUCUUUUCAUAUAAGUAUAAAUUUAUAAAAUUUGGUUAAAUGAUCAAUAAGUUUAAUUAGAAGUUGUUGAUGCACAAAAUCUGGUGGAUCUUGGACCAACGUAAAUCCGGCCGUGAAUCACAUAAACGCACAAGAACACAAAGAUGUAUCGUGGUUCACCUCAAUGUUUGGGCUACGUCCACACUGAUGUUGAUUCCAUUUUACUGUAUGAAUGUAUAGAUUACAAUAGAUCGGCAAAUGAGCUCUCUGUGGAUGCAGCCCUUGCUAUUUUGCUCUCUAUGGAUGCAACCCUUGCCAUUUUGCUCUCUGUGGAUGCAGCCCUUGCCAUUUUGCUCUCUGCAAGGGAGCUCUAUUGUUGUGAGGGAUGUGAGACUCUCUUCUUUCUUCGCUCUUUGUGAAGGUGAGGACGAUCCCUUUUAUAGAGUAAGGGUGUCCUCCUCUUACAUAAAUCAUGGGCUCAAUAUCGAGGCCCAAUAUAUGGUACAACAGGAGUCCCCCAAGUCUUUAGUCAAGAGAGUCUUUUGGCUGGAGACUUUAAAUCCAAUCCAAGUACGAGCCGAAGUGGCUAGAUGUCGUCCAGAACUGGUACUUUACAUGAGACGAUACUUAACGUCAAGCAAGACUCAACUAGAGGUAGCACACGUUGCGAGGCUACUCGGCUAGAGGCGAUGCUUUCAGCGAGACGGUUACUCGGCUGGAGGCGGUGCUCGUUGCGAGGCGGCUCGGCUUGUGGCAUUCCUCGUUGUGAGUAUGCACUCAACGUCAGCGUGUGCUCAUUAUGAGUUGAUUCUUGAUAUGACUUUGGUCCACUUGUCGAGUUCGCAUAUUGGGUCUAUGUGCCAGAUCCUCGAAUCGGGUCCAUAAAUCGGGUCUUUGAGUCGGGGCCAUACGUAGGGUCAUCGAGUCGGGGCCAUCUAUAGGGUUUUUGAGUUGGGUCCGUGAGUCGAGGUUCGAGCUCAAGGGUGUCCAGGCACAUAAGUGUCCAAACAUGUGAGUGUUCGAGCAAGUGGGUGUCCGAUCAGACAAGAGAUCACCGUUCAAACUAAAUCUUUGUCACCAUAAGCAUGUGGCUUAUCAGUCUAUAAGUUGGUAAGCUUCUUUAAUCAUUGGCAAUGUUGAUCAACAGAGCUAGUUGCUCAAUAAUUCCUGACAAUAAAUGACAGUAUAAGUACAAACGUAUAAUGAAUAAAUCAAAUUAACAUAGUUUGGUAAUGCAAAAUAUUGUACCAUGUGCCUACUACAAAUAAAUAAUUUAUUAAGUUGUGUAGUAAAUCACAUGUUGCAUAAGUGACAUAGUUAAUGAGCAGUCAUUGAAUCACUCGGCAAUGAAUAAAUAUUUACACAAGUAAGUGAAAUAUGAGCCAGUACAUGUGAUAAUUAUGAGGUGAAUACCACAAAAUGAAAGGAUGUGAUGUCUGAUUAUGUCACAUGGCAUAGGAAUAGUGAUGUGCCGAAAGACUAUCAGCAUUAUAAUAAAAUAUUUAAACACACAUAUUUGUAUUGUGUAGUGUGCAUAAGCCUGUGAUACAUCACCACAACUUUAAAUAAUAAAACUUUGUGUGAUGUGCUUUGCCACGUUAUUGAUAGUGAUCAUGUGAUAAAUAUCACAAAAUAAUAAAAUAAUAAAUAAAUAAUUUGAGAAAACAUGAUGUAAAAAGUAAAGCUUUUUUUUUUUUUUUUCUUUUGGCAGAUGGCAGACAAAGGAAAAGUAAAGCUUUUUUCUUUUCGCAGAUGGCAGACAAUACCAAAAGGGAAUAAUAAUAGAAUUAUUAUGAGAAAGCUUAUUUUCUUCCUCUCUACUGUCGGUCUGGUUGAAGGUUAUGGCUUCCUUUGAUUACUUUUGGGUUGACAUUUCUGACGGAUUAAAAAAUCAAAAUCAAAUAAUAAAAAUCUAACUUGUUUUGGAAGAUGGAAAUAUGUCAGUGGUGUUGAACUUUCGGUCGCCGCCGUCUUCGGUGGUGGCUAAUAGGAGGAGUUUACCACCGAGCUUGGGCGAGGGCGAGGGCCUGGACUUGGGCGAGAGUGCUGACUCUAGAGAUGCAGAAGCGGAGGUCGAAGGUGAUGACGGCCUCCAAGAUCUCACUGUACUUGUCGAAGUGCUCUCUCAAGGCCUCUUUGGGAAUCUCCCACGCCAACCCUCCGACAAAGACUUUGGUUAGUGUGGUGUCACCAAAUACUAGGAGUAGUUUGGCUCUGAGAAGCAGCACCAUAAGGGAUGCAGCAAGACAUGCAUACUGAGGUCGUGCCUGUAUUGGAUCGGAUGGUGGAGAUGAGCUGCAACGGCUGCCGAGUGCUCCGGAAGGGAUGCAGCGACACAUGCAUACUGAGGUCGUGUCUGUACUGGAUCGACUCUCCCGAAGCCCAAGGCAACGCCACCUUGUUCCUCGCCAAGUUCUUUAGCCACAAUGAUCUCCUCUCAUUCGUCUUCGUCGUACCGGAAAACCAACGCCCCGGUAAACAACCAAUUAAUUAAUUAAACAAUAUUGCAAUAAUUUUACACGAUUAAUAUUUGCCAUUAAUUAAUCCAUAUUUUCCUUUUUCUCGAUCAGCUAUGUUUCAGUCUCUGCUGUUCGAAGCGUGCGGCCGCAUGGUGAACCCGGUGAACGGAGCGGUGGGGCUUCUGUCGAGUGGGAACUAGCACGUGUGCCAGUUGGCGGUCGAUACGGUGCUGUCCAGCGACGCUUUGAGGCCAUUACCGGCUUUUACUAUGCCUGCCUUCGACGAGUCUUCGAACGCGUUUAGCAGAGAAGCAUGCACGCCGAAAAAUCGCUACUGUCCGUCGGCGUCGGCAUACUACGACGUGGAGCGAAUUUAGCCGUUCGAGGAGGCGGGGCUCUCUCUGAGGCCGAAUCUCGUGGCGGCGGAGAGAGGAAGAGGGAGGGGAAUGUGGAUCUGCGUAAGUGCCUCGAUGGAUCAGCGACGGAGGGAUACAAUGUCGUUUGAUUCGGAGGAGUCGAUGAUGACUACGACAACGACGAAGACCUUUGAAAGCAGUGGCGGUAAUCUGAAGGAUCGCAAGCUUCUGAACCUUUUUGUCUAAGUACUAUUAACCUAUGAGAGAGAAAUUUAUGAGAGAGAGAGAGGUGGUUGGAAGUAUGUGAAGGUUUUCUGGAAAAGCCCAAAAAGUGAGGUUUUUGGGUUCUUGGGUUGUGCAGAUUCACGGUGGAUAGAUGAAAAAAAUGAAAGAGAACCGACAUGGUUUUUCGUGUCGUUUCCCACAGACGGCGCCAAAUGUUGAUGCACAAAAUCUAGUAGAUCUUGGACCAACGUAAAUCCAGUCGUGAAUCACACAAACGCAGAAGAACACAAAGAUGUAUCUUGGUUCACCCCAAUGUUUGGGCUACAUCCACACUGAUGUUGAUUCCAUUUCACUAUAUGAAUGUAUGAAUUACAAUAAAUCGACAAGGGAGCUCUCUGUGGAUGCAACCCUUGCCAUUUUGCUCUAUGUUUGGCUGAAAGGGUAUUGCCCUCUAUUGUUGUGAGGGAUGUGAGACUUUCUUCUUUCUUCGCUCUUUGUGAAGGUGAGGAUGAUCCCUUUUAUAGAGUAAGGGUUUCCUCCUCUUACAUAAAUCAUGAGCUCAAUAUCGAGGCCUAAUAUAUGGUACAACAAAAGCAAUGGUUUUUAUUGUUUAAAAUUAAGGAGAGGUCCUAAGUAGGGGUGGUUCGGUAUGGGAUCCCAUACCGAAACCCUUGUCUCGAUUCCCAUACCGAAAUUUUCGGGAAUCCCAAUUUCAAUACCGAUCCCAAACCAAAUUUUCGGGAAUCCCAAUUUUCGGGAAUCCCGAAAUAGUUUCGGGAUUUCGGGACAAAUCGGGAAUCCCGAAAUAAUUUUGGGCUUUUGGGCUUUUGGGCUUUUGGACAAAAAAAAGCUAAUAUUGGUCCAAUUGGACAAAAACCUAAUAUUGGGCCAUGCCCAUUGAAUGUAAUAGCCCCAUAUGGGCUUAACUUGAUUCAAUCAAAUAAAAAAAUUAUUGGGAUAAUUGAUGUUGGCCCGGGUCUGCCAAUUUGUGUUGUUAUGAAAAUGUAGGGUUCACAAAGUUUUGGGUAACAUCAAUAUGUGUUGUUAGGACAAAAGCCUAUGAAAAUGUAAUUUACCCUAUUCAAAAGCAAUCUGCCAAUUGCCAAUCUGUGCACAAUUGCAUAUGCCUAUUCAAGUUCUACUACACAUGCAUGCAAUAAAAAUAAAUUAAGUACCAAAUCCAAAAGCAAAAAUAUUAGUUACAAGCCAAGGUUUUAAAAUAAAUAAAGUAACAAACCCAAAAGCAAAAAAAUUAGUUACAAUCCAAAGUUUUAAUAAUUAAGUUACAAACCAAAAGCAAAAAAACAAAGUUUCAAGUUUAUGAAGAUUGUUGACUUCUUCGGCCCCUUCGGCCCUUCUUGUUGGCACUUGUAAUUUUCCCCUUGAUAUUGAUGGUUGAGCCCUUCCCCUUACAAUGGGUGGUCGUGGUCAUGGAGGUAGUGAUUGAUUUUGACGUUGUUGAACUUGUACUUGAGGUGGUCGAGGAGAUGGAGGUGGCAUUUCAUUUUCUUGUGUUGUAUUCUCCUCACCUCCCAAAUUAGCCAUGUCUAAAACAAUAAACCACAAAUCAUUUACAUUAAAUUAUAGUCUAAUAGAUAAUAAAUACUAAAAAAAUAAAAGAUGAAAUUAAAUUGUUUACUUACUUCUUUCUAAGCGUUCAAGCUCCUCGUAGAAACAUAAUUCGUCAAGGGUAGGCUCCUUGUAGAAACAAAAUUCUUUUCCUCUAAGCCAAUCACUAGUACACACUAAAGCCUCAACCGUUUUAGGUGUUAAGGAAGCUCUAAAAGGAUCAACAACUUUCCCACCAAGACUAAAGGCAUUCUCACUAGCAACGGUGCUACUAGGAAGGGCCAAUACAUCCUUAGCAACUUUACUAAGAAUUGGAUAUUGACCACAAUUUCCUUUCCACCAAUCCAAAAGAUUGAAACCCUUAUAUGUUAGGCUUUGAUGUGGAUCAUUGAAGUACAUAUCCACUUCAUUGGCUAUCUCAUUUUGUUGUGCCUCCGCUCUCUUUCUUUGGAUCUUCUUUGCCAUCCUUGAAGCAACAUCAAUAUCUACCAUCACACCCCCCCGCCCCAUCAUCUAGUACAACACUUGAUCUUUGCUCCACAUUUGAGGUAGCACUACUACUAGUACUACUACCACUACUACUACUAAGGACCACUCCCUCCUUAUAUGCAUUAUACAACUCGGUUACAUAACCUUUAACCCUUACUUUCUCCUCCCUUAUUUUGUCACAUCCAUAGCCGAGCUCUUCUAGAUUUGUCUCUAACAUAUCAAAUUUGUACCUCGGGUCGAGUGAUUGGGCCACAAAGAGAAUAUGAUUCACCUUUUCAAUGUCACCCCAAUAUUUGUCAAACUUGAGCUUCAUUGAGGUAGCCACACUUUGCAAAGUGGAAUUAGAGGCAUUUGAAAUUUGUUCUUCUAUCUCCACUUGCAAGGCAAUCACCGUGCUAAGUAUUAAGUGUGACGUUGGAGUAAGGGUUGUACUCAAUGUCAAGGUGGCAUCAUAAAUUUUUUUGAGAAAGUGAGCAAAACUCACCGACCUUUCCCAAUCAUCCACCUCCGGAUGACCCACCCGCUUAGCCUUUCUUGUCACCCCAUCAACCUCUUUUGAGACCUCCUCUUUAAAGUAAGCAAUAAAAGAGUCACACUCAAAGGCCAUCUUAGAGAACACUUCUUUAAACUUGAAAGCACUAUUAAGCAUUUGAUAUGUGGCAUUCCACCUUGUGACAACAUCAAAAGGGAUACUUGACAUCCUAUCAAAUCUCAACAAGACACAAUAUUCCCUAAAAGACUCCAACCUUGCCGGGGAUGAGUGUAUAAACUUCACACAAUUUCUUAUGGCAUCAAUCUCCCUACUAAGCUCCGUCAUUCCAUCCUUAACUAUCAAAUUAAGGAUGUGACAAGCGCACCUCAUGUGCAAGUGAGCCCCAUCAAGUAAAAGAGUACCAUUUGACUUGAGUCUUCUUUUCAUGUAUGCAAUAGCGGUGUCAUUUGCACUAGCAUUGUCAACGGUAAUGCUAAACACCUUGUCUAUGCCCCAAUCAUUCAAGCAAACCUCUAGACAUCUUCCAAUAUCAUCACCCUUAUGAGAAGUAACUUGGACAAAGUUUAGGAUCCUCUUAUGUAACCCCCAAUUAGUGUCCAAAAAAUGAGUCGUGAUGACCAUGUAGUUUAUCAUUUGAAUUGAGGUCCAAGUGUCGGUUGUAAUACUCACUCUCAACCCCUCAAUCACACUUUUUAUUUUUGCCUUCUCUUCAUCAUACAACUCCAAAACCGCCGCCGCCACCUUAUGCCUAUUAGGAAGUUUGUACUUUGGAUUCAAGUCACGAAUAAAAUCUCGAAAGUCCUCUUGAUUAACCACCCUAAAAGGCAUCUCUGCUAUUAUAAUCCACCUCACACAUCUCCUAUCAAGUCUUUUUUUAUUGAAAGUGUGAGUGACAACCGGACCUCCCAUCCUCGCUUGUGUCAAUGUAGGUUGGUUCGGAUCUACAUUCUCAAAGAGACUAGAACCCGGACAUUUCCUCAAAUGCUUAAGAAUUCCCGUUGUCCCAUGAGUUAUAGGGUGUGCCGGUACUAAGAGUUUGCAAUGUUUGCAUUCGGCCAUGUAAGAUUUCUCCCCAUUAUUAUCGGUGAUCGUUACCCUCUUAGCAUCAUUCCACACCGGACUUUGACCCUUUCUCCUAUUGCCCUUUUUCCGAGGAGGACCAUCCCAUUGUCUCACUACUUCUACUUCUUCUACUUCUUCUUCCCCAUCUUCUUCUAUCUGUUCUAAUGCAAUAUCCUCCUCCACAUCCGGAUCAUCAUCCCAACAAUCUUCAUAAUAAUCAUUAUGCAAAUAAUCUUGAGGUGAGGGAGUGCCUAGUUGAAGGGUACCACUAGGUUGGGUUUGUUUUCGCUUUCCUAAUACCGAGACCAUAUGUGUACUGGCUACUAGAUCCGUCCAUCCUACAAAUAAAAUAACAAUGCACAUUAAUAUAUCACAACCACAGUUCAGCAUAUAUCCAAAUUCCAAACAAUAAAUAAAAUCAAUGGUUCAAAAAUCUGAGCAUUCAACAUAGAAGUAUCGUGUAUUUGAAUUUAAACUAGGAAGCAAAUAAAAACCAGCUCGUUUCUAAACUAGGAGAAUAUAAGUAGCCCCACCCCCACAAAGAUAAUACAAACAUGAAAGUUGGAACCUACAAACAAGAGUUUUCAACACUUGUAGCGCUUGUAUGCUAAACCUUUAAAAGUUGCUCGAGAAUAAAUGAUUCAAGAAAAACAACCUGAAGAAUAAUAAUUCAAGAAAAUAAUUAGUAGAGAAUCAUAGUAGACUAACAUGCUUAACAUAUAUUGUGUUUUCAAACCAAUAUGGACAAUGCUUAACAUGCUUCAUGGAAUACUCAUCAUGCAAGUCUGUUGUGGUCUGUUGUGGUCUUACAGACAGUUUUCUAGGACUCGGACAAUUGAUGAACUGCAUAUGCUUAAAGGUUUCAUGGACUCGGACAAUUGAUGCAAUAUCACAGUAGUCGGCAAGGCCAAAGAGGCCAUUACGACGAGAGACCAAAACACAAAACAUCACCGUCCACUCAAAUUGGAAUAACGAUUGAUGCUGGCAUAGGUAGUGUGAGAUACUCGAGAGAACAAAUUCCAAACAAUUAAGCAAUGUUGAUGUUGCAAAAAUAGUAUCAAUCUUACUGCCAUAGUUCAAAACCCGGUUCGGCCUUGGGAGGGAUCAGAUAAGCAUUCCACGCAGAAGAAAUGGAUUGACAUUUAGUAGUAAACAAUACCGGCACCAACAAUCUCAGACAUGCUUGCAUUUACAAAUACAAUUAAAAUAUCACAACAAACAAAUGAGAGCACAAUGAUGAAGGACAAUGCACAACAAUGGCACUUGGUACCAUGAUAAUCUCAGGGGUUUAACAAAAUGUGGGAUAGUUCCAGGAGAAAAUUUGCAUAAUCCGUAUCCAUACUCGGCAAACAGGCAAAAACAAAAAGGAGAAAUUGAUUGGAUGAAAAACUAAGCGCAAUUUUGACACAAACAUCAAGUUUAAAUUCAAAACUAGAGAAACAAUCACAGGGGUCAUCAGAUAGGAGUGAAAGACAUGAAAUUUGCUUAAUCACAAAGAUUCAGUUGAACUAUUGCCUCAUGUCGCAAGAUAUUGAAUAACAAGUGCUAUAAGCCUAUAAAGGUCAGGGCCGUAACCCUCGAAUCAAUGCUCACUAGAAAACGACAACAGACUUGCCUAAAUUCUGUGAAGAGACAAAAUCGCAAAAGAAAAGAGAAAGAGCGAGAGGUGUGUGUGUGACAGUGAGAUAGAGAGAUUUCAGAAAACUAAAUUAAUUACCUAAUUUCAGAAAACCAAGUGAGACCGUGAGAGAGAUCCCCAGUUCUGUCCGUGAAAGAGAACCCUCGAAUCAAUGCAGUUCUGUGACCGUGUGAGAGAGAGAGAUCGCGAGAGAGAGUGGUGGUUGUGUGGUGAAGGAAGGUUGGAGAGUCAGAGACGAGAGUAUGGUGUGGUGGUGGGCCGGUGGCUGGUCGGAAUUCGACAGUCUGGUGAGGGACGACGUUGGUGAGGGCCGGAGGCUAAGGGUCAGGGCUGCAAUUCGAAACAAAUGAACGGAGGAACUGAAAUGUGAUCUGACCUAAAAACAAAUCAACGGCACAGAUUAAAUCUAAAACAAUCAACGGUUGAAAUAAUUCUCUUAUAAUUAAAAAAUUAUAUAUAUAUAUAUAUUUUUUCUUUUUCGGUUCGGUAUGGGAAUACCGAAAAAAUGAAAUGCAAUACCGAAUCCCAUACCGAAACUUUCGGUUUGGUUUGGGAUUACAUCCCGAAAAUUUCGGGAAUUUUGGUUUGGGAUCGGGAUUUUUGGUUUGGUUUGGGAUUUUUGGGAUUUUUUUCCAGCCCUAGUCCUAAGUUCAAAAUGCUAUGUGCGUGUUUAUUCUUUUCAAUUUUUAUUUGGUUGUAACAAAUUAGUCUUUCUGUGUUUUUAAAUUAUUGAUUUUGAAGUGAUUUUCUAAGUACAAUUUUAUCGAUGUCUUACGUGUGAAAAUAAAUAAUUUUCUUAUUUAUGGCACAUUUUUUAGCGUCGUCCCCAGUCUCAAAAAUCUCUGCAUCUCGUGAAAAUAAAUAAUGUCUUACGUGAAGAAAGUAUGAAGACCACAAAUGUUUUGAAUACUGCAUCUCGUAUAAAACAAGGAAGCAGUAGCCAAAUGACGAUGUCAUCGCCAAUCCCCACUAUAGCAACAGGGAGCAUCAGUCCCCACUGCAUCACGUUCGAUUCCAAACGUCAACGGCGGAAUGUUCUUCUCUAAAUCACCAAUUGUGCAGAAGAAAUGACGUCUAGAUCCUUCCCACCAAAUACCAAGAUGAGCCGAAGUGGGCUCUCACUGGAACAGAUGAAGAAAAGACAAUGAAAUUGUUUGCUGUAGGUUGCUACCUUCAAAGCUAUCUAAUUCAGGGAUUAAAAAUGCUAAGAGGCGAUCUGUAACAAAGAAUAGGGAUGGAGGUCCUCAUGUUCACAUGGUCCUAGCUCUGGCAAACGGGUCAUGUUUGUCAUGUUCGUGUUGUUUUCGUGUAACACUUGUUAUCUUAAAGGAUCGUGUUGUGUCACACCCGUUAUCUUAACGGGUCCUUAAUAGGUUGGGUCACCAUUAUGACCAGUUAAGAAAAAUAUAUUUUUUUUUCUUAAAUUUACACAUACCACACAUUGCCACAUAAAAUAUUACUUCAAAACAUUAAAACACAUUUGUCGUUUAAGUGCUACAUCUACACUCGAAAAUAAGAGCCUAAUAAAAAAACAUUCAUACACUAGUCUAUUACAAAAUAUUAAAUGUGCAAGGAUAUGCAAAAUGAAAGAAUUUUUGUUUUCGAGGUUGUGAAGCCUUUCUCAAAAGUUUAAACCUUGCCAAUGGAACUCAAAGCUUACAUGUUAUUCCUUUUACAAAAUCCUUAAUUUUCAUCAAUCAUCAUGAGGAAAUUGUAUUGGAACUUUGGGUUGAUCUAUUGCUUUCAAGAGUUAUGUUGAUGAUGUUUUCAGUAAGGUUUUCUACGUCAAAAUUCUUUUUCGCAUAAACUAAGUAUAGAAAAACCGAACAUUAAAAACCAUUCAAAUUAUGAAAAGUUUACUAAAAUAAUUAUGAAAAGAAAUAAAAAAUAGUACUAUACCAUAUAAAAAUAUAUUAGCCUCCAACCUAAUGAACAAUGGAUGGCUGAGAUUAAAUCUCAGCCGAUCCAAUGGUCACCAAUUUUAUAAAAUUUAAAUUAAUAUAUAUAACUAUUAGAGUUUGUAAGGGUAUAAAAUUGUUAAAUUAAUAUAUAUAAUUAUUAUAUUAUUUUUUUAGGGUUAUAAAAUUAUAAAAUUAAUAUUUUGCUUAUCGUGUAUCGUGUUACCCACGUGUAUACUCGAACCAACCCGUUAUUUUAACAGGUGCUUAUCGGGUUACCUAAUAAUGACCCAAUUCGUUAUCGUAUUGACCCGAACACCUGUUAAUUUCGUGUUGGGUUAUCUGGUCGUGUCAGGAAUUGUCAGGCCGUGGUCCCCAACAACCCAGGUCCUAUCUGCAGAGUGCUUAGGUCAUCUCAAAUGAAGAGGGCUAAAUGUUCAAAAGGUAAAAAAUGUCUUGAUUUAUUCAAAAUAUCAUCUUCAACCGAUGACUGGACUAAACUCUAUGAAGUCCACCAUACCAUUAUUUGGUCAAAGGAGCAUCAGGCUGGCCAAACGUAGCCCCCUUUUAGCCCUUUUUUUGGAGCCUAGCUUCUCAGUUACAAUAAUUGAUUCAAAUUCAACGACUAUAUCUGAAAACAUCUAACAUUAGUUUAAUUAAAUUAACUAAUAAAGCUAAAGUAUAAACUUAAAACUAAUAAAUAAUUGAGAAGCUAUGUUUAGUGUCUUGAGUUUGAGAUGAUAUAUGAAUAUGACCUGACAUUAUUUAUUUAAAUUUUUUUUUUACAGACUACAAUUUUGGACAAAAUUAGGUUUGAUUUUUUCGGUUAGAAAUGACCUUAGGCACUCAAAAGUCUAAUGUAUACCGCAAGCGUGAUCUCUCAAAAAGAAAAAGGGAGAAUCCAAAUAGCCUUAGAGCUUAAGGAGGGGUUUAUUUGAAAUCAAAAUUUUUUAUCCCUCUUUGAUGCCGUGGCAAGUAUGCAAGGAAACAAAAUUCCUUGCGGCAAAAUAAAAGCAUACCAAUUAGGAUUCAAUAUGAUCAAAGAAUGCCUUUGCCGCAUCUCCAAAUAAAUAGCUAAAAGAUGUUUAUUUUGUCUGCCAUGUGAAGUCAAAGUCCAAGUUCACAGAGAAGAGAAAAAAAAAAAAACUAAAGAAAAAUGUUUGAAAACUUUGAGUUUUAACAAUAAAAAUAAAAUAAAGAGUAAAUUGACCAGUACCAAGAUUAACUUUUUAGUGUCAAAAUAUGAGUUUUCAUUAAAGUAAACAAUACCAGAAGUUUUUCAUUAAAAUUCUCAAAAAAAAAAGGGUGUGAUUUCCAUACACUCCAUUUUACUUCUCACACACAUUUUGAAUUUUCGGUUGUUGGAUUUGAAGAAUAAAAAAUGAUUAACUAAAAAAAUUAUUAAGAAAUGUGUGAGAAGUAUAAUAAAAUGUGUGUAUAGCAUAGUAAAAAAAAAACUUGCCGACAACCUCCCAAAUUAAUUGGGAAAGAUACUCACGUGGCAACCUUUAAUAAAAAAAGGGCCACAGCUCUCAAAUUUGAAUUCAUGUGGUUUCUUUUAUAACUUUGGGCCUACCCUUUCCUAGAGGCUGUAAAUUUUGCAAGAAGAAGAAAGAAGUCUGCAAUAAAGUUCCCAAUUUUAUGGGGAAUGCUGCUCCCAUGGGAUAUUGCCCCACUCUAUGACACAAAGAUGCAUCAAAUUUCAAACGGCACAAAGCCUUUUCAAAUUUUAAAUGGGACAAAACGGAUUUAAAUUUCAAAUGGCACAAAAGCCGUAUCAAAUCUUAAAUAGAACAAAGUUGUUCCAAAUGACACAAAGUUCUUUACCUACACGAUUUAAAACUGCAAGGCACCAAAUCCAAACCAAAAUACUUUUUUUUUUAGUGGGUCAUUUACUCAUUAGAAAUAAUGAACUACGUUGGUUUGAUUCUACCAAGGAUACAUAGGCAAUCUAGAUAUUCAAUCCAAAUGCAAUUGUACAAAGACAAAAACUCAAAAUCGAAUCCAUGGUUCAUCUCAACCAAAUUCACCGUAAAAUCCAAAUCGAGUCCCUGGUUCAUCUCAACCAAAUUAACCACAAAGUCCAAAUCGAAUCUCUGGUUUAUUCAACCAAAUUCACUCAAAUAAAUUUUAAGUAUUCAAAUAAACAAACACAAAACCUUUUUUAGUGGGUCAUUCACUCUCUGAAAAUCCCAAACCAAAUCAUCCAAGAACAACGAGUGGCUUGAUCCCUCCAAAAAAUCACGUAGGUAAUCUAGGGCUUGACCUAAGUGCAACCGCAAAACCAAACAAACACCCAAAUCCCAAAGUUACGAUUUAUUCAUAUUGGAAUCAAAGGGUUUUUUUUUUUUUUUUUUUUUGAUGAAGGAUUGUAAUUAAUAGAUGCAUAGUCUAGAAUGGGCUAAAAUUAAUAAAACUCUCUUCGGAAAAAUGAACGAAGGUAAGAUUAUGUUUAGUGAAUUAUUUGUUACAUCUCUUGUCCAAUUUUUCUCAACAGAUGCAUUACCAAAUCUAAAGAAUUGAUUGGUUAUUAUUGACUAGUGCGAUUAAUCGGUCUCAAACUAUGUUUUCCAACAAAUACAGCUUGAUUAAUCUCGUUCAAUGUUAAUGGUUGCAACAAAAAGAAAGGGUCAUAUUUUCUCUUUUGGUUACAAGAACGGGCCAUAUUUUCUUCCUUUUAAAAGUUGUUCUGAUGAUAUAUUUAAGAAAAACAAACAAUAGGCUUUUCACAUAGAAGUCAUUGACAAAGUAGAUAAUAAAUAACAUUAUACAUUUGAAGAAAAUACACAAACUCAAUACUUCAGAAAAUGAACAACAUCUAUUAUACGUUAGAUAAAAAAAUACAAAUUUAAUACUUUGUAAUGGAAGAACGGCACAAUAGAAAUUUCACAACUAAAAAUUAUUAGAGCAUGUCAAUACUUUAAAAAAAAAAAACAGGGACUUGACUUUGUAAUGGGAAGGGCACAAAGAAAUAUCACAGCAAAAAAUCAAUUAAAGCGUGACAAAUAGGGAAAUGAGGGGUUCUUUUCUCUAAUCAAGCUCUUGAAGUAUUUUUGUAUAGAACUUAUAGUUUUGGAACAAAUAAUUGUACAUUAGAAAGGAUAGCUGAUAUUUUCAAUAAAAAUAAAGCUGAUUUUUAUUAAUCAAUGUUGAAGUUUUUGUGUAUAUUCUAUGAAGACAUAAGGGAAUAAUACUACAGUCUCCUCACAUAAAAUUCUCAGCUCUGUCAUUUUUCGUCAAUCUAUGAUUCACGCAAACGAGAAUUUGUCAAUGGAUGUAUGAUACACGUAAAUGAGAUCAAUUCAUAUGUGCAUUAAACAUACAGAGCUCAUGUGAGUAGAAAAGCAUAUAAUUUCCUUGCGUUUCCAUAACAUAUGCACACAAAAUUUCAUAUGUAUAAUUUCUCAUCUUCUAGUAUACCAAAAAGAAAGAGGAAAGUAACAUCUUCACAAUAAAUUUUCUUAACCAACUUACACUAGGCCUAUGAAUUCACUCGUAAUAAAAUUUGCACUAAAGAAAAAAUCAUCAUGCACUGUUCUAUAAUAAAUUAAACAAGGUUAAAAGGAGGACAAACUGGCUUUCUUUUAGAGCUAAUACCACUCUUUAGAAACUAUAUAUUUGAUCGCAUGAACAAUAAAGUCAUUGUACAAUUUAAAUUUAAAACUCAACAUUGAAAUUUUUAUGCAUAUUCUAUGAAAAAAUAAGGAAGUUAUACUAUUGUCUCCUCACAAGAAAAUGUCAACUUUGUCAUAUUUUGUGAGCUUGUAAUACACGCUAAAAUGGGAUGAAUUCGUCAAUGAACUAUUGAUACAUGUAAAUGAGAGAAAUUCGUAAGUCUAUUGAAAAUGAUGAAGCUCAUGUGAAUAGGUCAAACAUAUUUGUAAUCAUAUUAGCUAGAAUACAUAAGUUUCCCCUAACAACCAUUUUUGUGCAUAUUCUACGAAAAUAUAACAAAAUUAUAUGAUAUUUUCCUCACAGGAAAUUCUUAGCUUUGUCAUUUUUCGUUAACCCAUAAUUCAUGCAAACAGGGUCAAUUUAUCAAUGGACGUAUGAUACACAAAAGAGAUCAAUUCAUAAGUGCAUUGAACAUGACAACCCAUGUGAGUGGAGAAGUAUAUAAUUUCCUUAUGUUUUCAUAGCAAGUGCACAAAAAGUAUUAAUGUUGUUAAAUAAAUCUUAUAUGUAUUUAAGUAUAGUUUCUUAUCUUCUAGUAUACCAAAAGGAAACCAUAUAGUAGCAUUUUCACAAUAAAUUCUCUAACUUACACUAGACCUAUGAAUUCACUCGUAACAAAAUUUGAGCUAAAAGAAUCAUCUUGCACUACACACAAAUGAAAUAAAUAAGGUCAAAAGGAGGGCAAAGUGACUUUCUUUUAGCGCUAAUAAUAGUGUGAAUACAAAAUUUUCCUGAAACGAAAGAGACAAGAACAACGUGCACAAACAAAUAUUUGUAUUUGAUGAUUUUAGGGUUACAAUCUCUCUCAAAUUUGAUUUUCUGAUUCGAUCUCCGUAAGGUGUUGAUUUGUGGAUGUUUCGUUGAUCCAAGGGCCGUUGAGGCUUGAUCUUGGAUGAACUGUUGGAAGUUUCUUCAAGGGGCCGUGGGCUUGAUCUUUGAAGGUGGAUUUGAGCGGAUCUUCAAGGAGCCGUUGGGGCUUGAUCUUGAGGAUGAAUGUUUCUUCAAGGGCCGUUAAAGCUUGAUCUUGAAUAACGGUGAUGAACGGAUCUUCAAGGGCUUUUGGGCUUGAUCUUGAAAAACAAUGAUGAACGGAUCUUCAAGGGCUUUUGGGCUUGAUCUUGAAGAACGGUUGGAUGUAUGGAUUUGUCGACGUUUGUUGAUCCAAAGGGCCGUUGGGGCUUGAUCUUAGGAUGAACGGAUGAUGAACGAUGGUGCUUUCUUCAAGGGCAGUCGGGGCUUGAUCUUGAAUUGGUGGAAGUUCUUCAAGGGCUUUUGGGGCUUGAUCUUGAAUUGGUGGAUUGUUGAUCCAAGGGCCGUCGGGGCUUGAUCUUGGAAGAACGAUGAACGAAGAACGAAGAGAGCUUUCUUGAUUCUUCGGGAACCUGGAUGCUUGAGAGCUUCGGAGUUUCAGAGCUUCAGAGCUUCAAGAAUUUUGCCUAAUGAUUUUGGUUCCUCUAAAUGAAUGAAUUAGCCUUCUAUUUAUAGAAAUUUCCAAGGCUUAAUUUUGAAUAUAAUAUUCCAGAUGAAAUAAGUCGUUUCUGCCAAGUGUUGACACGUGUCAUGUUUGAUGACUUUUCCAACUUAUUUUGGUUUUUUGUUUAGACACACGCUACGUGUAAAAUUUAUGUAAUACAUGAGCGUUGAAACUUUGAUUUAUCGGUCAACAUUUAUUUACCGAAAUUUCGAUGUCUACAAAUAGUUCUUCUAAAAAUUAUAUAUUUGAUUGCAUGAACAAUAAAGUCAUUAUACGAUAUAAAUUUAAUAUUGUACAAUUUAAAUUUAAAACUAGUAAGAAAAUUAUACUUACAUGAUCUACAAGAUUUAUUAAUCAAUAUUGAAUAUUAUUGUGCAUAUUCCAUGAAAACAUAAUGAAAUAAAACUAUGGUCUCCUGUAUAAAAUUCUCAACUCUGUCAACUUUUAUGAGCUUGUGAUACACGCUAAAUGGGUGAAUUCUUCAAUAAACUUUUUUUUUGUGGGCAAACUGAACUUUUGAUACACGUAAAUGAGAUGUAUUCUUAAAUUUACUAAAAAUGACGAAGUUCAUGUGAGUACACAUGAGCAUGUUAGAAUACAGUUUCCUUGAUAAAUAAGCUUUUAUAUGUGUACAAGUAUAAUAUUUUCUCCCUUAAACAGAGGGCAAUUUUGUCAUUUUAUGAAAAUUUAAUCAUAAGGGCUUUAUAGAGAGAUUGCCGGCAAUGAGAUUCAAAUUUAAGUCUUAGUCUAGCGAAGAAAACGAUCAUUAUCACUCUCAAAAUUAGAACACCGUGCCAUAAUAAGUAAUUGAAAUUUAUUGAAUUAGCUAAGCUAGUUGCAUGUUAGUUAUCUCUUUACCAUUUCUUCGAAGUCGGGAAACGGAACCAUGAAGGGAAAGAAGGCCAAAUGUCAGUUAACUUUGUUGAGGUCGCCCACUACGCUUUUGUUUACUUGGCUCCGACGCGUGCGGGCUCGGAUUGCAGGACGUUUUCAAGAAACGAUACAGUAGAAUAGCGAUUUCGCAACCAUUUCAUAUACAAUUCACGGUGAGUGCGAUGCAUCAUCAGCUUUGUCAAUGCAUGACUUUUAUGGAUGUUUUUUUGUUCUGAAGUCCUACCAAAUGACAUGAUAACUGACACACUCCGACUGGAAUUAAGGCGUGAUGGCCGUCACGUGAAGGUGACGUAAUCAAAGUGCAAGUGAUGAAAGAAAAUUGUGAAUAAAUUAAAACCAAAACUAGGAAUUAAUUAAGGAAAACUAAUGAAAAUGGCUUGAAAACUUUGAGUGUUAACGAUAAGGACGAAAUAAAUGGUAAACUGAAUAGUACAAUGAUUGACUUUUCAGUGUAAAAAUGUGGUUUUUUUGUUAAAGUGAACAGUAUUGGGAACUUUUCGUUAAAGUUCCCAAUUAAUUAACUAAGAACGUGAGUGCGCAAUAGUGGUUACAACUCAUAACUACAAAUAUUCAGAGCAUAGAUAACAUGAGGGUAAAACAGUAGAACGAGAGAAAUACUUAUUACACAACUAGAGAUAAGUUCCUACGUUAAGAUGGAGAUAUGUCAUAAUCCACCAACUAUUCCUCGUACGCCACAUAGAUUAAUCAACUAACUAGGACAUGGAGGAGCGAAAAACAGAAGGGUGAGUGGGCACAAAAAUAAAGGUUUAUAAAAUCCAUUUACUUUUCAAUCAUACUAACUCCUCACUGUAAAACAAGUAUAAUUUUCAAAAUAUCAUACUAUGUAUAAGUAUGAAAAUCAAAUGCAUGCCAAAUGUAAGUCUAGAAGUAUGCCACAACAUAUGUUCUCAACAACAGUAUAGAUAUGAUUAUGUGCUGUAAAUUGUAAUUUACACUAAUCGGAGUCACCUAAUGUGACAUGUACAACUCCACCUAUCACUCAUCAGUCAUAUGCUAACACAGAAGUCGGAGUCACCUAAUGUGACCUAUACGACAUGACUAGGUGUAAUAAUAAUCGCUCUAGUGCUACGGUCACGUGAAGACUAGCACUAUGCUUGGGUCACCUACGAGUCGGAGUCACCUAAUGUGACUUGUACAACAGGACUAGCACCUACUUAGAUCCAUGGCAAGCGUGCGGUGCAGGAGAUAAACAUACACAUGAAGGACUAGCCCUGUCCUUGGGCUGGAGUACUAACACCGGGGUGUAGCAAUGAUGAGCAGACUAUAUGUAAGCAUGCCAUAAUGAUUCAACCAUUCAAUUCAUCACAUAACCUUACCUGGACUUACUUGCAUGUACCGCAUUCACAUUAGCAUUUCAAACCAUGCACAUCAAUUUCAUGCAGGUAAUAUGCAUAUGGAUAUGCCAUGAUCAUGGAAGAAAAUAUCGAUAAUAUCGGCGAUAUAUCGCCGAUAUUAUCGGUUUUUUCCCGAAUCGAUAUUUUAAAUGGUAUCCAAGGUGUUUUCGUCAUAAUAUCGCGAUAAUAUCGAUAAUAUCGCGAUAUUAUCGAUAUUAUCGCGAAAUUUCGGAACUGUGCACGUCGGAGACGAACGUCGGAGCUUCUACAGCUCCGGCCGACUGUAAAACUGCUCCCUAGCCUCGCCGGAGAUGGGUGUACUUAUUCCCGAGUCGAUUUCAUCCCAAAAACCUUGCAAAAACACGACAUAUAACUUCAAUUUCACAUCUAAGCUUCGAUCUAGAAUAUAAAAAGAAAAACCCGAAGCUUACCUACCUGAGAAAUUGAAGGAACUCGCCGGAGCAGGUGCGAUGGUGUGCGUGUGGGUCUCGGUGCAGAGAAAAGAGAGAUCUCUGUGUGAGUGUGUGUGGUUGGACUGGGAGAAGGGAGAAGAAAGAUCGAGAGAUCUCUGUGUGAGUGUGUGUGUGGUUGGACUGGGAGAAGGGAGAAGAGAGAUCGAGAAGGAUCUCUGUGUGAGUGUGUGUGUGGUUGGACUGGGCGAAGGGAGAAGAGAGAUCGAGAAGGAUCUCUGUGUGUCGUUGAAGAAUCCCCAACCUUUAAGAGACAAACCAGCAAGCACCUCCCUCGACCCACCUCGUUCCUCCGCCGCAAACCUACCACGUGUCCUCAUCCAACUUCUCUCCUCUGUCAACCCACCGCUGUUCCACUGUCAACUUCACCGGUAUUCCUCCGUCGGCCCCGCUUCCGCCUCGUCCUUCAAUCUCUCUCCUCCAUCGAAGUAGGUCCAUAAGAAUUCAUGAAAGGGAGGGGAUCUUUGUUCUUAGUGUAUAGUGUGACGACGCUGCACUGAUACAAAUCUGUGAUGGCAUAGGAAAAGACAAGGACGAUGCGGGAUGGAGCAGAGAGGAAGUGAAAAUGGAUUAUGGGGUGUUUGGAUGCCUAGGUAAUUGGAUAAACAGGGUGUUUGGCUGCAUAGCUUAAACAUAUAAAGUAGUACACGUGUUCUCUUUUAGUUGAGCCAUAUCAAUGGUCAAUGAAAAUUGGGUACCCACUUGUGAGUACCAAGUAUUAUCCGUGGACGGGAGACUUAAACAAACAAAACCAUUGGCUUUGAUGUUUGUAACUUGUAAUUAUGAGGUGGACAUGUGACGUGAAAGAUGUGAGGUGCACCUCUGAUGGUUUUAACUUUUAAUAAAUGUUAUAUAAAUUAUAAAUUAUAAAUUAUUUAGAUAAUAUUUUGUUUUUUUUACUAAGCAAGCAAAUUAUAUUCGAACCCUCCCUUUGUCAACCACGCACUUAGGCUUUAUCCAACUUGCUAUAGAUGUGUUUGUGAUUACAUAUUCAGCCUGUAAUAUUUAUAUGGUCGUUAAGAUGUCUGCAAGGCUUGCAAGCUAAUAUUUAUUAUCUAGGAUAAAUUUCUAUAUUUUAAAAAACACAAAGGUGAAAAUUUUGAACCUCAUAGGAACUCUAUGUGGUACUAAGUCACUCAUGUAUGUUACCAUGCAAUGUAUAAAGUGUAAAAUAUUGUACUAAUUCAUUAUAUAUAAAUGAUUAUGGUGUGUUUAGACUUCUUUCAUUAAUUACUACAUAUUUUAUACACUCACAAUGUUUGUCAGCUCACUAUAUAAUCAACUUGAUAAUGUUAAAUCCAUCAUGCAAUGCAUUUCCUUCCAAUUUUUUGUGAUAAACUAAUAGAUAAUUGACUAAAUAAACAUCCUGCAAAGUUUCAAUAAAAAUUUCCAAGUUUUUCUUACAAUUUCCGUGGUUUCCAUGUAAUUUUUAUCGAUAUCGAUAUUAUCCCGAUAUUUCCAUCGAUAUUUCCGUGUUUUCGGACUACCGAUAUUUCCGAUAUUACCGAUAUUUUCUUCCUUGGCCAUGAUGCAAUAAAAAACUCAACCAUGUCAUAGCAUUUAGAAAAAUAUAUAAUUCAUGGCAUAAAUGCAUAAAACCAUUUUAAAACAUUUAUGGAAACUAUGAGGUAUAUACAUAAUAUACAAAAAUAAAAUGCCCACUCACUGGUAUGUCAUAGGAUUGUAGACCCCUAGUCUCGCUUGUCCACAUACGUCCUCAGGGUAAGUUUCCCCUAUAUGCGAAACAACAAUUUAUAAUUAAUUAAUAAGGACAUACGCUAAAAACUAGGAAUAACUUCCCAUAAUUUGCUUAAACGGAGGGUUCGAAUAUAUGAAAUCAAUUUACUUGACGUCACAGACCUACACGUAAAAACCACUCGCUGGCCGAAGGCCAGACGCACCCUCAUGACCGCCCAACCCACAACCACACGUGCAGCCACGCAUAGGCAUGUGCAUGGUAGGUGACUAAUGGAACAUAGGAAUAUUUUGUCAGAAUUGACGGAAUAUUCUGUUAAAUAGUAAUGAACGUUAACAGCGUUACCUGACGUCAUUAGACGGAAUAUUCUCCUUCUUCUCCAGUCGCUCUUGCCGUUCACAACUUGAAUUUUCGCCGGAAACUGGAAAAUUUUCAAAUCUUUAUAUCUUGCUCAAUUCUCAACCAUUUUUCACGAAAUUUAUAUGGAUUUGAAGCUCAUGAUGAAGGGAACAAAAUCAUACCAUUUGAAAGUCGAAAAACGAUCAGAGAUUGGCCUGAAAAUAGCUCAAUAGCUCCGGCCAAAAAGUCAACCUCUUGAACUCGCUUGUUUCGACUUCAAUGCUUCACGAAAACUAGUCUAGGGACCUUAGGGAGUUGCGUGGAUGCUUCCAAAACCUUCAAAACUUGGUAACUCGACCGCGAUCAUGUUGACACAAAAACCAUCGAGUCGAAGCUUUCGAGUUGCUCUUUGUUGAUGCACAAAACCGAAGGUCUUGGAAUAACGUAAAUCCGACCGUGAAUCUGCAAGAAAGUAAAGAACACAAGAUGUAUCGUGGUUCACCCCAAUGUUUGAGCUACGUCCACACUAAUGUUGAUAUUGUUUCACUCUGAAUGGUGAAUACACAAGAAGACUAGAGGCAGUGUGCUCUCUAGCCUAUUUUUUGUGUGCUCUCUUCCCAUGGCCUAAAACUUGGCCUCCCUUAAUGAGGAGAGUGAGGAGUCCUUUUAUAGAAUAAGGGCUCCUCACUUAUUACAUAUUCGCCCCUUCAUUUAUUACAUAAUUACAUUUGAGUCCCCCGAGUAUUUAUACGAGGUCUAAAUACGGAAGCCCUAAGUAUGGUACAAACACUCUUCGUUGACCACUCAAAACUCAACCAACACGUGAUCUGAGGGUAUGGUUAAGUUCGUGGUGACGAGAAGAGUCCAAAUAUGUGGUUUUCAGGUUCGAUCUAUUAAGAGAUGGUGGUGGUCUUCUUUGUUGCAGAGAAGAGCGAGGUACGGGUUUGAGAGAGAAAAGGAGAUGAGAGAGAGAAAUGAUGGUUUUUGAUUAAGCAGAGAGAAGGAGAGUCUGAUUGGGUGCCAGAAAGAGGGAAGAAGAUUGAUUGGUGAAAAACAUAAGGCACAUACCAAAUUUUAAAGAAGUAGAAGGAUAGGUUUUUACAGAUUUCCCACAGUAAAAGCAAAUCAGAAAAUCUAUUCGGAAUAGUGUUUCUAACACAGAUAAAAUUAACGUACACUCGUAACAACGAGUACAAUUUAUUACGAUAGCGAGAAUACUAAUUUAAGAGCUAAUAAAUACGUCCACGUCACUUGCUAACAAGGGCAUAAACAAUAAUUUACAUAUUCGGGGAGAAAUUACAUAGAAAAUUAGGGACGGGUCGUCACAAUAACUCUAACAACUACUCACAAGAAAUAUAUAUAUAUAUAUAUUUAUUUAUUUAUUUUUAAAUGAAAUUAUCUACCCUAAGAGAAAGGGAUGGGUUUAGUAUCACAAUGAGCUAGCAAUAGUGUGGUUCAAAUUCGCCUUUGACAAGAAUCAAACCUAAAAUCUCUCACUUACAAGUAAAGAGGAAUACCAUUAGAUCAUAGUAUUAAGUGGCAAUAUGAACAAGAAAUAUUAAAAUAUGUUUGAUUAUUAUUUUUAAACUCUGGAGUUUUAUUUAAAGGAAAACUAAUGAAAAGAGUUUGAAAACUUUGAGUUUUAAUGAUAAGGACAAAAUAAAGGGUAAAAUGAAUAGUACCAGGAUUGACUUUUUAGUGUAAAAAUGUGGUUUUUCGUUAAAGUGAACAGUACCGGGUGCUUUUCGUUAAAGUUCCCUUUAUUUAAUUUAAAAGCUAAAAAUUUAUUUAAUAACUAAUUUGAAUUUUUUAAAGAAUAAAAAUUAAAAGUCAAAAUUUAAAACUUAAAGAAUUAAAAGAAAAAAAACUUAAAGAAUUAGCUUUAAAAAACUGCAUAAUUGAAAGUAGUUAUCUAAUAAAUUUCUAAUUUUUAAAAAGACAAAACAAAAAUUGAAAGUGAAAUGAUAAUCAAUUGGCCUUGUAGCUUUCAGUUUUCAUAUUUUAGAAUAGAAAACUGAAAGCAGUUACCAAAAGAUUUUUAGUUUUAAAAAAUAACUACAAACAAAAAUUAAAUAUGAAAUGAUUAUAAAAUGGUCCCUCAACGUUCUAAAGGCCAACUUGGCUAAACAAGUUGCGACCAUAGUGGUGGGUUUGACAGUGAAAAAUGUACGAGAAGAAGCAAACGAGUGUAUCUAAACUCAAAAGGUCGAGAUUGCACUCAUGAUGAAAUAGUCAAACACUUCAGUAAUUAUACACACAAAAAUUGCAAUAUAACAAACAUAAAGACACUAUUUGACAAUAAGUAGUGCUGGCUUGAAGAGGAACUAGCAAUGAACCAACUAGUGUCUACCUAUGUCAAUUUUGUUCGCAACAUCUAUCAAGAACAGUGAAGUAGACCCAAGAGAUGCCAAUAACACACCAACGCAAAACUAAAAAUACUCACUAGGAGAGACUUACAAAAAACAACCUCACCAAGAAGCCUCUUAUUGACUUUAAUAUUAAAAUGAAAAAUAAAUCUACGACAGUCCAGAAGAAGAGAAAAUAGUAAAGCUAGGAGAGGGGAGAGAGGGGCUGUCACCGGCCACUAGCUGGAGCAAGGAGUCAUUUGUAGGUGAGAGGAGAGAGAGGCUAGCAGCAGUUUCUCAUAUCUUAGCAUUCCAAGAGUCCAUGCUUUCGAGUUAUAGUGACAAAAGAUAAAGCAAAAACAAUUGUAAUUUAAACAAGGUCUUUGUGCAGAAAAUUGACGACGUCCACAAUUGUUCAUCAAAAUUUCUGAUUGCUGGCCAGGUCCUAUAGUAGAGAAAAUGAAUAUCGACUAUUGCCAUGAUUUGGUGGAACUGCCUGCCGAGCUCUGUGAUCUUGUUCAUAUGAAGAUGCUCAGUAUCACCAACUGCCAUAAGUUAUCUGCCUUGCCUGAAGAGAUCGGAAAGCUGGAGAAUUUGGAUGUACUGCGACUAAGGUCCUGUACAGACUUGGUAAGGCUUCCGGUCUCGAUUGAGAACCUUGCUAAGUUGUGCUGUCUUGACAUGUAUGAUUGUUUUGGCAUUAGGAAGUUGCCUGAAGGCAUUGGUAAUAUGAGCGGUUUAAGAAAGAUCUACAUGGGACAAUGCUCAAGAUUGAAAGAGUUGCCUCUGUCAGCGUGGGAUCUUGACGAGCAGUUAGAGGAAGUGAUUUGUGAUGAAGAGAAGAAACAUUUGUGGGAAUCCUUCUUAGCCAGAGACAAAAUCAAGGUGGCAAAAGAAAAACCAAUCUGAAUUGGCUCGGAAAGCCUCAGUUGUGAGACCUGUCUUUCCUCAAUAAAUGAAGGAGCAACGCCAAUCUGAAUUAGCUUUCAUCUUCUUGUUUGAUUUUUCUUGUUUGAUUUCGUUCUUUGGUUCUGUUCAAUUUCUAUGUUUCAUCACAUCAGUUUGUAAGACUAUUUAUAUCAAACUCUCGCGUCUCAAGAAAUUUCGUGUUAUUUUUUCUUGUGUAAUUAUCAUGUUAUUGUUUUACACAAUAUAAAUCAUGUGUAUUAUAUUUUCUUGGAUUGUACAAAAAAUACGUUUUUACUGCACCUCAUAUGUCAAUUUUUUUUUAUUUUUUAUGGGGCUCAUAUGUAAAUCAUGCAUCUGGUUAUAUCUAUAAGUUUUCUUUCGUUGCUUACUCUGGUAUAGAUAUUAGGGUAAUGCUAGAGAUAUUAAAUUUGGAGACAAAAUUUGGAAACUAAAUAAUGUAUCACCAAUAAAAAUGAGCACGUUUAUCAACGGUUAAGUAAUAAAUCAAUUAUCAACUUACAUAUCAUUUAAUUUUUAAAAUUUUAUCUACAUAUUUAGUCUUUCUAGCAUUACUCUAGAUAUUAUAUAUUAAGAUAUUUUAAGAUGUAGUUUACCAUAUUUUAAUUUAAUGCAUGCAUAUAAUCGAUAUGCCAUUUAUAUGCUACUACAGUUGAUAUUGUCGAUAUUGCAAAGUUAAAAUUUUCAAAAUAUGAUCAGUAGUGCUCGAAGAGCAGUUUACUGCAACGUAGAAAGAAUGGUUAAAAUUUGAGGAAAAUGAUCAUCGUGAAUCCUUUUCUUAGGGAUUUCGUGAUCGGGAUCGUUCAUUGUACAUCGUGCAGUCAGUUUUCGUUAUGUGCUAUUUAUAUUUAAUUUUAAAUUUUAAAAUAAUUUCUAACCGAACUAUAUACGAUGGACCGCUUCGAUCAUGGGAUCUCCAGGAUCUCCAGAAAAGAGUUCCGUAGAGGAUUCUUUUCCAAAAUUGAUAUUUAUUGCUCAUCGGUUCGUGGUUAAAUAUUGACCGUUUAUUGCUCAUCUUUAUGCUUUUGUCUCCUUUCGAAAGUUGGUUUCACAAUUUAAUAAUAUGUUAGGUGGGUUCUCUCUUUCACUGUGAAAGAUUCCCACACACGAUGCAGUUUCGUGGUGACUUUCCAAGUCUCCCUCCACACUCCAACUCGGAAAUUUCCCAGACAUGGUGGUGCAGCUACUGUUGAAGUCAACGCGCUCCAGCCCCGAAAUUUCUAUCGAGCUUCAAUAGUAAGUAUUUAUAUUGCUUGAUCUCCAACAACGAAAGAGAAAAUCCUAACUUUGUAUUGCUUGUUUUCUUAAUCUCUUUAUUUUGGAAACCAAAUUUAUGUGGCUCACUUUUCUACAGUUUCUAAUCCGUUAUUGUUUUGGGAAAGUGGCUAUGGUCCGAAAUCAAAUCUCAAAUUCUCAAUUCUUAUAAAGUAUCGGCGACAUACUGAAAACUGAUAAUUUCCGCAAUGGGGUGAAAAAUGAUCGUUUCGGCCAAUUUUCCUCUACUUUUGUAAGUUUUUUCUGAUUUUGGUGUUGGUUUUUGUUGUUAAGAAUCAAGGAAUGAAUGGAGCAGGCGGCCUUAUCGGCGGGGCUGCUCUCGGAACAGCGUUCAAUGUGCUGUAUGAUGUCCUCGAUGAGCUGAUUACCAAGAAUGUAAUUUUUAAGCCCCUCCUCAAAGAGAUCAAAUCCAGGUUAGACUCUUUGGCACCAUUGUUGAAAGAUAUAGAAAAAUCCAACAAGAAAUUGGAUCUAUCGGAUAAGGAACUGGUAAACUUGAAAGAACAUUUGGAGGAGGGCGUAGAGGUCGUUCAGAAGUGCAAAAAGGUUCGAUGGUGGAGCGUGUACAAAAGAUACAAAUACGCCAACAGGCUGAUUGACUGGGAUGGAUCUCUUCAACGACUUUUGGAAAUACUAAACGUUCAGGGAAUAAGGGAUAUGAAGGACAGCUCCCUUUCGGUGAGGAAUAUAGAGAAUGCGCUCAGCAGAAUUGAAUCGAAUAUGGUGAUACCAAAACAACCCGACAGUGAAGCUUGGUGUGCAGUACCUCAACUUCCGCCGCUUGUGGUUGGAUUGGAUGUUCCUCUAAGGGAGUUGAAGAGGAUUCUUCUAAAGGACCAAAAUGUUUCAAUGGUUGUGCUGACUGCUCCCGGAGGAUGUGGGAAAACUACUUUGGCUACAAAGUUUUGUCAAGACACGGAUGUCAAAGGUAUCAUAUAUUAUACGUUAGCACUCGGAAUUGUAUGUGUUUUUUUUUUCUUUGUACAACUAUGGCAGAUUUAAAUGACCCCUCAAUGACAGACUUGUUAUGUUUAUUUUGAAUAGAUACAUUCAAGGAUAAUAUCUUCUUCGUCACGGUUUCGAAAAAGCCUAAAUUGGAAAAUAUUGUUCACGAUCUAUAUCAACGCAAGGGUUUCCCGGUACCUACUUUCCAAAACGAAGUCGGUGCAGUGACGUUGCUGCAACUUUUUCUGAAGGAAGUAGGGCAGAAUCCUUUACUGCUUGUCCUGGAUGAUGUUUGGUCUGGAUCAGAAUCCCUUGUGGAGAAGUUUCAUCAAAUCAAAACGGAAAAUCACAAGUUUUUGGUGACAUCUAGGUCUGAAUUUCGGGGAUAUGGUAUCCCUUAUCAUUUGCAAUCAUUGGAUCAUGACAAUGCGAUGAAGCUUUUUCAUCAUUCAGCAUCCCUUGGAGAUAAGAGCUCUCAUAUUCCAAAAGAUCUUUCAGAAAAGGUACUUUUUAGUUGCAAUGCACAAAAUGUAUAGUCAAAAGUUAGUUGACUUGGUCUUGGAAAAUUAUCAAGAUAUUAUGCUCACCUUACGCAAAGCAUCCACAAUCGAGUGAAUGAACAUAUCCAUUUGCCAUAUAAACCUAUGAUUAAUCAUGCAUUUAAGCAUACCUACUUGUGGCCUAAAACUAAAAUUACAAUAAUGUAGAUAGCUAUUUAGCCAUUUUCUCAUCUUAGUAACUUGAAUUUUGGUUCUGCAAUUUAAAAGGUAGUUGACUUUGUUUUGGAAAAUUAUCCUGCAGAUAGUUGAGCGUUGCAAGGGAUUUCCACUUGCCAUUACAGUGGUGGGGAGAUCGCUUUGUGGGGAGCCUAUAGAGAUAUGGCAAAAAAGAGUAAUUGAAUGGUCCAAAGGUUUUUCUAUUCUUGAUUCAGAGACUGAAUUGCUUUUGUGCCUUGAACGAAGCUUGGGUGCCUUGGAUAAAGAAAUGGCUGCCAUCAAGGAAUGUUUCUUAGACUUAGGUUCAUUUCCGGAAGACCAAAGAAUUCCAGCUGCUGCCCUCAUUGAUAUCUGGGCAGAGUUACAUGAUGUAGAUACAGAUAUAGAGUGCAUUGCAAACCUGUACGAGCUAACCAAACGAAGUCUAGCCAAUCUUCUUGUUACAAGGUGUGCAUGCUUUGUUUUCUCUUGUAUAAUAUUUUCGCUUUUUUUUCCCCCUUAUUAUAUUCACGACUGGUUGAUGCUAAUAACUUGUUAUUGCAAUAUGUUGGUUAAAGAAAUCUCUUCUAAGAAAAUUAGUUUUGAUCAUGACCAGGAAGGACAAGAUGGAGGGGGACGGAUACUAUAGUGAGCACUUUGUUACCCAGCAUGAUGUUCUUCGGGAGCUGGCUAUCUACAACACAAAAAAGGGACCGGUUGAACAUAGAAAAAGACUGAUUAUUGACAUAUGUGGAGACAAUCUUCCAAAAUGGUGGAGAGAACAGAAGCAUCAGCCGAUGAAGGCCCGCUUAUUAUCCAUAACAACUGGUUGUUCCAUCUCUCCCUUUCUCUUUAGCAAUUACAUAGACAUGCACAAAUAACUAGUCAUCCUUGCACACACUCGGUCGUGCACACAUUAAGUAAUGGUUUCUUUUUAGUUUCUGCUCCUCACACUUAUGGUUGUUACUUUGCAGAUGAAGGGUUUUCAACUAAAUGGCACAAAAUGCAAAUGCCAGAAGUUGAGGUUUUAGUAUUGAAUUUCCAGACAAAGAACUAUGGUUUACCCGAAUCUGUGGUGAACAUGGAUGAAUUGAAGGCUGUGAUAGUCACAAAUUAUGGUUUCUUACCUGCUGAAUUGAGUAACUUCCAACUUUUGAGUUCGUUACCAAAUCUUAAGAGAAUCAGAUUAGAACGCAUCUCAAUUCUUUCCAUAACCAAGAAUCCCAUACAAUUGGCGAGUCUGAAGAAGAUAUCCUUGUUCAUGUGUAAUAUUGGUCAAGCUUUCAAUAACUGUUCCAUCUCAAUCUCAUCAGCAUUCCCGAAUCUAGAGGAAAUGAACAUCGACUAUUGCAGUGAUUUAAUUGAAUUACCCGCCGAGGUUUGUGAUCUUAGUAAACUAAGGAAGCUCAGUGUCACCAACUGUCAUAAGUUAUCUGCCUUGCCUGAAGGGAUUGGAAAGUUGGAAAAUUUAGAAUUGUUGAGGCUAAGAUCCUGCACAGAACUGUCAAAGCUUCCAACCUCGUUGAAGAACCUUGGAAAGGUAAACUUUCUUGAUAUAUCUGAUUGCUUCAGCAUCAAGGUGUUGCCCGAAGACAUUGGUGAAAUGAGUAGUUUAAGAAAGAUCAACAUGAGGCAAUGCUCAAGGUUGCAAGAGCUACCUCCAUCAGUCAUGGAUCUUGAGCAGUUAGAGGAAGUGGUCUGUGAUGAAGAGACAAAAGAUUUAUGGGAAUCUUUCUCGUCGUGUCUCAACAACGUAAGGAUAAUUGUGGACAAAGAGAAUAUGAACCUAAAUUGGCUCCACAAGACUCACUUCUGAUAUGUGUAUCCUCAGUGAACGUUGUUCUUCAAACUCUGGUGUGUGUUUUUAGUGGGACUUGUGUAAACUCGACUGUAACAUAGUUUCUGUUGGUGUAUAAAUUGUAUCUGAUGUGACAGUUAUAAUUCUAGAUUAUAUUGCUAGAAUAAUUAGUUAAGUGCUGAUUUGGUUGUAUCUUGUUUCUGUUAGUGUGUAAAUUGUGAUUUGAUGUGACAGUUAUAAUUCUAGCUUAUAUUGCUAGAAUAAUUAGCUAAGUGCUGAUUUGGUUGUAUCUUGUUUCUGUUAGUGUGUAAAUUGUGAUCUGAUGUGCCAGUUAUAAUUCUAGCUUAUAUUGCUAGAAUAAUUAGCUAAGUGCUGAUUUGGUUGUAUCUUUCUUAUUUGAGUCUCACAGGUCUUAAAUAAGUAAGGUGCAAAGUGUCUACAUCUCAUAGGGUGUAAGAUGGAAGGUUGAGAUUGCUUUGAUGUAUUUUGAAUACCACCAAAAGUGUAUAACUGUUAGAAUUCGAGUGAUAUUCCUUCACUAUCUCUCUAGCGAAUGUCAUGGUGAAUGUGUGUGAAUGAAAUCUUAAGAGUCAUAUUGACGCAGGACAGAACCAAAGGUCUCGAGAAGAAGGGGAUAGAUAACUUGGGAUUCGCUCAAUUAGGGGUAACAGGGCUCGCUCACGUCGCUAAUUGUGGAUUCAUACACACGAUCAAGCCAAAUGCUUGAUUUUAGAAGGAGAAAUCACUCUCUUCAAAUGCACAAGGCAAAUACAAAUUUAAUUCAUUCAUGUCUCCCUAAACAUACAUACGGAGUCCCUUAAAUAGAGAGAUUACAAUACAUUGGUAGGAUACAUAUAUAUAACUAACGAUUAUAGUUACUAGAAACCUAAUAAAACAUAGCCUUGAAAGAUGAAAAGCUACAAACAAUCAAAUUUAAUAUAAAAACUAUAUUUAAUGUCGUGCAUUGCAUCAUACUCCUCUUCUCGAAAAAAACUCGUCCUCGAGUUUCAGUUGACUUUUGGUUUUCCCUCAAUCUUUUGGAAGGCCUUUCAAACUUUUCCAUAACAGGUACAAUAGCACAAGAAAUUUACGAGUGUUCGUAGUCUUGAUCCAUAUUCUUUCUUCAAAUGAAUAAGCUUGAAAUGGCACAUGACUCCAAUGGUGAGCAAUGCGUUUUUGCCCAAUGUAGAAGUUGUGCAUUAAUUAAGUUUGAAUUUACCACCUCGUUCAUAAAUUGUAAAGUUUCCUUCACAUCCACAAUCUUUACUUGGUGCUCAACAUUCAAGAAACUACCUUCAAGAAUCUCAUUGAUCACGUGAAUAACAAUAUCAUCUUUUAAGAAAUUAUACAAACUUGAGGAGUAUAACUUGCUUACCUCACUACCAUCCUCAUCAACUUCAUUCACAAAACGAUUAUUGACUUCAUCUUCAUCAAUGUACUCAUCAUAAAUUGGUGGUGAAUCCCAAUUGACGAAACUAUUUCUUUGAUAGUGUGCUCUUCAAUCAAAUUGUAAAUCACAACCAUAGUCUUCAACUACAGCGGAAAACCUGCUCUGAUGCCACUUGACGCAUGACAGAACCAAAGGUCUCGAGAAGAGGGGGAUAGAUACCUCAUAUUUGCUCAACCAUGGACAACGGAGCUUACUCAACGUCUUUACGGGGAUAUCCCAGGUUAUCAUCCCCCGUCUCCCCAAGACUCCUUUGGCUUUUGUCCUGCAUCAAGUGACAUCAGAGCAGGUUUUUCGUUGAAUAUGAAGAUCAUGGGUGAGAUUUUUCAUCUGUUUGAAAAUCAAUUGGUUGAAGAGACUAGCUCGGUCGAUUGAAAUUUGCCGCCAAUUUAUGACAAGUACUUUGAUGACGACGAAGAAGUCAAUAAGAACUUUGUUGAUUGGAGUUCUACACCAAUCUUUGACAAGAAAAAUGAUUAUUAUAAGUAUUUGAUUUUAGUGGCUAAUCAAGAGUGUUGUAGGCAGCUUGAGGUCACUUGUUCUCCAUAUUGGGAUUCUGCCCCAAUUUUUGUUGACUGCCAUGUAGACGCAAGUAAGAGUUCAUGGGUUGAACAACGAUGUGGACAAAUUAUAAAGAAUGUGAAGCCUCUUGCAUUAUGUUUUCAUGAUUAUAUUUGGGAUGAAUUCAUUGAUUGUGCUUUGGUUAAGAGAAAAUGCUUGGAUAAGGAACUACCUUUUGCUCAUUAUUGGAGUUUUCUUUUCUCAUUCAUGAGUAUUUACGGUCUCUUAGAAGCAAUAAGUUUGGAAGCCUAUAUGCAUCGCAAUUCUUUUGGAAGAAAAAAGGGAUUAGUCUAUACACGAUCGAAACAAAAAAUAUAUUAUGAAUUUUGUGGUCUUUGCAAUGUUGUACGAAUUGUGAUUAUCUUACUAAAAUCUUUACUUUGGGAAACAUUGGUUGGGCAUCCAAAAGAUCGAGGAAGACCAAAUGAAAUUCGAGGACGAAUUUUCUUCGAGAAGAGGAGAAUGAUGUGGGAGGAAGACUCAGAGAAAACAAUUUGAAACUAUUAAUAUGCUUUGGAAUAACAAAGGUUUUGUAUUUUAAUUACUUAGGAAUUUGUUAAGUUAUUUUGGGAGUUGUAAGGGUGUCAUGGAAACUUGAGGUCUAUUAAUUUGUAAACGCUUAUAAAUAUUGUACUAGAGAGCUUUGAAUGACAGACUUGAAUGAAUUAAAAAAUUGUAUUUGCCAUGUGCAAUUGAAGUGAGUGAUUUCUCAUUCCCCAAUCAAGCAUUUGGCUUGGUCGUGUGAGCGAAUCCACGAUUAGCGACGUGAGCGAGCUCUGUUGCCCCUGGUUGAGUGAUUCCCAGGUAUCUAUCCCCCGUUCUUUCUAUUUCCCUCGGUCCUUUGGUUCUCUUCUGAAUCACAUAUUCUCUGUUGCUAUCUUUCUCUUCUCUCUAUCAUCAUCCUUCAUUUUUGUACUGGAUUUUCAUCUAAAUUCUGUGUGAAUCUAUGAAGUCAUAGCUCACAGUGUACCAUUCUCUGCUAACUUUAACAUGGCCUUAGAGCCAGGUUGGGUCUGAAUCUCUGGGCGUCGAUUAUGUGAGUGGUAGUGAGUUCAUCCUCGCAACAUCUCGUUGCAAAGAAACUAGUGAGAGAGAGGUGUGAUCUUAGUUUAAUAUGGCUGGGUCUGGCGGAGGGGAGCUUCGAGCUCCGAAAUUCAAUGGAGAAAACUUCGAUUUCUAGCAAAUUUGAAUGAAGAUGAUUUUUCGAUCUCACGAGUUAUGAAGUAUUGUUGAGACGGGUUUUACUUCUCCAGCGAAGACUGAGAAAGAGAUAACAGAGGCGGAGAUGAAGCUACAUCGUGAAAAUUUGGUCAAGGAUGUAAGGGCUCUUGAAAUCAUUCAAGGAGCUGUAUCGGAUUAGAUGUUUCUACACAUAACAACUCUAGAAACUACGAAAGUAGUAUGGGAUAUUCUGAAGCAAGAGUUCGUACGAGACAAACAAGUACGAUCUGUGAAAUUACAGGGUCUUCGUCGUGAUUUUGAGUAUACACGUAUGAAUGAAGGUGAAUCUCUAGCUGCAUAGUUGGAUAGGUUGUUUGAUUUGAUAAAUCAGAUAAAGAGUUAUGGAGAAGAUCUUAGUAAUCAGAUAAUUGUGCAAAAGUUAUUGAUCAAUUUACCCAAAACAUAUGAUAGUAUAGCUUAUGUUAUAGAGAAUACUAAAGAUAUAGAAGUAAUUGAUGUUCAAGAUGUGGUUGCUAUAUUGAAAGGGUAUGAACUAAGGCUAACUAGACAUGGAGAAAGUAGUAUUGAGCAUGCAUUUGCUAGUUUGAAUAUCUCACCUAAGAAUGGUAAAUUUUGUAAUCAAAAUACCAAUGCUGGUGGAACAAAAUUUCAGAAGAAUUUCAAGUUUAAAGGGAAACAGUGGAAUAACAGGUUCAUUCUAGGUGUAAGAAAUGAAACGAGCAACACUGUUAGUGCUUGCAAAUACUGUGAUAGGCUUCACUAUGGAGAGUGUUAGCUGCAUGGGAAGAUCAAAUAUCCCAAAUGUGGCAAGCUUGGCCAUAUUGCCAAGGUUUGUAAUCUCAAUAAGAAUGUUCAGCAAGGGAAUUUUGCAAACAAAGUGGAGGAACCUGGAAAUCUAUUUCUUGUUAAACAAACAAGUGGAGUGAAAGUUGUGAGUGACAUUUGGUAUAUAGAUAGUGGAUGCAGCAAUCAUAUGACCUCCAUAGAGGAUCUGCUUGUGGACAUUGACAGAAGUAUUAAAGCAAAAAUGUAAGUUGACACAUGGGUUCUAGUUGAUGUGAAAGGCAAAGGAACUCUUGUUAUUGACACUGAGAAGGGAAAAAGAUAUAUCAGAGAAGUCAUGCUAGUACAUGGACUUGCAGAGAACUUACUCAGUGUUGGACAGAUGACUGAACAUGGGUAUUUUCUUGUGUUUGGUGAUUACAAGGUGGAUAUCUUUGAUGACAGAACAUUGACAAACUUGGUGGUUAAUGUGAAGCAAAAGGGGAACAGGUGUUUUCCACUAAUGUUCAAAUCCAAUGAUCAACUAGUAUUAAAAGUUAAUAUGCAUCAGUGUGCUACAAUGUGGCAUAGAAGGUUUGGACACCUAAAUUAUAGGAGUCUGAAGUAAUUGCAGGAACAUAAUAUAGUUCUUGGAUUACCUGUGAUGCAUGAUAGUGAAGGUGUGUGUCAUGGAUGUGCAUUGGGAAAGAAUCACAGGGAGUCUUUUUCAAAGGAAUCAACAUCGAAAGAAAAGAUGCCACUUGAGCUAAUACACUCAGAUGUGUGUGGCCCUAUGCAAACACCAACAAUGAGUGGAAAUAGGCACUUCAUUACAUUCAUUUAUGACUAUUCAAGGAUGUGCCAGAUCUAUUUCUUGAGACACAAGUCAGAUGUCUUCCAUGUGUUCAAGAAGUUUAAGGCUAUGAUAGAGCUUCAAAGUGGUUAUUAUGUGAAGAAAUUAAGAACUGAUAGAGGAGAAGAGCUCACUUCAAAUGAGUUUGAAAAGUCCUGUCAAUCUUUGGGGUUAGAGAGGUAGCUCACUGUUGCAUAUUCUCCACAACAUAAUGGAGUUGCAGAAAGGAAAAAUAGAACCAUAGUGGAGAUGGCUAAAUGCAUGCUUCAUGAGAAAGACCUUCCAUAUAAUCUCUAGGGUUAAGCAGUGAACACAUCUGUGUAUCUCCUAAACAAGUGUCCGACAAAAGAAUUGGAGAAUAUUACACCUUUUGAGAAGUUCAGUGGAAGAAAACUUGGAAUUAAACACCUGAGAAUGUUUGGCUCAUUGUGUUAUUCUCUCAUUCCAAGAAAUUUGCAGCUUAAACUAGAAGAAACUAGUGUCACUGGUAUCUUCAUUGGAUAUGAUACUUGUGAGAAAGGAUAUAGAGUGCUUAAUCCUGAAACACAGAAGGUGAUGCUCUCAAGGGAUGUGAUCUUUGAUGAGAAUGGAAAAAACAUAAAGUCAAGGAAGUGUGCAUCCCAUUUUCUGCAAAUGAAUAUCUAAAUAUGAGUGAAGUUGAUGAAGGUUCAGAUUUCAUGGAACAUGUUGUAUCUGGAGGUUCUCAAAUCCAAAUUGAAGGCUCUCCAACUACUGUCUCUGGUGAAUCAACCAACUCUGUCUUUAUACCUAAGUAUGAUGAUACUCCACUGAAAUAUAGAAACUUAAGUGAGAUUUGAGAGAUGCCAUUUCUGUAUUAUUGAACCAUAAUGCUAUGAUGAAGUUGCAUAGGAUGAAGCAUGGAAGAAGGCAAUGGAAGAUGAAAUAUGUAUGAUUAAAAAGAACCAAAUAUGGGAAUUGGUAAGGAGACCAUCUGAUAAACCUGUGAUUGGGGUAAAAUGGGUGUACAAAAUAAAGUUAAACUUAGAUGGCUUAGUUCAAAAGAAUAAAGGUAGGCUUGUUACAAAAGGCUAUGCACGAAAGCCUGAAAUAGAUUAUAAUGAAAUCUUUGUACCUGUUGCAAGGUUAGACACAAUAAGGACUCUCAUUGCACUGGCUACAAAGAACAAGUGGAAGCUAUUUCAAUUGGAUGUGAAAUGAUCUUUAUUAAAUGGUGUACUUGAAGAGGAGGUGUAUGUAGACCAGCCAGAUGGGUUCAUUGUGCAAUGAGAGGAUGAUAAGGUUUACAAACUGCACAAAGCCUUGUAUGGUUUGAAUCAGGCACCUAGGGCUUGUUAUGGAGAGAUUGAUUCACAUUUUGCAAAGUGUGGUUUCAAAAGGAGUACCAGUGAGGCAACAUUGUAUACCAAGUGUAGAGAAGACUCAGAGAUGAUUAUAGUAUCAAUUUAUGUUGAUGAUAUAAUCUACACUAGAAGCUAUCAAGAUUUAAUGGAUGAAUUCAAAGCUGAUAUGAUGCAUAAAUAUGAGAUGAUUGAUUUGGGACUUUUACAUCAUUUUCUUGGUAUAGGAGUUGUGCAAACUGAAGAAUGCAUUUUCAUACACCAGAAAAAGUAUGCCUCAUAUUUGAUGAAGAAAUUUGGACUCCGGGAUUGUAAACCUGUGAGCACAUCACUGGUACCAAGUGAUAAAUUGAGAAAGGAAGAUGAAAGUGGAGCUGUAGAUGAAGCUCAAUAUAGAAAAAUUGUAGGUAGUUUGUUGUAUCUCACAACAACUAAACCUGACAUAAUGUAUGCUGCAUGUUUGUUAGCAAGGCUCAUGCAUUGUUCUUCUAACAAGCAUUAUGGGACAGCAAAUAGGGUUCUAAGAUAUGUUCAGGGGACUCUUGAUUUUGGCUUGGAGUACAAGAAAGGCGAAUGAGCAAUUCUGAUAGGAUUUUGUGAUAGUGAUUAGAGUGGUUCAGAAGAAGACAUGAAAAACACAUCUGGGUAUGCUUUUACCUUUGGCAAUGAAGUUUUCUCUUAGGCUUCAAUCAAGCAACAACGUGUUGCUUUAUCCACAGCUAAAGCAGAGUAUAUUAGUGCAUCUGAGGCAACAACUCAGGCUACUUGGCUAAGGUUUGUACUGGAAGACUUUGGUGAAGUGCAAUCUGUUGCAACACCAAUGAAUUGUGACAAUAUUUCAGCCAAAGCUAUCACUAAGAAUCCUAUUUUCCAUCAGAAAACCAAGCAUAUAAACAGGAAGUAUCAUUUCAUAAAGGAGGCAUUGCAGCAAAGAGUGAUUAAUUUGGUUCACUGUCCUACAAAUGAGCAAGUUGCUGAUAUGUUUACAAAGGCAUUAGCAAGAGAGCAAUUCACCUAUCUCAGAGAAUUUCUUGGAGUGAAAUCAGUUCACAGUUUAAAGGGGGCUGUUAGUGUGUAAAUUGUGAUCUGAUGUGGCAGUUCUAAUUCUAGCUUAUAUUGCUAGAAUAAUUAGCUAAGUGUUAAUUUGGUUGUAUCUUUCUUAUUUGAGUCUCAUAGGUCUUAAGUAAGUAAGGUGUCAAGUGUCUACAUCUCAUAGGGUGUAAGAUGGAAGGCUGAGAUUUCUUUGAUGUAUUUUGAAUACUGCCAAAAGUGUAUAACCGUUAGAAUUGGAGCGAUAUUCCUUCACUCUCUCUCUAGCAAAUGUCAUGGUGAAUGUGUGUGAAUGAAAUCUCAAAGUCAUAUUCUCUGUUGCUAUCUCUCGCUUUUCUCUAUCAUCAUCCGUCAUUUUUGUACUGGAAUUUCAUCUAAAUUCUGUGUGAAUCUGUGAAGUCAUAGCUCAUAAUGUACCAUUCUUUGCUAAUUCUAACAGUUUCAAAUUCAAUCUCUGUACAAUUCCUUGACUUUUUUGUUUGAAAAUCAAUAUCUUCAUGCUCUCCCAAAAUAAAUUCAACACCAAGGUUGAAGAGUCUCAUAAGAUAAGAACUUUCAUGUCACGGGUCAGGUGUUAAUCUCGUUGUGGAUAAGUUUCAAAAUUCAACACCACAAGGUUGAAGAGUCCCAUAAGAUAAGAAUUUUCAUGUCAAGGGCCAGGUGUUAAUCUUGUUGUGGAUAAGUUUCACUAGUAUCUAUGCUAAUUUCUACUGGUCAAGUUUCCAGAACUGUUCAUAAAUAAUCUAGAUGAUGUUGCACCAUAUAGUUCACAAAGUAAAAUAUAUUAAUAAGAAAAAAGAGAAAAAUCUCUACAACCCUCACAUACGUGGACCUCAAUGUGCGACAAGUUUGAGUUUCUGUAUGUAUGGAACUCUCCCAAAACUCUCAUGUUCUCCACUAAGUGAUGGCCUUCUCUCAACCUCUCCACAUCCUCGAAAAGUGGCACACGUAAUAGAAUGGAAAAGGAUCUCUGAACUACUCUUUACGUCUAUAAAAAGACGAAGGCUAGGUUCAAAUAAAAGGAGGAGACAUACAGCAAAAAGCUCUGAGAGAGAGAGAGAGAGUAAAGAGAGCAGCGAAUGAGAGAAAAAUGAAAGUUGCAGAAAUAGAAAGAGAGUCUUAACAGAAAGAGAAGAAAUGAGCAAAUGGCUGCAAUUAUGCAGAAUGUUCACGGGGAAGAAGAAUCAAAGGUAAAAGUUUUAUUCUUAUUUAUCAUUUCUUUCCUUGCACUAACCUCCACUUCAUGGCGCAUGACCUUCGAAGCAAAGUUAGUUUCCCACAUGCUCCUACAAAGAAAUGCUCCAGUGAAGGACCUCUCUUUAUAAUAAAUCAAAAUGGUGCCAAUCCUUUUUUACUCUAGAAGCAAUCUUCCGGUGAUCAAAGCUGUUGGGCAAGAAAAAAAAACUAGAAGUAACAACCCUUCUCCGCUAUCAAAGUGCUCUUCGAAAUUAGACCAAUAAGGUUAGCUUUCAAGUGAUUGUAGCAGUUCGGCAUGCAAGAACAAAAAUGGUUCCUACCACAAGAAAAGCACUUAAAUUCUCGCCUUUUUUCGAAAGAACGUAACCAAUCAGCAUAGAAGGAUGGUCGAAGUCUUCUCGUCAAGACUUUCUCGGCACAGUAUAUCUGCACGCAGACGCAGAGCUGCAGGAAAGUCAACUUCUUCAAGAUGUUCAUCUUUAGCGGCUCGGAUUUACUCAUCAAGCAUUUUCUCGGCACAUCAUGUCUCCACGUAGACACGGAGGUGCCGGAAAGUGAUCUUUACGGUGAAGGUCAAAAUCUACUCGCCAAGAAUUUUCUUGGCACAGCAUGUCUCUAUGUAGACAAGAAGGUGCGGAAAGUGAUCUUUAUGUUGAAGGUCGAAAUCUACUCGUCAAGAAUUUUCUUAGCACAACAUGUCUCUAUGUAGACACGAAGGUGCCGGAAAGUGAUAUUUACAAGAAAAGUCGAAAUCUACUUGUCUAGAAUUUUAUCGGCACAACAUGCCUCCACGUAGACACGGAGGUGCCGAAAAGUGAUCUUUACAAAAAAGGUUGAAAUCUGUUAAUCUAAGAAUUUUCGGCACAGCGUAUCUAUACGUGGAUAUAGAGGUGCUAGGAAAUUAACAUCUCUACACCAAGACAUUUGUACGCUAACACUAUGAAGAAAUUCUGAAGACCAUGAAGGUUUUGAAUACUGCAUAUCAUGUAGAACAAGGAAGCAGUAGCCAAAUGACGAUGUCAUCGCCAGUCCCCACUGUAGCAACGAGGAACAGUAGUCGCCAUCUCGUUCGAUUCCAAAUGAUGAUGGCGGCAUGUUCUUCUCUAGAUCACCAACUGUGCAGAAGAAAGAACGUUCAGAUCAUUCCCGCCAAAUACCAAGAUAAAGCUGAAAUGGGCUCUUAUUGGAACAAAUGAAGAAAAAUAAGGAAAUUUUUUGGAGGUCAUUUUCAAUGGCAAAGCCAGAAUUUCAUGAGAAGAGGCAUUCACAAAUGUAAAAAAAAUGGUGGCUAACAAUUAAAAAUCUACUAAACGUAGGGGUGGAAUUUUUUCCCGAAAAUCCUGAACCGUCCCGAACCCGUCCUGAAAUUUGACCGAAAAAUGCCCGAACUAAAUUUCCAAAAAAAUUUGAUACCUGAAACCGAACCCGUCCUGAAAGUUUCAGUUUGGGAUUCGGCCACAGCUUUGAACACGUUCGGUAAUCCCGAACCGAACCCAAUAUUAUAUAUAUAUUUUUUUUAAUUUUUAAUUAGAAAUUACUCGAAUCGUUGGAUUUGUUAAGAAGAUCUAAUCUAACCAUCCAUUGAGUUAGGCUAUUUGUUAGGUCUCUCAGACUCUCUCUCAGUCACUCUCGCUCACUCUCUCAGUCUCUCUCACAGUCACUCACACUCUCACUCACAGUCUCGCCGCUCGUGCUCUCUUCGCUCCACUCCUUCGUCGAAUCCACACCGUUCCUCGUCCUCCAUCGACUCACGCCGCUCCUCCUCCUCUAUCGACUCACGCAAACAUAGGAAUGAAGUCUCGAGUCUGACACCAAUUGAAUCCCAAAAUCCAGGUAAGGGUUUCUGAUUUUCACUGGGGUUUUGUUCUUUAGUGUUUAGGGUCAAAUUUCAUGUUGAUUAACUUGAUUUCUGAGUAUUUUGUCGAAUGUGUGUGAGGGUUUGAGGACUGUGGGUUUCGAAUUAGGGUAGGUAACUGUAGGACCUGCAUGCAGGAUAUGGUUCUAUGUGUUUUGUCAAAAUAUCUUCUCUCCAAAUGUUUUGCAAUGGAAAAUGUAUAAGAUAUGGUUCUAUAUUAAUUGCAGGAGCAUUCUCACCAAUAUUCAAAUGAGUUAAGGAAGAUCUGAAACAUAAAUUUUGUAGAAUGAAGUAGACCACAGUAGAGCUUUCCUUGUCUAAUUCCAGCAACAUAGCAGCAUCGGAUAUACAGGUAACAGGCAUAUCUGAAGUGGUUAGUUCUUAACUAGAAGAUAUUGAGCAACAAAUAUUUUUGUUUUUGCAUGCACUUUUUUUUCCCUCGUAAUCUCCGGUCCAUUUUUCUCAUCCCCUUGUAGUUUUCCCAUUGUUAUGUAUAUCACACUCGUAAUUGAUUGCAUUGACUUGAACACAUCUUGUGCUGCUCUUCACUUCACUUUGUGUUGUAUUGUAUGCCAUACUCCUAACAUGAAUAAAUUAAUGUGGCUGACAUUGCUUUCUUUCUUUUAGAAAAGUGAUAAAAUUUUCUUCUUGGCAUUCAAAAUUAAUGCCAUACUUCUAACAUGAAUAAAUUAAUGUGUUGAUUUUGAAGAUCUUUAUGCUGUCUUUGGACUCCGUGGCAUGCUCAAACUUACAUUUGGAGAGAAAAUACUUUAAGAUAGAAUAUUUUGAUUAUAUUCUGAGAUAAACAUGUGUUUGACUUUGAUAUAUAUAUUUGUUUAUGGAUUAGUUUAUGGAAUGUGCACUCUGUCAGUUUAUGGAUCAGUUUAUGGUUGUGAUAUAUAUGUGAUAUAUAUGUGUUUGAUCAGUAUAUGAGAUGAGAUAUGUGAAUCUUAUAUAUAUGUUGAACUGUGUUGUGAUAUAUUAUUGUGCAUUGUCAGGAUGGACGGGUUUGGUAAUGGUAGUGGUAGCCAAUCACAAUCUACUAGUACACCUAGGAUCUUGGUUUUAGUAAAACGAAAGCCACAGUACAUUCGAACUGAAUACUAUGAAGAUUAUUGUGAUGAUGAUAUGGAUAUGGAUACUGAUAUAAGGUUAGAAGAAAUAGAUGAAGAAAUAGAGGAAGAAGAAGGUGAGGAGGAUAAUGUUGAAUUGGACAAGUGGCAGAUGCCUUCGGUGGCCACAUUAGCAAGUAGGGUGGGUCAACGAAAAAAAGUAAUAGGACUAAGGGGCCAAGUCCGGCUUGGAAUGAUGCCACUAAGGUAAAUGUGACCGAUGAAUUUGGAAUUACACGAUUAUGGCAGAGUGCAAUCAUUGCAAAAUGCAAGUGCAGGCGGAGUCCUCUAGACAUGGGACGAAAGGUAUUCUUGAUCAUUUGAAGAAAUGCCCGGAUUCUAGUCUCUACGAGGCACUGGAUUCGAAACAACCAUUGUUGUCACAAGGGAUGAUGGGGGGUCAAGUUGUCGUUCACACUUUCAAUAAAAAAAGACUUGAUAUGAAAUGUGUGAAAUGGAUAAUAAAAACAGAGAUGCCUUUUAGGGUGGUUGAUCAAGAGGACUUUAGAGAUUGGAUCUAUGACUUGAAUUCAAAGUACAAGCUUCCAAAUAGGCAUAAGGUGGAGGCGGCGGUUUUAGAAUUGUAUUUUACAUAGAAAGAAAAAAAAUCAAGAGGGUGGUUGAUGGUUUAAGGGUGAGUAUCACUACCGAUACUUGGACCUCAAUCCAAAAUAUUAAUUACAUGGUGGUGACGGCACAUUUUUUUGGACAAUGAUUGGACUUUGCAUAAGAGGAUCCUAAAUUUUGUUCAAAUUACGUCUCACAAGGGUGAUGAUAUUGGGAGGUGUCUAGAGGUAUGCUUGAAUAAUUGGCUCAUAGACAAGGUAUUUAGCAUUACCGUUGACAAUGCUAGUGCCAAUGACACCGCCAUUGCAUACAUGAAGAGAAGGCUCAAGUCCAAUGGUACUCUUUUACUUGAUGGGGCUCACUUGCACAUGAGGUGUGCUUGUCACAUCCUCAAUUUGAUAGUUAAAGAUGGAAUGACGGAGCUUAGUCGUGAGAUUGAAGGGGUAAGGAAUUGUGUCAAGUUCAUACACUCAUCUUCCGCGAGGUUGGAGACUUUUAGGGAGUAUUGCGUCUUGAUGAGAUUUGAUAAGAUGUCGAAUAUUCCUUUUGAUGUUGUCACAAGGUGGAAUGCCACCUAUGAAAUGCUCAAUAAUGCCUUCAAAUUUAAGCAAGUGUUCUCAAGGAUGGCGGAUGAGUGCAACAUUUUCAUCUCUUACUUUCAAGAGGAGGUAUUUAAAGAGAUUAAUGGGGUCACAACCAAGGUGAAACAGGUGGGUCCUCCAGUGGUAGAAGCUUGGGAGAGGGCUGUGAGUUUUGCUCACUUUGUUAAAAUGUUUUAUGAUGCCACCUUGACACUUAGUGCAACCUUAACUUCAACUUCAAACUUAAUACUUGGCAUGGUGAUUGCAUUGCAAGUGGAGAUAGAAGAAAAGAUUUGCAAUUCCUCUAAUGCCACUUUGCAAAGUGUGGCAACUUCCAUGAAGCUUAAGUUUGACAAGUAUUAGGGGGGACAUUGAAAAGGUUAACCCUAUACUCUUUAUAGCCCAAGCACUCGACCCGAGGUACAAGUUUGAAAUGUUGGAGGCAAGCCUCCGCUAUUCAUGUGAGGCAAUCUUGGAUGUGAAGAUAAGUAUUAAAAAAAACUUGACAGAUUUGUUUAAGGUGUGUAUAAGGAGGGAGAGGUUUCUAGUAGUAGUAGUGUUACCGUGGAUCAAAGGCCAAGUGUUGUGGUAGAUGAUUCUUCGGGGUUGGAAGAUGAUGAUGUUGCCACAAGAAUGCAAAGGAAAAUCCAACAAAAAAAGCUGCGGCCCAACAAAACGAGAUAUCCAAUGAAGUGGAUAUGUAUUUCAAUGGUCCUCACCAAAGCUUAACAUAUGAAGGUUUCAAUAUUUUGGAUUCGUGGAAAGUCAAUUGUGGAACAUAUCCAACUCUUAGUAAGGUUGCUAAGGACAUUUUUGCUCUUCCUAGUAGCACCGUUGCUAGUGAGAAUGCUUUUAGUCUUGGUGGAAGAGUUGUAGAUCUUUUUAGAGCUUCCCUAACACUAAGAACAGUUGAGGCUUUGGUGUGUACAAGUGAUUGGCUGAGGGGGAAUGAAAUGUCCUUCUACAAGGAGCCUACAAUUGAUGACCUCAUGUUCUACAAGGAACUUGAAAACUUGGAGAAGGGUAAGUGAAGUAUUUGAUUUCAUGUUUUUAUUUUCUUAGUUUUAUAAUUUAUGCAUUCACAUUCUAAAUAUAUUUUGUGUUUUAUUGUUUUUAUCGUUUUAGAGUUGCCUAAUAUGGGAGGUGAGGAGAAUCCCACACAAAGUGAAAUGCCACCUCCUCCACCACCUCAAGUUCAACGCCGCCCGUCACCACUUCCGCGACCACCCAUUUCAAGAGCAUCUACACCAACAAAAGGAGGAUUCAAUUAUCAAUAAGAGGAAGGGGUCCACCAUCAACGGCAACGGGUCAUUCAUCAACAAGGGGAAGGGGCCGAAUGGGCUAAAGGGAAUGAACUUACUUAAGCUUCAUUUUGGUUGCAUGCACUUUCUCGUUUAUAAACUAUGUUUUGCUUUUGGUUUGUAACUUAAUCUAAAUUCAUUCGGAAGUUUGGUUUGUAAAAUUUAACUUAUUUCAUUUUGGUUGUAUGCACUUUUAAUUAACUAGUUUGGUAGACAAUUGUAAACUUAAGCUUAACUUGUUAGUUGUUGCUUCCUUGGUAUGAAAAUUGAAACUGGUGGUAUUGUGAAACUGAAAUUGUGAAGCUUUAUGUGAUAUUGUGGUGAAUUGUGAAACUGAAAGUCUGAAACUAGUGGGCUGUGCGUGCAGGCAGUGGGCUGCAACCUCCAAGCCUGCAAUUGUUCCUUUUUUUUUCUUUUUUCUUUUUUUUUCUGAAAAAUGGGUGGGCUUACUUGUUAAACAGCUUAAAAUUGUAAAAAGUUUUAAAAGCCCAACAUUUUGGGCUUCAAGGCCCAAUCCCAAAGUGACCCGAAAAUCCCGAAACACUUUCAGGAAUCCCGAAUUUCGGGAAAUGAAUAGUUUCGGUUUGGUUUCGGGAUAUAAAAUCCCAUCCCGAAAUGUUUUGGUUUGGGAUUCGGGUUAGGGGUUUCAGUUCGGGAUCCCGACCCGAACCAACCCUAACUAAACGAAACAUCAUAAUAACAUAUUCAUUGUCAAUGGUGUGUUUGAAGGUGUUUUGAAAAUGACUGAAGAUGUUUUUAAUGAAAGUGUUUAUAGAACGAAUCCUUAAUUAAAGUGUAAAGUAAAUUCGAAAAAGAACUUGAAGUGCUUACAAGAAGUACAUAAUUGGUGAUUAUUCCAAACUUUUGAAACCUAAAAACACUUUCACCAAAAGCAUACUGAAUGUACUUCCAAGCAUGCAAAAUAUUACUUGUUUCAUGGUAACUUUGUCAUCUAUACUAUUAACUUUGUCAUCCACACACCUCUUUUUAUUUCUCACACACCACUCUUAAUUUAAAUAGUGCAAAUCAAUAAAAAAAUUCUAAACACUAACACAGUAACACUUAAAUAAGGGGUAGGAUAGAGGAUAAACAAUAAAAAGUUACAGACAAUAAGAUAGAUUUUACAAAUCUUAUUGUUCGUUGAAUUAAUUUGAAUUUGGUAUGACUAUAUAUAUAUAUGAAAUUUCAGAAAAUGAGAAGAAGAAUAACUUUGUAGAUUUGGAGUCCCAUUUUUGGGUUCUACCGUGAAAGAGAAAAAUUUAAGUAGAUUUUUUUUUUCAUUUAAAAGUGGAGGUUUAGUGAUAAGUUUUUUUUUUAUCAAAUGCUAAAGAUUAUUAAUUCUAUAUGAUAUAUAUAAUAAAGUAUUAGAGUUAGUGGUGAGAUGUUGGAAGUUGAAAUUUGGAAUAGGAAGAAUAGAUUUGAAUUGUUGUACUAUUGACCAAUAAGAGGAGGAUUCUAAAUGAAGGAGGCACAAUACCAAUUUGAGGAGGGUUGCAAAGAAAAUCUCAGGAUGAGCCUAGGCCCAUCCUUGUCUCAAGGUCCGUCCGCCACUUGUUCACGUGGUCCCCCGCAACCCAGGUCCUGUCUGCAGAGUAAUUAGGCUCGCAGAAGUCCAAAGUUUACUGCAAGCAUGGUCUCUCGGAAAAAAAAAAAAAGGGAGAAUCCAUUAGGGCUUAAUUUUGGCAGUCCGAAGACUUCCAUUCAAUCAUGAUGACGUGCAAAAUUUUGCACAACAUGAUUGUGGAAGAUGAGUACAUCAAAAUUGAAGAAGAUUCAAACGAAGAUGUGAAUGAUGAUCAACCAACACAUGCGAGAGCUAUUGCAAGAGAUGUUGAAUAUUUCGCUCCAACCACAUAUGAGACCAAAUAGGAUAGGGUCACCUUGAGUGAGUAUAUGAGAUGUUUAAAUAGAAUUCAAGCUCUUCAAUGUCAUGACACACUCUGCAAGGAUUUGGUUGAGCAUGUAUAGCGCCGAGAAGGUGAACGUUGAUGAUGUUGGUUAAGCAUUUAUGUAAUAAUUUUAAGUAUACUAUGUUGUUAUUUUCUAGUAAUAAAUUUAAGUGUCUUCUUGUGCAAAAUAUUUUGUCUAGUACGUUGGAUAAAUUAUUGAAUGGAGGUUGAAUUAUUGAAGGCAUCUAUUCUACAUCAAAGUGUGGAAUAAUAAGUACAAUAAUUAUUGAAGGCAUCUAAAUUAAUAGAAACAAUACAACCAAUAAUACAUAAACUUAAUACAACCGAUAAUUCAUAAACCACAUAAUUAAUAAAUUAAUAAACUUAAUUAAUAAAGCACAUAAUUCAUACACUACAUAAACUUAAUAAUCAUAUUCACCAUCUUCACUUGGUGAUGGACUUCGUUGAAAUGUUGGGAUAUAGGGUUCAAAUGAUUCAUCAUCUUGAAACAUACUCCUUGAGGCAAACUUUCGCAUAAUUUCCUUUUGCUUACCACGUAAGAACUUCUUCCUCUCUGGAGUGUAUUUGCUGAGGUCCUUCAUCAUGAAUUCAAUUUCAAACCUAUUUUCAUCCCUAUCCAAGAUUUCCUUCAUUUGCAAACGCAUUCGGGCCGUUUCAUCUUGGCGAGCGCUAUGAGUUUCAUUCAAUUUUGCAAUUCCGGUAUCAAAGUGUCAUCGGAUCUUGGGACUUCCCUUUUCUCUUUGCUUCAUUUUGUUUAUCUCUUCCCGAUGGCCUUGCAAAAGAAUGAGAUGGGGUCAUUUCAUCGACACCUUCAUCUCCGACAUUUGUCUGUGCGGCUUCACAUUGAAAUAAUUUUCCCCAUUGUUGGUCCGCAUCGGUUCCCCACCUUGGACAAUCCUUGAGGACGUCCCAAGCAUGUUGCAACUUAAAAACUUGAUUUUUUGGUGUUACUCUUGUCUUGUAAAUUUCGAUUGCUUUGUCACCCUAUGCAAAAAAUACAUAAAAAUAAUUAGUUGCAACAUAAUAUUAUGUAUAUAACAAAUAAAAUAUCAAGAACAAAACUCACAAUUUAUGUGGCACUCCUUCCACUAGCCAUGCCAACCACGGCUCUCUCCAAGUUUCCCUUCCAUAAAGUGCAUGUUUUGUUGAUAGUCUUCCACCGAUCAUAAACACCACCACCAUCCCACCCGCCGCCAUUGCAGUUUUCUUGAAACUUUGCAAUUAUUUUAUCCCACAAAACCUUCUUAUUUUGAUUUGUGCCAACUGCACCAUCUUCGCUAACAGAAACCCAUGCCAAGCAUAAAGCAACAUCUUCCUCACAUGUCCAAUUAUGACCUCUAAUAUGCUAUCUUGCCAUGUUGAACAAUUUGGAAAUGGAAAGAAUUGGUAGAAAGAUAAAUUGGAAGAAUUGUAAGAGAAAAUUGAGUUUUGUGUGGAUUUGAACAAAUACAUAGAUAUUUAUAGAGUUUUUGGGUGAAUUUUGAGUUAAAUAUUUUUUUAAUUAUUUUAGCCGUUGGAUUUAAAUUUGGGCCGUAAGAUUUUUUUUUUUACCGUUAGAUUUGAUUAUAUUCAAUCUCAGCCAUUGGAUUCAAUGUAUUUUAAAAUAACAUAUUCUAAAAAAAAUUAAAUUUGAAUCUGGACCGUUGGAUCAACCAACGGUCCUUAAAGCCCAGCCAUAUGAUCAAAAUUAUAGCCGUUGGGUUUUUGUGGGUGGCCGACAUAAGCCUGACAGCGGGGCCCAUCGCUGUCGGGAAACCUUUGCAAGUGCACCGCGUGGUGCGCGUUGGAGCGUGGGCUGGCCGAGACUGACCCAACAACCCGCGAGUCCACUCGCAUGGGGGGGGGUAUUUGGCCCAGCUUUGGCAUUUGACAUUUAGCCUAAAGUUUUAGCAUGGGUUGGAGAGUGUUUAGGGGGGAAAUGUGGGGGGAAAUUUAGCAUUUAGCCCACCAUUGGAGAUGGUCUUAGGAGGGGUUUAUUUGAAAUCAAGAUCUUUAGUUCUUCUGCUACUCAGUACUAUGGUAUGAUAAUAUUUCUUUUCAUUUGGAAGUGAGAAGUCUUAGGUUCGAAUCUCCUAGAUGGCGUCUUUAGUUCUUCUGCUACUCAGUACUACAGUAUGGUAAUAUUCAUUUUCAUUUGGAAGUGAGAAAUCUUAGGUUCGAAUAUCGUAGAUGGCUAAUUCGAUACCAAAUUAGUUUACGCAUUGUGUGGUCUAUCCAAAUUUCCCCUUCUCUUAGUAUAAAAAAUAUCAAUAUACUUCAAAAAAAAAAAAAAAAAGAAUUUGGUUCCUCUUUGAUGCCGUGACAAGUAUGCAAGGAAACAAAAUUCCCUGUGGCAAAAUAAAAGCAUAGCGAGUAGAAUUCAAAAUGAUCAAAGAAUACCGCAUCUCCAAAUAAAUAACUAAAAGAUGUUUUAUCUUGUCUGCCAUGUGAAGUCAAGUCCAAGUUCACAGGGAAGAAAAAAGCUUGCUGACAACUUCCCAAAUUAAUUGAUAAAAACACUCACGUGGCAACCCUUAAAAAAUAAGUUUUAACAAACAUUUUGGUACAGUUCACUUUUUAAUAGUUCACUUUUAAUGAAAAAUCAUAUUUUUACAUUUUGGAAUUAAUGAACUAUGUCUGCACAAGCUGAAACUGCACAAGGCACCAAAUCAAACACAAAAUAUUUUUCUUUUCAGUGGGUCUUUCACUCUUUGGAAUUAAUGAAUUAUGCCAGUUUGAUUUCGCUAACGAUAUGUAGGCAAUCUAGAGAUUCAGUCUAGAUGCAAUUGCACAAAGACAAAAACCCAAAAUUGAAUCUCUGGUUCAUCUCAACCAAAUUCACCAUAAAAUCCAAAUCGAGCCCCUUAUUCAUCUCAACCAAAUUCACCACAAAGUCCAAAUUGAAUCCCUGGUUUAUUCAACCAAAUUCACUCAAACAAAUUCGAAGUAUUCAAAUAAACCAAACACAAAACUUUUUUUUAGUGGGUCAUUCACUCACUAAAAAUCUCAAACCAAAUCAUCCAAGAACUACGAAUGGCUUGAUCCCUCCAAAAAGAGUACGUAGUAAUCAAGGGCUCAACCGAGGUGCAGUUGCAAAACCAAACAAACAUCCAAAUCCCCAAGUUAUGAUUUAUUCAUAUUGGAAUCAAAAGGUUAUUUUAUUUUUAAUCAAAGGUUGUAAUUAACAGACGUAUAGUCUAAAAUGGGUCAAACAAAAAUUAAUAAAACCCUCUUCAGAAAAAUGAACGAGAGUAAGAUUGUGUCUGAUAGAUUAUUUGUUACAUUUUUGUACAAUUUUUGCUCAACAGAUGCAUUGCCGAAUCUAGAGAAUUGAUUAGUUAUUGACUAUUGCGAUGAAUUGGUCUCAAACUAUGUUUUUCAACAAAUACAGCUCGAUUAAUCUCAUUCAACGUUAAUAGUUGAAAAAAAAAAAAAAAAAAAAGAAAGGGUCAUAUUUUCUCUUUUGGUUACAAGAACGUGCCAUAUUUUCUUUCUUUUAAAAGUUGUUCUGAUGAUAUAUUUAAGAAAAAAACAAUAGGCUUUUGAGCUUUUCACAGAGAAGUCAUUGACAAAGUAGAUAAUAAAUAAUAUUAUACUUUAGAAGGAAAUACACAAAUUUAAUACUUUAGAAAAUAAAUAACAUCCAUUAUACUUUAGAAAAUAAAAUAUACAAGUUUAAUACUUUGUAAUGGAAGAACGGCACACAAUAGAAAUUUCACAACUAAAAAUUAAUUAGAGCAUGUCAAUAAUUAAAAAAAAAAAGACUUGGCUUAAUGGGAAGGGCUCAAAGAAAUUUCACAGCAAAUAAUCAAUUAAAGCGUGACAAUUAGGUAAAUGAGGAGGUUUUUUUGCUCUAAUUGAGCUCUUGGAAAGUAUUUUUGUAUAAAACUUAUAGCUUUGGAACCAAUAAUUGUACAUUAGAAAAGAUAGCUGAUAUUUUUUUUAUUAAAAAGAGAGCUGAUUUUUAAUUAAUCAAUUUUGAAGUUUUUGUGUAUAUUCUAUGAAGACAUAAGGGAACUAUACUACAGUCUCCUCACAUAAAAUUCUCAGCUUUGUUAUUUUUCAUCAAACUAUGAUUCAUGCAAACGGGAUCAAUUUAUCAGUAGAUAUAUGAUACACGUAAAUGAGAUUGAAAAUCAAUAGAAAUGUUCCAUGAGAUUGUCUACCAUCCAUUAUUUUGAUCAUUCCGUUAAAAACUCCGUUAAGUGUCCCGGAGCUCUUGGCCGAAAGUUUGGGCAAUUUUCAAAGCUUCGUAACUCAAUCGUUUCUUAACCAAAUUAGACCCAUAAUAUAUCAAAAUGAAGAUAGGAAAGUGUAGAACAAGAUUAUACCUAUUUGGAAUCCCAAUGGUUGCCCGAGAUGGCUGGAAAAUAGCCUGAAAGCUGAUUGGUCAGCCGGAACACUGGAAAACUCGCCGGAAACUGGAUAAACUUUAAACAGUCAUAACUUCUUCAAUACUCAACUAAAUCGAGUGAAUCAAAAACAAAAAUCAUACUUCUCAACAGGACGAAGAGUAUGAUACCUUUCUCGACUGCUAAAUCAUAGUGGUUUGGCUGGAAAAUGACUCCAAAGAGCCUGUCUGGUCUCUAGUUAGCCACUUUCGAGCCGUUUUCGGUCAAACCACUGCAAAUUAGCCAUCGCGAAAGGUACCAUUCUCUUUGUCUCGUUGAGAAGUAUGAGUUUUGUUUUGAAUCACUCGAUUUCGUUGAGUAUUGAUGAAGUUAUGAACGUUUAAAGUUUAUCCAGUUUCCUGCGAGUUUUCCAGUUUUCCCGCGGACCAGUCAACUUUUAGGCUAUUUUUCGGCAAUCAUUGGCUUCCAAAUAUAUAUAAUCUUAUUCUACACUUUCUUAUCUUCAUUUUGAUAUAUUAUGGGUCGAAUUUGGUUAAGAAACGAUUGAGUUACGAAGUUUUGAAAAUUGCCCAAAUUUUCGGCCAAGAGCUCCGGGACACUUAAUGAAGUUUUUAACGGAGAGACCAAAAUAAUAGAUGGUGGACAAUCUCAGGGACCAUUUCUAUUGAUUUUCAAUCUCAGGGACCAUUUCUAUUGAUUUUCAAUCUCAGGAGCUAAAAUGAUGUGUUAUACAAAUCUCCGGGACCAUUUGACUAAAAAGCCAAAAAAAAAAAAAAAAAGGGCCAUGUGUUGUCAACUUUGUUGAGGUCGCCCACUACGCCUUCAUUUACCUUACUCGGCAGUUUGUGGGCUCGGAUUGCAGGACGUUUCCAAGAAACGAAACAGUAGAAUAACUGAAGGGUCGGUUAGCGAUUUCGUAACCAUUUCAUAUACAAUUUACAGUGAGCGUGAUGCAUCAUCAGUUUUGUCAAUGCAUGACUUUUAUGAAUGUAUUUUUGCUCAACAAGUGAAGUCCUACCAAAUGACACGAUAACUCCAACAACUACGCACAAUAUAUAUAUAUAUAUAUAUAUAUAUAUAUUUUUUUUUUUUUUUUUUUUUUUUUUUUUUUUGAAAAAACGAAAUUAUCUAUAUAAUAGGAAAGGGGUGAGCUUACAUCACAAUAAGCUAGCAAUAACGUAGUUCAAAUUUGCAUUUGGCGAGAAUCAAACCUAAAACAUAUCAUUUACAAGUGAAGAUGAAUAUUACUAGACUGUAAUACUAAAUGGUAAUGUGCAUAAGAAAUAUUAAAUACAUUUAUUUAAUAACUAAAAUUAAAAAUCAAAAUUAAAAGUCAAAAUUUAAAACUUAAAGAAUUAGCUUUAAAAACUGCAUAAUUAAAGGUAGUUAUCAAAUAAAUUUAAUUUUCAAAAAAGAUAAAACAAAAAUUGAAAAUGAAAUGAUAAUCAAUUGGCCUCGUUGCUUUCAAUUUUCAUUUUCUUCAAAAUAGAAAACUAAAAGCAGUAACCAAACGAUAUCAGUUUUAGAAAAUAACUGUCACCGACCACAAGUUGGAGCAAGGAGUCAUUUGAUAGGCGAAAGGAGAGAGAGACUAGUAGUAGUUUCUAAUAGGAUUUUUAGCUAAAAUGAUCUCUGAAAUUUGCAUAACAUCACUUUGGUUCCUGAGAUUGAAAAUCAAUAGAAAUGGUCUCUAAGAUUGUCCACCAACCAUUAUUUUGGUCAUUCCGUUAAGUGUCCCGGAGCACUUGGCCGAAAGUUUGGCAAAUUUUCAAAGUUUCGUAACUUAAUCGUUUCUUAACCAAAUUCGACCCAUAAUAUAUCAAAAUGAAGAUAAGAAAGUGUAAAACAAGAUUAAACCUAUUUGGAAGCCUAAUGGUUUCCAGAGAUGGUAAUAAAAUAGCCUGAAAUGUGACUAGUCCGCCGGAAAACUGGAAAACUCGCAGGAAACUGGGUAAACUUUAAACGUUCAUAACUUCUUCAAUAGUCAACGAAAUCAAGUGAUUCAAAAACAAAAAUCAUACUUAUCGACGAGACAAAGAGAAUGGUACAUUUCUUGGCGGCUAAAUCCUCGUGAUUUGGCUGGAAAACGGCUCAAAAGUGGUUGUCUUGGUCUUGAGUUAGCCACUUUCAAGCUGUUUUCCGGCCAAACCACGGUGAAUUAGCCAUCAAGAAAUGUACCAUUCUCUACGUCUCAUUGAUGAGUAUGAUUUUCGUUUUUGAAUCAUUCGAAUCAUUCGAUUUCGUUGAGUAUUGAAGAAGUUAUGAACAUUUAAAGUUUACCCAGUUUCCUGCGAGUUUUUCAGUUUUCCUGCGGACCAAUCAUAUUUCAGGGUAUUUUCCGGCCAUCUCUGGCAACCAUUGGGCUUCCAAAUGGUAUAAUCUUGUUCUACACUUUCCUAUCUUCCUUUUUAUAUAUUAUGGGUCGAAUUUGGUUAAGAAACGAUUGAGUUACGAAGCAUUGAAAAUUGCCCAAACUUCCAGCUAAGAGCUCCGGGACACUUAACAGAGUUUUUAACGGAAUGAUCAAAAUAAUGGAUGGUGGACAAUCUCAAGGACCAUUUCUAUUGAUUUUCAAUCUCAUGAACCAAAGUGAUGUGUUAUGCAAAUCUCAGUAACCAUUUUGGCUAUAAAGCCUUUUUAAUAUAUUGGCAUUCCAAGAGUCCAUGCUUUCGAGGUAUAGUAACAAAAGAUAAAGCAAAAACAAUUGUAAUUUCAACAAAGGUCUUUGUACAGAAAAUUGACAAUGUCCGCAAUUGUUGCAUCAAAAUUUCUGAUGCCUGGCCAGGUCUAGAGGAAAUGAUCGACUAUUGCCAUGAUUUGGUGGAACUGCCUGCUAAGCUCUGUGAUCUUGUUCAUAUGAAGAUGCUCAGUGUCACCAACUGCCAUAAGCUAUCUACCUUGCAUGAAAGAUUGGAAAGCUAGAGAAUUUAGGAGUACGACAAAAAAAAAGGACCUUUUGGGACGGUCAAAAUGAGUCACAAAAACAGCAAAAAGCGUCGCAGCAACCCUUUUACAACGGGCUUGCGAGAGCCAAUGACUCGUUGCAAUACAUAGGCGUCGUAAAUGUUGGUUGAUUAUAUCCGACGUUUUCACCGUGUCGCAAAUACUAUUUGCUACAGGUUUGCGACAACAAGUAACGCAUCACAAAUAAUAGGCACUAGGUUUUAAAAAAAUAUUAGGCGUCAAAUGAGACUCCACAAUCACAUUAUUUUUAACAGCUUCACCAAAAUUGUUUCAUGUGAAAUGUUACUACAUAUUUCAAACUAGAAUAAAAUCCAAUACUGAUACAAUUCAUAAUUCACAAAAUGAGAAACACUUGGAUAUCAAAGAAUGUAUUUCACUUACAGUAAUGAAACAUAUAUACAUGAUCAAAACGUUUAUAGGUUCUAUAUUCCUACGUCAAGGUCCUCAUGAUAAUACAAACCAUGUAGAAUUGUCUUCAAACGUCUGCUUCCACCUCUCGUCAUAGACCUCCUCAAAUAUGUCCUUAAACCUGGAGCAGUCAAAUAACUCAACAUUUGUAAGAAUUUCCUUAUUGAACUAAAUGAUAUAGAAUUCAUAGUUGAAUGAUGAAUAAUUCUUCCAAGAAAGGUAAAUUUACCUGCCAUCAUACUUCACUAGUUCUUCAUAAUAGUGUUUUUGGUGCUCAAGUAUAGUGGCCACUUCUUGGAAAGAGCCAAAGACAUUGACAAGUCGGCAAAAGCUCGAAUAGACUACCAAAAAAUAAAGGUUUUUUUAGUAGAGUUUAUCAGCACAUUUGCCUAAACAAACAAAAAGGUAUGCGAUGCCCAUUGUGGUAACACAAACCUCAUCAGCAUUAUACAUAGAAAGGGCCACACCAGGCCCUUUGAAAUUGUGAACAUCAAGUGCAACAAGGGAGACUCCUUCUGGGACUUAGCAUUACAAACAGAGAUGCGAAGCAGAAAACCAUAUUCAAGGGAAAUUACUUCACCAGAACAAUCAUAUGAUCUAGAAUGUUGAGAUUUACUUACCAAAAACCAUUUCAAGUUUUCAUGGCCCUUUGACAACUGUAUCAGGCUCGAUACUGAUCGCCAAAGGCAUGCCUACGAAUACAUAUGGCUUUCUUCCAACCUGUAAAUUGGACACGUAUUGAGCACUUCCCAUAACAUUUUACUUACAUUCAAGAUUAGAAAUGACUUCAAGCUAUUACCAGGAACUAUUCUAGGGAUGUUUCUACAUAGAAUAGUUUCAUGAAAAAAUAGCACCUGUAAAUUAAAGCAUUACAUUUCAAUUAGAGAUUGUUCAAACAGUUAGGUAAUCUUUCAGAUGCUAACUUAAUUUGUAACUUAUGAACGAAAACGAGUAACAAAACUAAGAGUAUUAAAUUUUGUUUUGUAUUAAAAGGAGAUGACGUCUCAGAUACAAACCGUCUAGAAUGUUUCUAAUUGUGCCCUUUGGACUCCACAUUGAUUUCAACCCAAACUCCUUCAUUCUGGUCUCAUCUGCAAGGUAUAUGAGAAAUUGAAAUUAGAUGAGACAACAUUUAAAUGUCCAGGUAGAGCAGAUAGAUCAUCUUAUUGCUAAGGAAAGUAUUUGAGCAGCCAUAAUGUAUAUCGUAAAGGAUUCAAGGUCCUCGUGAUAAUACAUACAAAACAGCAUUAUAGAAAAGCAAAAACAACUAACCAGGGGUUACUGUAGCACAUUACACAACAAAAUUGUGCCUGCAGGGCAUAAAAGGUUAAAAUCAAACAAAUAGAAGAAGCAAAAACUAACGAUUCAAAGGUAAGAAAUGUUGGGAUACGGUCCAGCCCAUGAUGAAUGUUCUAGAUUAUUCUAGUAAACAAGUGAGGUGGCUGGAGCAUGCUAGACAAUUCUAGCAAGUUAUUAAGUUGGUGGAAGAAGCUAGAAAAUAUUAGCUUCCUUGGUUGCAAAUGGAAAGAUCUAGAAGCUACAAUUUUGUGACUAGUCUAUAAUUAAGCUAGAGGUUUGUAGAAUAUACUAGAAACUAGUUCUAGUUUGUAGAAGGAACUAGAAACUAGUAGAGUGCCAAGUCCUCACCUAUAAAUAUGGGUGUGAUAUUGUAGUGAUUUAACCAAUCAAGAAAGUAGUGGGUAGCGAAGGAUCAAGUCCAAAGCUAGAGUUCCACUCCAAGAGUGAGAGUGAGAAUGAGAGUUCCACUACACAUUGUGUGAGAGAAGUUUAGAGUGUCCAUUUUCUACUUUGUGCAUUCUCUAUCUUGUAGUACUGACAUUCUUAACAAGUGGUAUCAGAGCCCGGUUGGCUUAUACUACAAGAUGGAAGGAAGUGGCACUAUGAUCAAACUCACCAACUCCAAUUGGGUAACAUGGAAGCCAAGGAUGGAGGAUAUUCUCUAUUGCAAGGAUCUGCAUGAGCCAAUUGAAGGAGAUGCCACUAAGCCCGAGAGCAUGUCCGAUGCUGAGUGGAAGAAAAUGAAUCGCAAGGCAAUUGGCACAAUCAGACAAUGGGUGGACGAUAGUGUUUUUCACCAUGUGUCUAAUGAAACCAAUGCCCGUGAGUUUUGGACAAAGCUUGAGUCCUUGUUCGAGAAAAAGACCCCAGCCAAGAAAGUCUUCUUGAUCAAAGCUCAUCAAUGUGAAGAACACGGAUGGUUUAAGUGUAGCAGAACACUUGAACAAUUUCCAGAAUAUCAUCAACCGGUUGGCUACUAUGAACAUGACAAUUGAGGACGAGCUGCAAGCGCUCUUGUUACUUGGAUCCUUGCCAGACAGUUGGGAUACCUUUGUGGUGAGUGUAAGUAACUCUACUCCUAAUGGUGUUCUUACUCUUGAUAAUGUUAAAAAUAGCAUGCUUAAUGAAGAAACAAGGAGAAAGGCUUCUGGCACAUAUAGCAGCCAAGUAUUUGUCACAGAGAACCGCGGAAGAAGCAAGAGUAGAGGGCCUAGAGGUCAUGGCAGGAGUUCUAGCCGAUCCAAAUCAAGGUUCAGGGGUGCAUGCCACCAUUGUGGCAAAGAAGGCCAUAUGAAGAAAAAUUAUUGAGUUUGGAAGAGAUAGCAAAGGGAAGGAAACAAUCAGAAGAAAGAUGAUACUGGCAAUACCACCGCAAUCAUGUGGUGAUGUAUCAGAAUAUUGUCUGUUGGUGAAUGUCUGCAUAUGGGUGAUUCUGACAAAGACAUUGAAUGGAUCUUUGACAAUGGAGCUUCCUUCCAUGCUACAUCCAAACGGGAGUUCUUCAGUACAUACAAAGAAGGUGACUUUGGCAUAGUGAAGAUGGGGAAUGAAAGCAAUUCCAAAAUUCUUGGAAUUGGUGAUAUUUGCCUAAAAACUAAUCUCGGCUGCUAGUUGAUAUUGAAAGAUGUGAGACAUAUUCCUAAUAUACGUCUCAAUUUGAUAUCCAUCGAUACCCUUGAUCAACAAGAUUAUUAUCACCAUAUUGGCGAAGGAAAAUUGAAGCUUACUAAAGGCUUAAUGGUGGUAGCAAGAGCACGACUUUGUUGUAUGUUGUACCGGUCAAAUGCCAAGGUUUUGAAAGGUGAGUUGAUUGCUGUGGAAGACUCAUCUCUAGACUUGUGCAUAAGAGGCUUGGCCACAUGAGCGAGAAAGGCCUACAAGUUCUAGCAAAGAAGUCUCACAUUCCCUUUGCCAAAGGUACGUCGUUAAACUCUUGCGAGCACUGUUUAUUUGGUAAACAAAGAAGAGUUAGUUUUUUUGUUCCAUCUACAAAGAAAGGAAAUUUGUUAGAUCUUGUUUAUUCAGAUGUGUGUGGUCCCAUGGAAGUCGUGUCACUUGUAAGAAAUAAAUAUUUUGUUACUUAUAUUGAUGAUGCUUCACGAAGUGUCUGGGUGUUUUUGUUGAAAUCCAAAGACCAGGUGUUUCAGACAUUCCAGGAGUUCAAUGCCAUGGUGGAGAGGGAAACUAGAAAACCUCUCAAGUGCCUUCGUAGCAACAAUGGCGGCGAGUACACAUCUCACCAGUUUAGAGAUGGAAACUAGGAAACCUCUCAGCUGCCAAUGAAGUGUCUGCAGAACCAUAUAAUGCUGAUCAUGGGGAGCCUAAUCCAGACCAUGAAAUUGUUGAUCAGGGGGAGCCUAGUCAAGAAUAGCAGAAUCAAGGAGAACUACAUCAGGGGGAGCCUCCAACCCCGCAAGAGAAUGAAGACCAAGUCAGAAGAUCCAGCAGAAGUCGAAGACUGUCUACCAAGUAUUCUUCAUCAGAGUAUAUCAUGUUGACAAAUUAUGGAGAGCCCGAAACUUAUGAGGAGGCAAAAGCUCAUAACAAUAGUGACAGAUGGAUUAAGGCAAUGGAGUCAAAGAUGGAUUCCUUAUUAAAGAAUGAUACCUAUGAGCUGGUGGAGCUUCCAAAAGGCAGAAAAGCAUUGAAAUAUAAGUGGGUGUUCAAAUUGAAAAGAGACGACAACAUGACAAGGUACAAGGCUCAUUUGGUUGUCAAAGGUUUUGGUCAAAAGAAAGGAGUUGACUUUGAUGAGAUUUUCCCACCGAUGGGGAAGAUGACUUCCAUUCAAGUUAUCCUUGGUAUGGCAACAAGCAUGGAUCUUGAGCUCGAGCAGUUAGACGUUAAAACUGCAUUUCUCCACAGCAAUUUAGAAGAGGAGAUAUACAUGGAGCAACCCAAAGUCUUUGAAGUCAAAGGUAAAGAAAAUUUGGUGUGCAAGCUAAAGACAAGCUUAUAUGGUCUUAAGCAGGCUCCAAGACAGUGGAAUAAGAAGUUCAACUCAUUCAUGGUGAGUAAUGGGUACAAGAGAACUUAUGUUGACUCUUGUGUCUAUAUCAAACAAUUUUCUGAAGGUAAAUUCAUUAUUUUAUUGCUUUAUGUUGAUGACAUGUUGAUUGUCGGUCAAGAUGCUUCUAUGAUUAAAAAGCUCAAAGAAGAGUUAUCUAAGUCGUUUGACAUGAAGGACUUAGGGCCAGCCAAGCAGAUUUUGGGCAUGGUGAUAAUUUGUGACAGAAAAUCCAAGAAGUUGUGGAUGUCACAAGAAAAGUAUGUUGAAUGGGUGCUUGAAAGGUUCAACAUGAAAGCAGCCAUACCGGUAAGCUCACCCUUAGCCAAUCAUAUCAAGUUAAGCAAAGAGUAGUGUCCAAAAACAUAUGAAGAAAAGGAGAAAAUGACAGUUGUUCCCUACUCUUUAGCGGUAGGAAGUAUCAUGUAUGCAAUGGUGUGUACACAACCAGAUAUUGCUCAUGCAGUAGGUGUGGUAAGCAGGUUUCUCUCUAAUCCAGGGAAGGAACACUGGGAAGCUGUUAAGUGGAUUCUCAGAUAUUUGAAGGGGACUUCUAAGAUGUGCUUGUGCUUUGGCGGUUCCAAACCAAUCUUGGAAGGAUUUACAGAUGCUAGCAUGGGAAGUGACCUGGAUGGUAGAAAAUCUACGUCUAGGUACUUGUUUACUUUUGCAGGGGGAGCUGUCUCAUGACAAUCCAAGUUGCAAAAGUGUGUUGCUUUGUCCACAACUGAGGCUGAAUAUAUAGCCGCUACAGAACCAUGCAAGGAGUUGUUGUGGCUGAAGCGGUUUCUCCAAGAGUUAGGUUUGAAGCAAAAUGAUUAUGGCGUUUAUUGUGAUAGUAAGAGUGCUUUGGAUUUGAGCAAGAACACUGCAUAUCAUUCACGCACCAAGCACAUUGAUAUUCGUUAUCACUGGAUUAGAUAGGCUAUUGAGAACAAGUUGCUACAGCCGAAGAAGAUUCAUACCGAUAAUAAUUCCUCAGACAUGUUGACAAAGGUAGUCACAAAAUCAAAGUUGGAAUUCUGCAUUAAGGCUGCUGGGAUGGACUCCAAGUAACUUGGAGUCAUGAUCGAAAUUCCUCCCUCAUGGACUGGAGGGGGAGAUUGUUGGUAUAUGGUCCAGCCCAUGAUGAAUGUUCUAGAUUAUUCUAGUAAGAAAGUGAGGUGGCUGGAGCAUGCUAGACAAUUCUAGCAAGUUAUUAAGUUGGUGGAAGAAGCUAGAAAGUACUAGCUUCCUUGGUUGCAAAUGAAAAGAUCUAGAAGCUACAAUUUUGUGACUAGUCUAGAAUUAAGCUGUUUGGAUUUUGGCUCGUCAAAUAUGUCCUAGUUGGUUUAGGAUUGUUUUAGGAAACCUAGAGGUAUACCGAUUCUUGUCCUAGAGGGAUUAGGAAAGAAUUUCAAUUUCUUUAUUCAAUUUAGGUUUGGAUUUCUAGAAGUCUAUUUGGAUUUGGAUAAGUGUAAUUUCCUAGUCCACUUGGAAAUAAGAAUUCAAUCAGCCUUAGGACAUGUAAGCCAACUCUAUGUCUAUAAUAGGGUGCGGCAAGGCUGAUUUUUAAGAGGAGAGAAAGAAAACAGCCAGACAGCCAAGAGUUUUGAGAUUAGUUUUAGGGUUUGCAAAAGUUCUGUAAUCUUUAUUAUUAAUCAAAGGAGAGGUGAUUUCUCUACCUAGAGAAAUAACAGAUGGACGCAGGCAAAAGUUCUGCCGAACCAGUAUAAUUCUUGUGUGUUUCUAAUAUUUGCUAGUUUAGUCUAUUGCCGUUGGUUACAUUAAAGAACAAGGUCUAGUGUGCGGGUUUUUCAACAUAAGCUAGAGGUUUGUAGAAUAUACUAGAAACUAGAAACUAGUUCUAGUUUGUAGAAGGAACUAAAAACUAGUAGAGUGCCAAGUCCUCACCUAUAAAUAUGGGUGUGAUAUUGUACUGAUGUAACCAAUCAAGAAAGUAGUGAGUAGCAAAGGAUCAAGUCCAAAGCUAGAGUUCCACUCCAAGAGUGAGAAUGAGAAUGUUCCACUACAUAUUGUGUGAGUGAAGUUUAGAGUGUCCAUUUUCUACUUUACUUUGUGCAUUCUAUCUUGUAGUACCGACAUUCCUAACAAGAAAUACAAAGACACUAAACAAAUUCUGAAUCAAACUACUUACUUAAUAGUGGCUUCAGCGCUCUUUACUGUAACUCUGUCAUCGGUUGCAUCACGGUUCAAAAUCCCUAAAGCAUAGUACUUUAUAUCCAAGUCCAGAUAGGGAAAAAUGAGCAGUAAUAGCAUACAAAUGAAAAACUCGGAUUAAAUCAAAUAAAUUCUACAACAAAAGCAUUAAUAAGACCAUCUCCAACAAUGGGCUAAAUGCCAAAUUCCCCCCCCCCCAAACCCACUCCAACCCAAGACAAAUCUUUGGGCUAAAAGCCAAAUGCCAAAGCUGGGCCAAAUACCACCCUAAAUUCCUCCCCCCCCCCCCCAUGCGAGUGGACUCGCUGGAACUUGGGCCACUCUUGGCCCGCCCACACACGUACGCGCCCCACGCACUAGGCUUGCAAUGCUUUCUCGACAGGGGUGGGCCCUGCAGUCAGCUGGUUGUCGGCCAAAAUCAUCAUCCUAACGGCUAUAAUUGAGAUCCAAUGGCUGGGGUUUAAGGAUCGUUGGUUGAUCCAAUAGUCCAAAUUCAAAUUUAUUUUUUUUCGAAUAUGUUAUUUUAAAAUACAUUGAAUCUAACGGCUGAGAUCGAAUAUAAUCAAAUCUAACAGUAAAAAAAAAAGAUCUCACGGCCUAAAUUUAAAUCCAACGGCUAAAAAAAUUAAAAAAAAACUAUUUAACUCAAAAUUCACCUAAAAACUCCAUAAAUACCUAUGUAAUUGUUCAAACAUUCACACAAAUUUAUUUUUUUCAAUAUUUAUCAAAAUUUAAAUAUUUUUAGAUUAAAAUGUUCAUAAAAUUAAUUUACGAUAGUCUACAUAUAUAUAUAUAUAUAUUAAUUUAAUUUAAGAAAAAAAUAGCCUAAGUUCAUUAUUUAAUAAUUCCGGGCUAAAAUUUUAGCCUAGAACGGUUGGAGCAGAAAAACUGUUUCUGGGCUAAAAGCUAAAUUUUCCAGGCUAAAAAAUUUGGCUUUUAGCCCAACCAUUAGAGUUGGUCUAAACUGAAAUUCACAUUAAAAUGUAUAUCACACUUUGCCUUUAAUCGUUUUCCUUAUGAUCCUCGUCCUUACAUCAACUAAUUGACAAAAUAAUACCACAAUUAAUACAGUACACAAUCACAACAUCCAAAAUUACAAAAAAUAGCUCCAAUUACAAAAAAUCUCCAAAAAUAUUAGUAAGUAAUGACGAAGUAAAACCACAGGAAAAAAAAAGGGAAAAACCCUAAAUAACGAUAGAACUUAUGGAGAAUAGAUAGGAUAGGAAUUUGAAGAAAAAUGAUGAAACAACACCAACAAAAAACACAUUAUCUUACCCGAAUGAGAAGAGAUGACGUUGAAUUCGACUUUCUAGAAGCAAAAAGAAAGAACUGAGAUGACGAAAAAAUUAGGGAUAGGGAAAGGGGAGAUUUGUUUGAGAGAGGGAACAAGAACCAUAAACCCUUACCUGGUUCAAUUGUGGCUCAGCAUCAAUGGUUAUGGCGAGAGUGGCAGAGAAGGUUUUAAGCUUUUGAAGAGAGGGAGAGAGGCGGAGAGCUAGAGGCAGGCUCGAGCAUCUGAGUCUCAUUAUAAUUCUUUUUUAUUUUUCUCUUUUAGCGCAGAACAAAGCGCAAAAAUUUUUAGUGAAAUUUAAUAUUUUAUUGCGAGGGCCGCCUUACAGUUGCACAAACGGUGUCGCAAAUGCCAUGUUUUCUUGUAGUCCUAAGGUCCUGUACAGACUUGGUAAGGCUUACGGUCUCGAUUUGAGAAGCUCACUAAGUUGUGCAAUCUUGACAUGUAUAAUUGUUUCGUCAUCAAGGAGUUGCCCCAAGGCAUUGGUAAUAUGAACGGUUUAAGAAAAAUCAACAUGGGGACAAUGCUCAAGUUUGAAAAAGUUGGGUACUUAGACAAAAUUACUUUAAAAUAUUUCAAUAUCAUACAUUAUCUUCAAAUUUAUUGCAAUGCAUACAUUUUAAUAAUUUUUUUUAAAUAGGAGACCCAUCCCUACAAACCCAUCACCCAUUCUUUCCCAUCCACUGUGUCCCUGCCCCCCACCCCAACCUUCCUUCACCACCAAAACCAGAACCCCAUCGCCACCUUCUCUUCCGCCAUCUCCACAUCCCUCCUCCUCCUCCUCCUCCACCACCACCACUAAAUCCAACCAUUCAAAGCAACUCGUCAUUCAACCUUCCAGUUCAAAUAAAAACCAAGUACUCCACAACACUCCAAACCCAAAAACAUCAUCCUAUCCAAAAGGUUCCGAAUCCAACGAACUAAACCCGUCGUCGUUUUGGCCCACUGAAUUAUCGUUCUUUCUCAGCAGUCAGCACACCCUCCAUACACACGUGACUCUCCCUCGCCCUCAUCUUCCCCACUCGAUCGUCUUCUCCACCCAGCCACCUCUGCCAAAUUCCAAUCAAGUCUUCCCAUUUCUGCAACUCCCCAAAAACCCCUAAAUGCCCCUCAAAUCCUAGACUAAUUACUUCCUCCUCCAACUCUUUUCUUCUUCACCUAUCGGUUUUGUUCUGGUGAAGGAACGAGAUGAUGGGCUCUGAGAACCGGGCCUCCGACGAAGCCCACCUCCUCGCACCGAAAGAAGAAAUGGAGGAUCUCGUCCUUGACGCUCAAUUGAAUGGUAAUAAAUCGUACUCAAAUUAUUGCAGCGCCAUGUCGUCACUAUUCGAUACGACACAACCCCUUUCGUCGUCGCCGCCUUCGCUACCACCACCUCAACAACGCCAGCCGACAUCGAUCCCCUUUUGGCGCCCUCACCAUAUCGCGAUCUCCCCCGACAACUCCACGUACAUCGACCCGCCUUCUUACAUCAACGUGACCUUCAGCCCUUUCGAUGCCGAAAUCGCGGCCGAAGGCAACGGCAACGAGAUCCCCUGCAAGAGCUCUGACGACUCGAAUAUAAUAUAAGGUAUGAUAUUUAAAUAUUUUAAUGAUGAGGUAUAAGCUCUGAUAGACCUAAUACUUGAGAUAGUUUUAUGUAAUUCAUCCGAAAAGUUACCUUUAUGUGUGGAUCUUGAUGAGGAGUUGGAGCAAGUGAUUUGUGAUGAAGAGAAGAAACAUUUGUGGGAACCUUUCUUAAUUUAAACUAUAUUAUUAUUAGUCUAUUGUGAAGUUAUAUUUACUUUUAUCUUCUCAUAUUUUAAUGAUGAUAAUAUCAUUUGUUUAAAAAAAUAAAAAAAGACAAAAUAAGGUUUGUGUUACAUUGUUUCUUUAAUUUUCAUCUUCUUGUUGGGUUUUUCUUUUUUGAUUUUGUACAAUUUCUAAGUUUCAUCAAAUCCAUUUGUGGUACUGUUUAGAUCAAACUCUCUUGAGUCUUAAGAAAUUAUGCGUUUUUUUCCUGUGUAAUGUUUUACACAAAAUAAAUAAUGUGUAUUAUAUUUUCUUGUAUUGCAUUUUUAUGAAGUGCAAAAUGAUGCUUUUGGAGUAUCAACACCAAUUCUCUAUAAAUAAUGUGUAUUAUAUUUUCUUUGAAUAUACAAAACAUGUGUUUUUACUAAACCUAAUAUGUAAAUUAUGCAUUAAGUUUCUUUUGUUGCAGACUCCUGUAGGUGAUAGAUAUUGAGAUAUUCUAAGUUACGGUUGAAUGUGUUUUAAGUUAAUGCAAACACGCAAUCGAUAUGCCAUUGAUAUCGUCAAAAUGUAAUCCGUAGAGUGCAACAUAAAAGAAAUGGUUUAAGUAUCAAUCAUUUAGUGUUCAUCGGUCCAAACUUUCGUUUGACUGUCUUUAUGCUUUUGUCUCCUUUAGAAACUUGCCUUCACAACUCCUCCGUGAGAGAUCCUUUCUCCUUGGCGAGACUUCUUCUUUCCUUUGUGUGAGAGUUUCCCGGUUCCGUUCAUCUCCUUGAGCUUCUGGUUUCCCCCCGUUCGCCACUUUCCUCCAACCCCUGUGCCCCUGAUUUCUCUGUCUGUAGCCCCUUCCUCCCCUUUUCCGUUUCCCCAUCCUUCCACCCUCCUUCCGCUCUUCUCCCCUAUUUCUUCCUUGAGCUUCCUGGUACCUAUUUCCUUUCAACCUUUUCCCCCUUUUUCUCCUUCCGUCCACCUUCCUCCACCUUCCUCCCACCUUCCUUCCACCUCACCCCCUUUCUGUCCCUUUCCUUAAACCUUCUUUCCACCUUUUUCCCCCUUUUCCCCUUCUGUCCCUUUCCUUAAACCUUCUUUCCACCGUUUUCCCCCUUUUCCCCCUUUUCUUCCAAGUUAAUUUCCAAGUGCCCCACCACAGCAAUCAGCUACUGCUAAAAGUGACCGCGCUCCAACUCCGAAAUUUCUUUCGAGCUUCAAGAGUAAGGGUUUCUAUGUUAAAACCAACCCAAACUGUAUAUUUGUUUGUCCAACUUUGUAUUGCUUGAUCACCAACAACGUAAGAGAAAAUCCAACUUUGUAUUGCUUCUUUUCUGAAUCUCUUUAUUUUGGGUUCCAUAUUUAAGAGUGUCAAUUUCUAAUCUGAUAUUGUUUUGGGCAACUGCUUAAAAUGGUCCGAGAUCAAGGAGUGUAUUCAAUUGAGAUUUUUAGGGAUUUUAAUUCUUUUAAUGAAUCUAGGGUAUUCAAUUAGAAUUUUGAGUAAGUCUUUGAAAUUCUAGCAGUAUUCAAUUAGAAUUUUAAGAUAGUUUAUUAAAAUCCUUAGAAAUAUUCAAUUAAGAUUUUAAAUGUGUAUUCAAUCAGAAAUUGAUUUUAAAGAAUUUGAGAAAGUUGAGGAAUUACAAGGAAUUGAAGAGAUUUCGUAAUGUAUUUUAAGCAUCCACAAAUCUCACCUUUUUAUAUGAGAUUUCGAGGGAAUUGAAUCAAAAUUUUAUAUGAAAUCUCUACAAAUCAAUUAAACUUCAUUAAAAUCUCUCACAUUCUCAAUUGAAUACACCCCAAAUCUCAAUUUCUCAAUUCCUCAACUUAUCAAAAUCAAAUAUCGAUGACAUAAAAAACUGGUAAUUUAAGAAAUUCGGCCAAUUUCCCCUGUUAUUUUCAAUUGUCGUAAAUUUUACAUUGAAACUUUUGUAUGUUUUUCUGAUUUUCGGUGUUGGUUUUCGUCGUUAAGAAUCAAGGAAUGGAUGGAGCAGACGACCCUUCCGGAUCAGUAUUCAAUGCGCUGCAUGAGGUCCUCAUGGAGCUGAUCGCCAAGAAUGUAAGGAUUAAGCCCCUCCUCAAAGACAUCAAAUCCAGGUUAGACUCUUUGGAACCAUUGUUGAAAUAUAUAGAAAAAGAUAUAGAAAAAUCCAAGAAAUUGGAUCUUCCGGUUGUGGAACUGGAAAACUUAGAAGUGCAUUUGGAAGAGGGCAUAGAGCUCGUUCAAAAGUGCAUAAAGAUUCGACGGUGGACCACAUACAAACGGUACAAAUACUCCAACAAGCUGACUGGAUGGGAUAAAUCUCUUCAACGACUUUUGGAAAAGCUAGACGUUCAGGGAAUAAGGGAUAUGAAGGACAGCCCGGUUUUGGUGAAGAAUAUAGAGAAGGCGGUCAGCAAAAUUCAAUCGAAUCUGGGGAUACCAAAACAACCCGACAGUGAAACUUGGUGUGCAGCACCUGAACUUCCACCGCUUGUGGUUGGGUUGGAUUUUCCUCUAAAGGAAUUGAAGAGGAAGCUUCUAAAGGACGAAAAGGUAUCAAUGGUUGUGCUGACUGCUCCCGGAGGAUGUGGGAAAACCACUUUGGCUACAAAGUUUUGUCAAGACAAGGAUGUCAAAGGUAUCAUAUAUUUUAAGUUAGCACUCGGAGUUGUAUAUUUUUUUUUGUGAUGUAAAAGGUAUCAUAUAUUACAACUAUGUCAGAUUUAAAUGACGCCUCAAUGACAGAUUUAUUAUGUUUUCUUUGGAUAGAUACAUUCAAGGAUAAUAUCUUCUUUGUCACGGUUUCAAAAAAGCCUAAAUUGGAAAACAUUGUUCAAGAUCUAUAUCAACGAAAGGGUUUCCAGGUACCUACUUUCCAAAACGAAGUUAGUACAGUGACGUGGCUGCAACAUUUUCUUAAGAAAGAAGGGCAGAAUCCUAUACUGUUUGUCCUGGAUGAUGUUUGGUCUGGAUCAGAAUCCCUUGUGCAGAAGUUUGAUCAAUUCAAAAUGGAAAAUUACAAGUUUUUGGUGACAUCUAGGUCUGAAUUUCGGGGAUAUGGUUCCCCUUAUUAUUUGCGAUCAUUGGAUCGUGACAAUGCGAUGAAACUUUUUCAUCAUUCAGCAUCCCUUGGAGAUAAGAGCUCUCAUAUUCCAAAAGUUCUUGCAGAAAAGGUACUUUUUAGUUGCAAUGCAGAGCAUGUAUAGUAAAAAAUUAGUUGACUUGGUUUUGGAAAAUUGUCAAGAAAUCAUGUUCACUUUACGCAAAGCAUCCACAAUCAAGUGAAUGAACACGUCCAUUUACCGUAUAAAUUUGUGAGCAGUCAUGCAUCUAAGCAUACUUGUGGACUAAAACUAAAAUUAGAAUACAGUAUAUAGUUAUUUAGCCAUUUUCACAUCAUCGUAACUUGAAUUUUGGCUCUGCAACUUAAAAGGUAACUGACUUUGUUUUGGAAAAUUAUCCUGCAGAUAGUCGAACGUUGCAAGGGAUUUCCGCUUGCUAUUACAGUGGUGGGGAGAUCGCUUUGCGGGGAGCCUAUAGAGAUAUGGCAAAAAAGAGAACUUGAAUGGUCUAAAGGUUUUUCUAUUCUUGAUUCAGAGACUGAAUUGCUGCUCUGCCUUGAACGAAGCUUGGAUGCCAUAGAUAAAGAAAUCAUCAAGGAAUGUUUCUUAGACUUGGGUUCAUUUCCAGAAGACCAAAGAAUCCCUGUUGCUGCCCUCAUUGAUAUCUGGGCAGAGUUAUAUGAUGUAGAUACAGAUAUAGAGUGCAUUGCAAACCUCUAUGAGCUAACCAAACGUAGUCUAGCUAAUCUUGUUGUUACAAGGUGUGCAUGCUUUGUUUUUUCUUGUAUGAUAUUUUCGCUCUAUUUUCCCCUUUAUACUCACGACUGGUUGAUGCUAAUAACUUGUUAUUGCAUUAUGUUGGUUGAAGAAAUCUCUUCUAAGAAAAUUAGUUUUGAUCAUCACCAGGAAGGACAAUAUGGUGGGGGACGGGUACUACAGUGAGCACUUUGUUACCCAUCAUGAUGUUGUUAGGGAGCUGGCUAUCUACAACACAAAAAAAGGACCAGUAGAACAUAGAAAAAAACUGAUUAUUGACAUAUGUGGAGACAAUCUUCCAAAAUGGUGGAGAGAACAAAAGCAUCAGCCAAUGAAGGCCCGCUUAAUAUCCAUAACAACUGGUUGUUCCAUCGCUCCUUUUCUCUUUAGCAAUUAUGUAGACAUGCACAAAUAAAUAGUUAUUCUUGCUCACACGCACUCGCACGUGCACAUGAAGCCUUAAUAGUACUUUCAUUUAGUUUCUUCUCCAGACACUCACAGUUGUUGCUUUGCAGAUGAAGGGUUUUCAACAAAGUGGCACGACAUGCAAAUGCCAGAAGCUAAGGUUUUAGUAUUGAAUUUCCAGACAAAGAAUUAUGCCUUACCCGAAUCUUUGGUGAACAUGGAUGAAUUGAAGGCUGUGAUAGUCACAAAUUAUGGUUUCUUACCUGCUGAAUUGAGUAACUUUCAACUUUUGAGUUCGUUACCAAAUCUUAAGAGAAUCAGAUUAGAACGCAUCUCAAUUCCUUCUAUAACCAACAAUCCCAAACAAUUGGCGGGUCUGAAGAAGAUAUCCUUGUUCAUGUGUAACAUUGGUCAAGCUUUCAACAACGGUUCCAUCUCAAUCUCAUCAGCAUUCCCAAAUCUAGAGGAAAUGAACAUCGACUAUUGCAGUGAUUUAAUUGAAUUGCCCGUCGAGGUUUGUGAUCUUAAUAAACUAAAGAAGCUCGGUGUCACUAGCUGUCAUAAACUAUCUGCCUUGCCUGAAAGGAUUGGAAAGUUGGAAAAUUUAGAAAUGUUAAGGCUAAGAUCCUGCACAGAACUGUCAAAGCUUCCACCCUCAAUGAAGAACCUGGGAAAGGUAAACUUUCUUGACAUAUCUGAUUGCUUCAACAUCAAGGUGUUGCCCGAAGACAUUGGUGAAAUGAGUAGUUUAAGAAAGAUCAACAUGAGACAAUGUUCAAGGUUGCAAGAGCUGCCUCCAUCAGUCAUGGAUCUUGAGCAGUUAGAGGAAGUGGUCUGUGAUGAAGAGACAAAAUAUUUGUGGGAGUCUUUCUCGUCGUGUCUCAACAACCUGAAGAUUAUUGUGACCAAAGAGAAUAUCAACCUAAAUUGGCUCCACAAGACUCAGUUCUGAGGUAUUCUAAGUUGCAGUUUACUGUAUUCUAGCCGAUAUGCCAUUUAUAUGUUGUUGUUAUUGUUGUUAUCAUUGAUAUUGCAAAGUUAGAAUUGUCAAAAUAUAAUUUGUGAUGCCCAACUGUAAGUGCAGUAUUAGGAUGCAUGAUCCUCACACAAACUCCCCUAAAAGUGUGGUGAACUCUUGUUACAAACUCCCCUAUUGUAAGUGAUGAUUUCGUUCAGGUGUGCAACUGUUGGCUAUGACCAACAGAUUGUUUGUUUUAUGUUAUUAAUAAGCCAUUUGCUUGCGCCGCAAGAAACUGGCCUUCUUCUCAAUGGAUUGUUAUUUUGGAGGGGUUAAAUCCAUAUUUAGAUUCUUUUUAAUGCCGUGAGGACAAGGACUUAAUAAUUUUCUUGUGUUAUGUUGGAACCAAAUGGGGGGACCUCCGGGACCGGCAGUUGAGCACAAAUUCGAGUAAACCUAAGCAACUUGCAAAAUAGUAAAACAACCGUAAGCAAACCUUACCAAAGGUUCUUCAACGGUCAAGUUAGUGAAUGAUCUUUAGACUCAAGCAGUGGACAAGAGAAUUCAAGUGUAUGGAUUGCGUUAAUGUAGAUGAACCUUAGACAGGUGUAUUUAUACCUUCGUUCUAAGCUGGGAGAAUCUUAGGGGGAGAAUCUUAGGGGAUAACUAGUAAGUAGAUAUUACAUCCUCUUAUGAGUUAUAAUUACUUACGGCGCAUGCUUAUCCCUAGAUUGUAGGGACUCCAAGACUAAUAAAAUCUGAUUGUGUCCCUACUCGGAUUAGAUCACAUGUCUUGCAGAACAAGUAUGGUCAUUUAGUGGAGUCGCUAGGACUCUUCUGCCUAUUGCCCUAGAGUAGAGUGAUGGUGGCACCCUACUCCCUCUGAUAGAGCUCCACCCAGGGCUGGUAAGUCUAUGACUGGACUUCUGAGGUAACAGUAUUCGGAUCAGCCUUACUCUAGUCCUGAAAAAUCAUGGUCCCGUAAUUUUCCCUAACAAUCUGUCUGAGAGGCAACAUGUUCCCAUUGAAGAUGGAUUGUUAUCAAAGGCAAUGCCUUUUGGAAUAAGCUGGAAUACAUACCGUUUAAUCUUCAUGAAUGCAAGGUGACCUUUUAACACUAAUGUGGCAGCAUUUCAGAUUCAAACAUGUAUCUUCGUGUAGGUGCCAUAAAGUUCGCAAUGAUGAAACAUUGCGUCUGACUCUUGCGCACGAGAAACGAGAAAUCUUCUUUGAUAUCCCUUGUUUUUCCUAGCCGUUGUUAGAUCUUAAUACAAGUCGGUCUAAAUUCAACGGUUAGAUGACUCCCCCAAAUGAUACCUAUAUAUCCUCGGAUCUUGCUUCUCUCCUCUACCAUAAACUUUCAUUGUCCAAAAAGGCUCCAACUUGUUAUCUGUACCUAUUUCAAUAUCCUCUCUCCCUUUUGAAUCUUUUUUCAUGGCGUCUUCAAGCAAGAAGUCUAAAUUGGUCAAGGUUUCCCCUUAUAAUCUUUCUUUGACGAGAAUUUGUAAUCGAGAAGAGGGUGAGUCAUUUGUUGAAGAGCACCAUGAUAUCUUGUAAGACUGCAACGUUUGGUGGGAAUCGACCACGAUAUCUACGCCGACUUGUCGCCAUUGUCUGACCCAUGUCGCCCUUGCAUUAUAAUCUACCCCUGGUUCUUGGACUUAGGCAUUCGCUUUCCGCUUUCUACUUUCAUGAAAGGCAUUUUAUUGUGCUAUGAUAUAGCAAUUUGUAACCUUUUUCCCACCACCUUCAGGCUUCUUACUUGCUUUGAGUUGCUGAAUAAGUGGUUCAGGGACUGAGUUGGAUAUCCCCAAGUUUAGGUUGUUGUACUGCAUCAGACCGAGUUUGGAUGACCACUAUUAUUUUGCGGUUAGAGCUAGCCUAGCUUGGGAGACAUUCAUUCAGGACAUUCCCUUCCACGACAAGGAAUGAUUCAAAGAUAUACUAGUCGUUGACGGAGCUUGUGAAAGAGAUAUUAGCGGAUUCCAAAUCCGAUCUCGUCUUCCAACUGACCCAGAUUUCAAAGGUGGUCUAUCUGGUAUUAGCAUAUGCCGUCUAGACUUGAUUCGCCGGGCAAUGCAAAUUCUGGCCGUUUCCUGCAAUUAGAAGUGGUUGUUUUCCUCUGAGCACUUCAACAGCCGUGGGAAAGAUAUAGACGCCUUUCACUGUUCUAGAUUCCCUAAAAAGAGUCAGAGUGGGUUGAUGCUCGUAGCGUUCAUAAAAUGUCUCGUUCCUUUAAACCAGCAUCAACUCUGUCACCUAUCCCAAAUAAGCUAAAAUAUCCUGGUAGUUAUUCUUCUCACUCAUUGAUUGCGACUCCUCAGCUCUAGCUGGUUAGGUACAUCCACUGUAAAGGUAUUGGAUAAGAGAAAGAAACCCAUCUUCGAAGAAAGAGACGUAUUACUAUUCCGACGCCACCAACUUUUAAUGUACUUACCCCUGCAUCCGUAAUAGAUGAGGCACCUCUUCGCUACCCUUGCAUUCACCUGCAAUGUUGCCCCGGUCAUCGGAGUCGAAAUCGUCGUGCCUUCUAUUGCCUCGGCGUCAACCUCUGUCCCUCAACUGCUACUUUCUGUAGAUGGAUCUCCCCGUUAUGAUGGUCUUUCGUCAACUGCUGCAUUGAGAGGAAACAACUCAUCCUCCCCUUGUGAUUCGGCCUUCAAUUGAUUGUGUUGCUCUUCUUUCAGAUGCUAGUGGUCUUUAAAAUACGGACUAUGCCCCAGUGCUGCUCAGAGUCGUAAUUGCCCUCGCCGACUUUAAAGAAGAUUGCACCUCUUGAAGACGUCAUGAUACGGUGCUCCGAGAGUCGUUAUGAAGUACCUGACUCCAUUUCCUUCAUUUCUCUUUGUUGAUAUUCAUGAAUUCCCCAUCAUGUACCUUGUAUAUUAUGUUAAUAUGUGGACGAAGGUCGCCUUGUUCUAACAAGUAAGGCGAAUCUAGGAGCUUGAACAGAUUUCGGGCCUUGAAACAGUGGCGAUAAUAGAGGCGGAACAGCGAUUGCUAACCCAAUUAGAAGAACUCAAGAAUGCGCAUGCCAGGUAGCAAGCUUUGGAUUCUGCUCAUGAGGCGGAGUUAAUUCGCUACAUCGACCUGGCUAUUAUUGAAGAUAAAGGCCAAGGAUUACUAGGAAAGUUCUAAAAAGUUCAGAGAAUAGCUAAGGCUGGAGAGACAGGCCAAGGCGGAGUCAGACUAGGCUCUCGUUCCCUCGAAGGGAGAGUCAGAGUGUGCGUUUGCUUCAAAGUGGAAUGCUUGGGCUAGGGAGCGGGAAGCUCUUCAAAAGGAGGUUGAGGAUCUUCACCAAGAGGUCGACCAAAGACAAGAGUCUCAAAUCAAGAUCCAAGAUUCACAUCACGACUUUGGAAUAAGUUACAAGAUGAGCUUGGAACUCGCUUUGAUUUAAGUAUAACUUACCAUCCGCAGAAUGAUGGGCAGUCAGAGCGAGUAAUUCAAGUAUUGGAGGAUAUGCCUCGUACAUGCAUACUUGAUUAGGAAAUGAACAGGCUUAGAAAUCGAGUUAUGAAAUGUAAAUGACAAUACCAUGGGCCUAAAGAAACAAUCUGACAUUUAGAUAUCCACCUACAUUUGUAGAAUAGUUCACUACUUUGGCAUGAUGGGAAAGUAUCCGCUAUCUGUUUCUUUUCUUAUUCAUGUAAUCAUUGUUAUUCGCUCAAGUUAAAGGAUCAACUGGCCACCCGAUCAUUGACACUCUACAGUUGAAUGUUCAUUGAUUUAAGGAAUAAGAAAUGCAAUAGAUAUGAUGCUAAGAAAAUUUUGCAAAGAUACCCAUAAUUUUCUUGAAAGUUUAUGUGUGUUCAACUAAGUGUUAAAUGUAUUCAGUAUGCUUAAGAUUUCGAACUUCACUUGGAAAUGACAGUCCAGUAAAAGAUGAAAACUCUCGACUUGUUAAGUAAUUCAGUGUUUAAAGUAAAUCUCAAGGACAAGAUUUGUUUUAAGGAGGGUGGAAUGUGAGACCUUGAAAUUUUAGAGGUGUUUUUAUGAACUUUGGAUUACCUACGAAUUUUACAAUUUCUAGUUCCUUUUAAAUGGGUGAUGAUUUUACUUGAGUUCAAAGAUUAUUUUGUGGUAAAAAGAUGAAAGUGGAUGAGAUUACGAGCUCGUGGCAUCUUUUGAAUUAAUUUUCAAAGCUCGAACGAACUUAUAGUGGAACUUUAAAUAUGACAGAUUGGAUAACACCAUGUGGCAACCAAAGAAUGGCUGACUUUGACACAUGGCAGCCACAAGUGAUGGAAUCAGCCACGUGGAGAUCAAUUUGACAGCCACCUUACGCAAGAGAACCUAGGAGCUUAUUCAUGGUUGUAUAUUGAUAAGCUCCACCAUGUUGCUAAUUUAUAAGAAUUAUCAUGAAGCCUUGUUGUCAACUUAGCAUGGCAUGGUGAUGACUAAGCUUUUAAGUUGGAAGGAUUAAGGUGGAGCCAUCAUUAAGGUUAGAUACAAUAGACAAGUGUGUUUGUGACUCAUACUUUUACAAGUAAGAGUUGUCAAAGUAGCAGGAAAGGUUAUCCAAUAUAGAGUUAAUGCUGCCCAUUUCAUCCAAUGAGGAAUAAGAGAUUUCAGAUUAUUUCACCUAUAAAUAGGAGCAGCAUCUUCUUAGUUUCAAGUGCAGCAAUUAUAUAGUCGAGAAUUAGGUGAGCUCAAUGUAUGAUAAUGGCAUACAAUGCAUGCGAUAAGAGUUCAUGUCAAGCUUGUUCUUGCACAAAUUGAAGGCUUUGAAGCCUAUUUGAUGACUGGAAAACGAUUAAUAAGAAAUUAAGGUAAAGAUUUACACUUGAUCAGAUUUCUGAGAUUUUGUACAAGUUUCAUAUGGAUGAGAUUUAGAGAAAUUUGAUGUUUGACUCGAAAUUCAUCAAAUUUGGUUUUUAUACGACGUUUGUAUGGAAGAAGUGAGUUAUACUAUUGAUGGAUUGUGUUUUGCCUUGAAAUAUAUGUUUGAAUUUCUAGGAAAACAGACCUCAAAGCCGCUGGUUUCAUACCAGGUAUUGAAAUGUGAAAAUAGUUUCAGUUUUGGGGUAAGUUUGUAUAUUACCAAAAGUUCAGGGGCCAAAGUGAAAUUAUCAAUUGCUUGGGGCCUAUUUGAAAUAAUAAAAGUUCAAACACAGAUUUUUUAUUCUAGUUAAGUGAAGGUCCCUAUUGGAUAUAGUUGUUAUAAUGGGAAUAAAGUUUAGUCAUUAUAUAUGGACAUAUAGUGACAUAUUGUAAUUGUUGAACUAGGGACUCCAAUUACUCGUGGUGCUUACGUUUAAUCAAUGUAUUGGUGAGGAAUAUUACUUGCUUGGCUUGGAGACCAGAUAGGGGGAUCCUUAUUUACCCUAGUUAUGGAUUUUUGUGCAUAUGUAUACGUAAAUAUACGAAUGCCUGUGAAUGUUGCUUAUAUUUUGCUGAGAACCAUGAAGAAAAAAGGUUUUGUUUUUAUAUCAUGAUAUGCAUGUUGUUUUAUGCUACAGUUAAAGUGAUGACUUCAGAGUGAAGGGGGCAUACUGACCGCCUUGGGUUUCGAUCCCCUAAACCUCCGGAAGGGCCACUACGAAGGGAUUAGUACCGCUACCUUUCUAGGAGAGGUACUAGGAUAAGUAAAGCAUUAAAGGACACUCUCGCUACACCUUACCAUAAGUAUAUUCAUUCGGAGUUGGUGCAGGUAAAGGGGUAGUUGGUUAUUAGACCGAUCAUCAGGCAUGUAGCAAUUUAUUGGGAUCCCUGUUUUCUUUUUAAAAGGGAAUUGUGCAAGCAUACAAUCUAUUUUCAAAACUAAACAAAGAUGUUGUGCACCAAUCAUUUUCCAAUAGUAUAUAUAGUGACGUAUACUAUUUUUAAAUCUAGCUGGGGGUGGAUUCCCUGAGGGGGAGCUAUGAAAUAUUUGUGAUGCUCACCCUUACUUUAUUACAGGACCAGUGCACGUACAAAAAGAUGUUCUGGACUAAAGUCGGGACUAGCAUUGUUUGUUACUUGUCAACUUCUCAGUCGUUCAUUGACUCUUUCUACAUAUUUUUAUCUAUACAUAUACUUGAUUGCCUCACCAUCUUGAAGUGAUUUUUGUAGCCAAACUCAACAUUUUGCAUUUUCAAAUCGUACUAAAGAGUUGGUUUAGUAUGAUAAUUACUUUAAACUUUUUGGUUUUGUUGUAGAUUGUGAAGUUCUUUUCCUAUGUAAAAAUUUUAUCAAAAUUCAGUUACUCUUUUAUUCUUCAUUUUAUCAAAAUGAUUUCUGCUUCCAUACUGCUUAAAAAUAAAUUAUUUUAUUCCCCUCAAAUAGCCUUACGUUCUAUUAGGAAUGAAGUGCAAUAGUGUUGGAUUUUAACACUAUAGUUUUUUUUUUUACAAAUAGAGCGUGGCACUGUUACGUGAUUAUUUUUGGGGUGUGACUGAAAAAUGGUAUCAGAGCGACGGUUGAUCCACCUCUAAAGAAUUUUGUUGUUCCUCUUUAUUUUAAAUUGUUUUGGUUCGAAAAAGAGUUUUGAAUUCCACCUUCGAUUUGCGUUUUGGAUUGACUUUGCCAUGUCCUUUCAAUUCAAACUUCUACUUCAUUUGUUGUCGAGUCAAAUCUUGAAUGAGUUGUUGAGUCAAUAUCUCUCAUUUCAAUUCAUACUCUGUUGACAAGAUGCCUAGUCCUUCGACAAGUCCAAAAGAAAAUAGGGCACCGACAACAAAUAGCUAAAAUGUCUGGGGCUUUGCAAGCAUCUACGAAUGCUUAUAUGCGCACUAAUGAGGAACGUACACAUAAUCGAUAGAUGUCUUAUCUCGAUCGUUUUAUGAAAAAUAAGCUGCUCAAGUUUUAGGGAACGCCUGAAGCUGAGAGUUUGUUGGAACAUAUUAAGAAGAAGAUGAAAACUCUUCAUGUACCACCAUAAAGUUAACCUAGCUUCACAUGUUCCUAUGUAGCGGAUUUAUGAUGGGCUACUAUACGUGCUCAGUAUAACAUUGAAGAGAUGAAUUUUGAUGAUUUUGAGCAACUUUUUCUCAAGCGUUACUUUCUUGAUGCCAUGAAACAUACUAGGAUUCAAGACUUUCUUGAUCUUAAGUAAAGGGAAUAUGACUGUGGCUGAGUAUGUUGCCAAAUUUAGUGAGUUGAGUAAGUACUCUGAUGGUAUUGCUCAUGAUUAGAAGACAAUGGAAAUUAAGUUCAGAAAAGGGUUUAGAGACUUUAUCUGAAGGCAUAUUGUAGGUCAAGGACCUAAAACUUAACAUGAAAUUGUGGAAGCAACUUAUAAGUUAGAGCAAGAUUAAUAUAAAGGGUCAAGAUCGAGAAAAAUGAUUAGGAAGUUUUUUAGGAACAAAAAUGGAGUAGGAGUGGCAAUGGUGAAUAUAGAUUUAGGAGGCCAGGGCCUAUUGAAUGUUAUCAAUGUCAUGAAUUUGGAUCUACUAGAGAUAAAUGCACCAGUUGCAUUUAUGGAUCUCAUGAAUCGAGUAUUCCAACCUUAUUUGGAUAAGUUUGUUAUUGUUUUCAUUGAUGAUAUCCUUAUUUAUUUGAAGACUAGGGAGGAACAUGAAAUGCAUCUCCAUAUAGUCUUACAGACUAUAAUGGAUAAUCAGUUAUAUGCUAAGAAGUCGAAGUGUGACUUCUAGUUAACACAAGUGAAAUUCCUUGGACAUGUUAUAUGUGGAGACGGAAUUUGUGUGGAUCUCAGUAAGAUAGAAGCAGUAUUGAACUGGGAGCAACCUAAGAGUUACUUGGAGAUACGUAAUUUUCUUGGAUUAGUUGGCUAUUAUAGAAGAUUUGUUCGGGAUUUCUCAAAGAUUGCAAUUCCACUAACCUGACUCACAAGAAAAUGAGUAAGAUUUGAAUGGAAAAAUAAGUGUGAGUCGUUAUUUGAGGAAUUGAAAACAAGACUUACCACAUCGCCGGUGUUAGUAUUGCCUAAUAACCAAGAUCCAUUUGAGAUAAACACUAAUGCAUCGGCACAAGGACUCGGAUGUGUGCUAAUGCAAAAUGGAAAAGUUAUAGCUUAUGCUUCAAGACAGUUAAAGAAUUACAAGAGGAAUUAUCCAACACAUGACUUGGAGCUAGCUGCCAUAGUACAUGCAUUAAAGAUUUGGAGAUGUUAUAUGUACGGCCGUAAGUUCAAUAUUUAUUCAGAUCACAAAAGUCUUAAAGCAUAUAUAGUUUCAAUGUGAUUUGAAUUUGAGGCAAAGACGAAGGAUGGAGUACAUAAAGGAUUAUGUUUUUGAAUUGUCCUAUCAUCCUUGGAAAGCAAAUGUAGUUGAUGAUGCUUUAAGUAGAAAGACGAGGAACACUUUGUCUUAUCUGAUGUUGGUGGAUAAAAAGAUGUUUUAUACAAGACAAGAUUAUGAUCUAGAGGAACAACAUGAUGACAUAAGUGCUUAUUUGGCAAAUCUUAGUUUAGCACCUCAGUUGGGAGAUGUAUAAUGCAGAAACAACAGGAAGAUCCUAAAGUACAAGAAAUAAGGCAGAAGAUAGUUUCAGAAGAAGCACUUAAGGAAUGGAAGCUUCAUGAAAAUGGUAGUUUGAGGUACAAAGACCAAGUGGUUGUACUCGAGAAUGAAGAAGUUAGAAAGAAAGUAUUACAUGAAGUUCACAGAAUGCAAUUAGAUAUGCAUCCUGGAAGUACUAAAAUGUACAAGGAUUUGAAAAGGCAAUAUUGGUGGAAAGGUUUGAAGCGUGAUAUUGCUAUUUAUGUUGGCCAAUGUGUAGUGUACUAACAAGUAAAGGCAGAGGCAGAACACCAGAAACCUUUCGGAAUGCUACAAUCACUACCGAUCCAAGAAUGAAAAUGAGACAACCUCAUGAUUGAUUUUAUUACCGGCUUACCAAGAUCAAAGAAAGAACAAAAUGGUAUUUAGGUGAUAGUUGAUAGACUUACUAAGGUAGCUCACUCUCUGCCUAUGAAGAUGGAUUCGUCUAUCAAUUACUUUGUCAAAUUGUAUAUUGAAUGGAUUGUUCGAUUACGUGGAAUUCCAAAGACAAUAGUCUCAAAUCAAGAUCCAAGAUUCACAUCACGACUUUGGAAUAAGUUUCAAGAUGAGCCUGGAACUCACUUUGAUUUAAGUAUAGGUUACCAUCCGCAAAUUGAUGGACAGUCAAAGCGAGUAAUUCAAGUAUUAAUUCAAGUAUUGGAGGAUAUGCCUCGUACAUGCAUACUUGAUUGGGAAAUGAAAAGGCUUAGAAAUCGGGUUAUGCAAUGUAAACGGCAAUGUCAUGUACCUGAAGAAACAACUUAGAAAUAGGAAUCCGACAGUUAGAUAUCCACUUACAUUUGUAGAAUAGUUCACUACUUAGUGGCAUGAUGGGAAAGUAUUAGCUAUAUGUUUCUUUUCUUAUUCAUGUAAUCAUUGUCAUUCGCUCGAGUUAAGGGAUCUACUGGCCACCGGAUUUUUUAUACUCUACAAUGGAAUGUUCAUUGAUUUAAGGAAUAAGAAAUGCAAUAGAUAUGAUGCUAAGAAAAUUUUGCAAAGGUGCCCAUAAUUCUUGAGAGUUUAUGUGUGUUCGACUAAGUGUUAAAUGUAUUCAAUACGCUUAAGCUUUUGAACUUAACUUGGAAAUGACAGUCUGACCAAAGGUGGAACCUCUCGAGUUGUUAAGUAAUUCAGUGUUUAAAGUAAAUCUCAAGGACGAGAUUUGUUUUAAGGAGGGUGGAAUGUGAGACUUGAAAUUUUAGAGGUGUUUUUAUGAACUUUGGAGUACCUACAAAUUUUACAAUUUCUAGUUCCUUUUAAAUGGGUGAUGAUUUUACUUGAGUUCAAAGAUUAUUUUGAGGUAAAAAGAUGAAAUUGGAUAAGAUUACGAGCUUGUGGUAUCUUUUGGAUUAAUUUUCUGAGCUCAAACGAACUUACAGUGGAACUUUAAAUAUGACGGAUUGGAGAACACCAUGUGGCAAUCAAAGAAUGGCUGACUUUGAGACAUGGCAACCACAAGUGAUGGAAUUAGCCACGUGGAGAUCAAUUUGACAGCCACCUUACGCAAGAGAACUUAGUAGUUUGUUCAUGGUUAUUUAUUGAUAAGCUUCACCAUGCUGUUAAUUUAUAAGAAUUAUCAAGAAGCCUUGUUGUCAACUUUGCAUGGCAUGCAGAUGACCAAGCUUUUAAGUUGGAAGGAUUAAGGUGAAGGUGUCAUUAAGGUUUCAUACAAUAGACAAGUGUGUUUGUGACUCAUACUUUUACAAGUAGGAGUUGUCAAAGUAACGAGAAGGGUUAUCCAAUAUGGAGUUUAUGCUGCCCAUUUCAUCCAAUGAGGAAGAAGAGAUUUUAGAUUAUUUCACCUAUAAAUAGAAGCAGCACCUCCUUAGUUUCAAGUGCAGCAAUUAUAUGGUCGAGAAUUAGGUGAGCUCAAUGUAUGAUAAUGGCAUACAAUGCAUGCGAUAAGAGUUCAUGUCAAGCUUGUUCUUGCACAAAUUGAGGCCUUUAAAGCCUAUUUGAUGAUUGGACAACGAUUUCUAAGACAUUAAGGUAAGGAUUUGCAUAUGAUCAGAUUUCUGGGAUUUUGUACAAGUUUCAUAUGGAUGAGAUUUAGAGAAAUUUAUUGUUUGACUCGAAAUUCAUCAGAUUUGGUCUUUAUACAACGUUUGUAUGGAAGAAGUGAGUUGUAUUAUUGAUGGAUUGUAUUUUGGCUUGAAAUAUAUGUUGAAUUUCUAGGAAAACAUACCUCAAAGCUGUUGGUUUCAUACCAGUGACUGAACUGCGAAAAUAGUUUCAAUUUUGGGGUAAUUUUGUAAAUUACUGAAAGUUCAGGAGCCAAAGUGCAAUUAUCAAAAGUUUGGGGACCUCUUUGAAAUAAUAAAAAUUUCAAAUACAUAAUUUUUAUUCUGGUCAAGUGAAGGUCCUUAUUGGAUAUAGUUAUUGUUAUGGGAAUAAAGUUUAGUCAUUAUAUAUGGACAUAUUGUGACAUAUUGUAAUUGUUGAACUAAGAACUCCAAUUACUCGCGGUUCUUGCAUUUAAUUGAGGUAUUGGUGAGGAAUAUUACUUGCUUUGGCUUGGAGACCAAGUAGGGGAAUCCUCACUUACCCUAGUUAUGGAAUUUUGUGCAUGUAUGUAUAUGUAAAUAAACGAAUGCCUGUGAAAGCUGCAUAUAUUUUGUUGUGAUAGGACCAUGUGGAAAAAUGGUUUUGUUUUUAUAUCAUGAUAUGCAUGUUAUUUUAUGCUACAAAUUCAAGUGAUGACUUGAUAGUGAAGGGGGCAUAGUGACCGCCUUGGGUUUCGAUCCCCUAAACCUCCGGAGGGGCUACUACGAAGGGAUUAGUACCGCUACCUUUCUAGGAGAAGUACUAGGAUAUCUAAGGGUAGAGCAUUAAAGGACACUCUCGCUACACCUUACCAUAAGUAUAUUCGUUCAGAGUUGGUCCAGGUAAGGGGGUAGUUGGUCAUUAGACCAAUCAUCAGGCAUGUAGCAAUUUAUUGGGAUCCCUGUUUUCUUUUUAAAAGGAAAUUGUGAGCAUACAAUCUAUUUUCAAAACUAGACAAAGCUUUUGUUGUGCAUCAAUCAUUUUCCUAUAGUAUAUAUAGUGUCGUAUACUAUUUUCAAAACUAGCUAGGGGUGGAUUCCCUAAGGGGGAUCGAUGAACGUUUAUGAUGUUUACCCCUACUUUAUUACAGGACCGGUGCACCUACAAAAAGACGUUCUAGACUAAAGUCGAGACUAGCGUUAUUUGUUACUUGUCAACUUCUCAGUCGUUCAUUGACUAUUUCUACAGAUUUUUAUCUGUACAUAUACUUGAUUGCCUCUCCAUCUUGAAGGGAUUUUUGUAGCCAAACUCAAUGUUUUUCAUUUUCAAAUCAUACUAAAGAGUUGGUUUAGUAUGAUAAUUACCUUAAACUCUUUGGUUUUGUUGUAGAUUGUGAAGUUUUUUCCCUAUGUAAAAAUUUUAUCUAAAUUUAGUUACUCUUUUAUUCUUUGUUUUACCAAAAUGAUUUCCACUUCCAUACUGCUUAAAAAUAAAUUAUUUUAUUCCCCUCAAAUAGCCUUACGUUCUAUUAGGAAUGUAGCGCAAUAGUGUUGGAUUUUAACACUAUAAUAUUGCAUUAAUAAUAGAGCGUGACACUAUUACGUGACCCUUUUUUUGGGCAUGCCAAAGAGUUUCAUAUCGUACCUGAUAAUAUUGUGUAGGUAGGGGUUGACUUCUUCGUGCCUUGCCCCAGUUCGUAGGGUACUGACAUCAAUACUUGCCACAUGGUGUCAGAAAGAGUUUUCCCUGUUCUGAAUUGCAUGUUUGUUUCCAGGGAAUCUCAAGCAAAAGUUCUUUAGAAACAUAGACAUCAGCAUGUGGGUUAUAAACACUUUUUGAAUCUUUUUGUCAGGCUCUAUGCGUUGGACCUGAGCGUUUAUGAUCGUACUACCUUGGUUGGCUUGACUAAAGCAUUUCCGCGAAUCGAAGCUUCAUUGGAAUAAAUUCCUCUUGGGAUUUACCUAGUUUGAAUUCCUCAUUCGAACUUGCUAACAUUUGGUGUUACAGAGCUUACUUGACUUAGUAAGUUGGUUCGAGAUAGAAGCUGUCAUACUCAGGGUCGGAUGUUAGAACCACCCUCGAAUGAGUUUUGGCUCGCUCUUUCGACUAUUCCCUAGAAUGGCGAGCUCGGGUUUGAAUGUUAUAACCCAUAACCUUGCUGGUUGCAUAAACUUUCCGAUGGCCGGAUAGUGCAUUAGACUUUCGGGUCAAGGCUCUAUGUGUCUACAGCAGUAGCCUGCCAAUUGUUAUCGCGCUUAUUACAGUUCAAGUCUCCUAAGCUGCUAACCGUUCCAGACGUAUUAGGCUAAAUGACGCUCAUAUGGCAGUGUAACUUUGAAUGUCUUUAGACUUGCAUUGUUGCGAAGUUUUUAAAGUUUGGGCCCUGUUUUCAACGAGUAAGGUGCUCCAUGCAUCAUUGAAAUAUAAAGAAAGAACACGUAUUUAAGACAAAUAGAUGUUUCUAUAUUCAUGAUCAAGGUAAAAUUAAUUGACAAUGGGGCGUGAAUCCGAGAAGGAUAACCUACAUAUCUUAUGGACGAAGAAACAAAUCACUAGUAUAGUUCUAAGGAAAAUAUGAUAUGAUGUGAAAAAUUAUAUCAAGUAUCACUUUUGACGAUAUGCCUAUGGUGAGGCAUUGGGAGAUGAGUUCUUCUCGAACUUGUCUUCACACAGACGAUUGCUUUGUGAUUGGGUCUGGAAAUGACUGCCUACAUAUCCCGAGAAGGGUCGCGUGUAGUUUAUGUGAGAUUCACUUUGUUUUAGGUCACCUGGAGUGGUCUACAAGGGUUUCAAUUUUCUUCAGUAGAGAUUCUAUCCUUUUACAUAAGUCCUCCAGUUUCUCUGAUGUUAAAUUCUUCUCUGUUUGGAGUCAUUUGGGAUAACGAGGCGAGAUUCUAUAUUUAAAGGGGAUAUUUCCCGUGGCAUAUAACCAUUCUCGGCCUAGGAUAACGUUGUAUAGAGAUAGACUAUCCAUCACAUGGAAAGUCAUCAUAUGUUCAGCUGGUUUUGCUCAAACCAUAAAGCGUUAUGGUUUUGCUUAAACUAUGAGGCGUUAUGGUUUUGCUUGAACCAUAAGGCAUAUUGUCUCUAUGGUGUUGAGCGGCGUCCCCGUAAAAGUUCGGACAAUAGACUUUCUUAAGUUGACUUUGUUCAGGAUGCUCAUCCUUACAGUUAUCUCUCUGAAGAUGAUGUUGACUUCUAACAUGUCGUCUAUUAGGGCUUUGCUGACCAUGGCAUCUUUGAUUUGUAGCCUGACAACAAGGGUGCCAUUGGAAGAUAGGUAAGCAAUAUCUGGCUUGGUUGAAUGACCUUUCAUCUGAGGUUCUCCCCGGAUUGUCUUUCUUAUCUUUUGUGCUUUCUUGAAAUAUUUCUGCCAUUUUUUUAUGCGAUUGAUGCUCGGGAGGAACUUAUUACGUGAGUGUUGAGGGGUAGAGGUCUCAGAGUUUUAUGUAGCCUUGAUAAAUAUGUUGUCGGGAAGGGCUUCUGGAUCAAUGCAUUCUAUAUGGUGUAGAGUAAAACUUUCAAAUUUGGCGAGGGUAUUUCUAUAGUUUUCAUUCUCUCAUUCAGCCCGGCGAGCUUCAUCCUUUAUCUAACUUGUAAGUUCCUCUUGAGGUCUAUCAUUGACAUGUGUACCUUCGGACGUUGUCCCAAACCUGGUCAAUGAAAAAAGCUUCUUCUUUAUUCGGGCUUAUGGUUUGUCCAAACAACUAUUUUCUAGGUGUGGCCUCUAUAGAGUAAAGUGGUAUGGCUGAGAGGAAUAUGGGUUCACUCUCAAUGAAAGCACCAAUUGUUGAAUCAAAUAUUUUUACCUUUGUUAACGGCGAUUGAGCACAAAUUCGAGUAACCUGAGCAACCUGCAAAAUUGUAAAACAACAGUAAGCAAAGCUUAGGUCCGCUGGGGGAGGGGGAGUGCGCCCGCCAAAGGCUCUCCGACGGUCAAGUUAGUGAAUGAUCUUUAGGCUUAAGCAGUGGGCAAGAGAAUUCAAUUGUAUAGAUUGUGUUACCGUAGAUAAACCCUAGACGGGUGUAUUUAUACCGACGGAAAGAAACCUUUUUAGGAUAAAAUCCUCGUUUUAAGCCAAGAGAAUCCUAGAGGAUAUCUAGUACGUAGAUAUUGCAUCUCUUAGGCUUAAGAAUUAUGAUUACUUACGGCGCACAUCUAUCCCUGGACUAUAGGGACUCCAAGACUUAUAGGUCUGGUUGUGUUCUAUCUGGAUCAGAUCGCGUAUCUUGCAGAACAAACAUAAUCAUCCAACAGAGUCGCUAGGACUCCACCUAGUGCCCUAAAUAGAGUGAUGGUGGAACCCUGCUCCGUCUAAUACAACUACGCGCGCAAUUGGUGAGUCUAUGACUGGAUUUCUGAGGUAACAAUAUUCAAAUCAGCCUUACUCCAGCCCUGGAAAAUCAUGGUCCCACAUGCUAAAUAUCAAAGAAACAAAGACCACAAAUUGAUUAAAAGAGACUUCAAGUUAGUCAGCAUUCUUUGAGUAAAAGGAAAAUUGCAAAAAUAAAGUCCAGUGAAUGAAACAAAGGAAUAUACUAGCAAACAUUCAAGAAACAUUAAUAACAUAAGUGAUAAACAAAUCAUAUAAUAACAUGAAAAUAAUGGAAAAUACAAGCGAUUGGGCAAGUUUAGACAUAUUCGGGCAAGUUUCCAAGCAUGAGAAUUCUACAUAAGAGAAUUCUACAAGUUUAGACUUUGCGGUUGCAAGUGAUGUACUAUUAAGAGAAUUCUACAAAGGAAAUCGUUGCUACAAGAGGGAAGUAGCAGAGGUACAAAUACAAAUGAAUAUUUGAGAUACAAAAAGAAUAAUUGAAAAGUAGGCUGUAGAGCUUUUAGAAGUCUUUUUGGCUUGAGUUGAGUGACAUUUUCUCUAAUCCCUAUGCUACCUUUUAUAGAAGUUUCAUCUUCCAGAAUUAAGAUUUCUUAAUUCGGUUCAUUCCCUUUCAUUCAAGUUAGUGAUGUGAUGUUUGUCAAACGAUGUGUCUUCUUGGAUACACAAGCUUUGAUCAUCUCGAAUUUACAUAUGUUGCCAUAGUAAAACAUUUUUCCUGUGAAACUUGGCUGAGUAAGCUUUCUUUUUGUGUGAACGAGGGUGAACUUGCCGCCCAAAAAUGCCAUGUCAAAAGUACUUUUAAAUCUUGGACUAGCCACUAUUUAUUUCUGCCAAAAUAAAUAUCCAAAAUCACGAGCAUGAGUCAAAGAAUAUCCUAGCCCUUGGUCAGGCCCAAUUUGUUUAAUUAUGGUCCAAGCAUGCAGUUAGCUCCAAGCAGAAAGAAUGGUUAAAUAUUAAUCAUAUAUUACUCAUUGGUCCAAAACUUUCGUUUGUUUUUAGGGGUGAGUUCAAAAAAUCGAAAGCUGAAAAAAAAAAAAAAAAAAAAAGGGACCAAACACCUAAACCGAAAAAUCAAAAAACGAAAAAAAAAUCAAACUUGAAAAGGAAAAACCAAACUGAACCGAACUUGAUUGGUCCGGUUUCAGUUUUGAAGGUUCAAAAACCGAAUCGAAACGAACCAAACCGAAUUCUUUUACACUUUAUGAAUGCAUGCCCAUGAUGUUUCUUUUUUAAAACUUUGUUGCCAAGUUUAAAAGUAAGCCUAGGAUUAAGGAGCAUACUUGGUUCAAUUAGAAAAGAUAUUCCAUUGGUUAUAGAAGAAAGUUUGGGAAGGUUUUGGAACUUAGAAGAGCUUUUUCUAUUUGUUUGCUUUUGAAAUGGAUACGGUGAUCAUUUUUCUUUGCAAUUGAGGUUGUUGAUAGAAUAUGAUUGGUUAAUAUGAUCUUGUAUAUGUACAACUAACUACCUUCCCACUUUCCCCGUUUUCUUAUUAUUAGUCUACCAAGGCAAGCCUCUUUUCUAAAGUCCAUGUUAAAAAAAGAUCAACAUUUAUAAAAUAAAAAAAUCAAAACCAAACCGAAACCAAACCGAAAAAAAAAAACCAAACUGAAAAAAACUGAAAGAAAAUCGAACCGAAGUUUCGGUUUUGGGAAAAAACCGAACCCACCCCUAUUUGUCUUUAUGCUUUGUCGCCUUUCGAAACAUACCUUUGGUUUGUAAAUUUUGUUUAUAAAAUUUGGUCUCCCUAACAUUUUUCACAAAUUAAUUGGAUAAGAAACAAUGUUUUCUGAGAAAAGUACAAAUCUGGUCGGCCUCUACCUGCAAGUUUCCUGGUUAAUUUCCAAGUCCCCCUCCACAGUCAAUCAGUUAUUGCUAAAGUCAAUGCGCUCCAACUCCGAAAUUUCUUUCGAGCUUCAAUCGUAAAUAGUAAGUACUUAUGCUAAAGCCCAGACAGUUUGGAGAAGAAAACCUAUUUUUGUUAAUCCCAUCUUUAUUGAUCACCAACAACGUAGGACUUAACGUUAUCCAUUAUACUUUAGAGCAAAAUACACAAAAAGCAUAAUAGCACAACAGAAAUAACACAAAUAAAAAUCAAUUAGAGUAUGUGCAUACUUAAAAAACCGAAUUGGCUUUGUAAGACUCUCUCUAAACCUUAGGUUAAAACCUACAAUUUUUACCCCAGAAUAUUUAGGUUUUAACCUAAAAAUAAUUUUUCUACUCCAACUCUUAAGGAUUAAAUUUUUUGCCUAAGAUUAGUAAAGAAUGAAUUUUGGAUAUUUUUUUUUCUUAAAGUAAAUGAUUUUUUUUUAAAUUAUGUAAACUAUCCUAAUUUAAUUUUAUGAACAUUUGAACCUAAAAAUAUUUAGAUUCCGAUAAAUAUUGAAAAUCACUAAACUGACAGCAUGAAACUCAUGGAACAAAAGAAUAUGAAACACAUAAAAGAUAUUUUUUUAAUUACUUUAGCCGUUGGAUUUAAAUUUGAACUGUUAGAUAUUCUUCCUUUUUUUUACCGUUGGAUUUGAUCAUAUUAGAUUUUAGCCUUUGGAUUCAAUGAAUGUAUAAGUAUAAAACUAUAAAAAUACACAUAUAUGGAGUCCACUAACCCAGGCGGAAUUCUGGCCUCAAUUUGCUUCAUAAUGGGUUUGGGUUAAAACUCAUAUUUGCCCCAAGGGUUGGAGCAAGUUAGGAGAGGUUUAGAACCCAAAAUUUGAGUUUUACUCUAAGGAUUAGAGUAGGUCUAAUGAGUAGGGCAAAAAGAAAUUUUAAAAAUCAAGGGUGAAAAUUAGGUAAAUGAUGAGGUUCUUUUCUGUAAUUGAGAGAUAGCUGAUAUUUUCAAUAAAAAGAGAGCUGAUUUUUAGUAAACAACACUGAAUUUUUUGCGUAUAUUCUAUGGGAACAUAAGGGAAUUAUACUAUAGUCUCCUCACAUAAAAUUCUAAGCUCUGUCAUUUUUUCGUUAACCUAUAAUUCAUGCAAACGAGAUUAAUUAGUUCAUCAGUGGAUUUAUGAUCAUGUAAAUGAGAUAAAUUCAUAUGUUCGUUAAACAUGAUAGAGCUCAUGUGAGUAGGGAAGCAUAUAAUUUCCUUAUGUUUUCAUAGCAUAUGCACACAAAAAAUUUAAUUAUAUGUGUAUAAGUAUAUUUUUCAUCAUCUAGUAUACCAAAAAGAAAUAAAAAAAAUGUAUAUGUGUAUAGUAUUCAUCAUCUAGUAUACCAAAAAGAAAUAAGAAAGUAGCAUCUUCACAAUAAAUUCUCUUAAAUAACUUACAUUAGGCUGAUGAAUUCACUCACAACAAAAUUUGCACUAAAGAAAAUCAUGUUGCACUGCUUUCUAAUAAAAUAAAGGUAAUGUUAUCCACAUAUCUAUUUUUACUUGUUAGUUCUCACUCUCUCAAUUUUCAGUCAUUGGAUCAAAUGAAUAGAAUAAAAUCAAAGGUAAACUAAUGAAAAUGACUUGAAAACUUUGAGUUUUAACGAUAAUGACAAAAUAAAGGAUAAAGUGAAUAGUACUAGGAUUGAUUUUUGGGAACUUUAACGAAAAGCAUCCGGUACUGUUCAUUUUAACGAAAAACCACAUUUUUACACUAAAAAGUCAAUCCUGGUACUAUUCACUUUACUCUUUAUUUUGUCCUUAUCAUUAAAACUCAAAACUUUCAAGCCCUUUUCAUUAGUUUUCCUUUGAUUUUUUAGUGUAAAAUAUGGUUUUUCGUUAAAGUGAACAAUAUUUGGAGCUUUUUGUUAAAGUUCCCUAAAAUCAAUGACUAAAAUUUGACGAGAGUGUGUGGGAGGAAAUAACAAAUGUGUGGAUAUCACUAAUCUAAAAUAACAAGGUCAAAAGGAAGACAAAGUGACUUUCUUUUAGAGCUAAUACAAUUCUUUUAGAAAGAUAUUUGAUUGCAUGAACAAUAAAGUCCUUGUACAAUUUAAAUUAAAAACUCAUAGAAAAUUAUAUUCUUAAGAAAAGAAAACUAUACUUAUAUGACAUAAAAAAAUUAUUAAUCAACAUUGAAGCUUUUGUGCAUAUUCUACGAAAAAAUAAAGAAAUUAUACUAUAGUUUCCUGAAGAGAAAUUUCAACUCUAUCAUUUUUCGUGAACUUGUGAUACACGCUAAAAUGAGAUGAAUUCUUUGAUGAUGAAUAUUUGAUACACGUAAAUGAGACAUAUUCCUAAGUUUAUUGAAAAUGAUGAAGCUCAUGUGGUAGGCCAAAAUACAAUUUCCUUGUGUUUUCAUAGCAUUUCUCCAAAAAAAAAUUGUUGAAUUUUUUUUAAUAUAUAUAAAUAUAAUAUCUUCUCAUCUUCUGGUUUUGUGCAUAUUCAACAAAACCAAAAAUAAAAAAAAAAAACUUGCUUUAAGCCUAUGAAUUCUUUUCUUUAAAAAAUGGGGACAAUUGGUGGUAAGUCACAGUUAUCCACCUCUUCCGGGGGGUUGGGAAGACUCAUAGAGGCAUUUCAGCCUCCCCCUAGCCACAGUUAAGCAAUUCAGUCACAAUAAAAUAAAAAACACUUUGUGUGAUAAAUGUAGACGUAUUCAUAUAUUCUACGAAAAUAUAAGAAAAUUAUACUAUGGUCUCCUAGCCCACAAGAAAUUUCCAAUUCUGUCAUUUCUAGUUAACUCGUUAUUCACGCAAACAUGUUUAAUUUAUCAAUGGACAUAUGAUACACAUAAAUGAGAUUAAUUCAUAAGUGCAUAGACAGCGACGGAGCCAGAAAUUUAUGCUAAGAGGGGCCUUUAAGCUAAUGAAAGAAAUUAGAAAAAAAAAAUUAAGUAACAUCAUUGAAAAUGUUAAUCAAACAAGAGUGAUGGAGCUUUAAAAUUUGUAUGAAAAAAUUAGUAUUGAGAGAAAUCAUAGUAAAUAGAAUUUGUCCUCACAUCUUAAUCAACAUUGAUAAUAACCUUAUAACUAGCUCAAACUAAACUAUUAUUAUGAAAUUUUUCUUUUAAUAUUAUUGAUCUUCCUCUCUCGAAUGUAUAUACCUUGUUUUAUAUAAACUAAAAAAGAAGGAAUUAGUUUAAAAGAUAUCAAAAUGUUGGCAGAAGAGUACUUAUAAGUUAUAUAUGGUAAACUUUAUUUUAGGUGGGGGGGUUUAAAAAUCAUAAGGUAGUUUUCCAUCUGCAUGUGUCGACCCCAGGACCUCAUGAUAGGUCUAAAAUCUGAUCAACCUAUACACCACAUUCUCAUUCUUGCAAAAGUCAGUACACAAUUAAUAUAAGUUUAAAUUCCAGGCCCUGGACUGCCCUACUCUCCAUGUGGCUCCGCCACUGUGCUUAGAACAUGACAACCCAUGUGAGUAGAGAAGCAUAUAAUUUCCUUAUGUUUUCAUAGCAUGUGCUGAAAAAAUUUAUAUGUAUCUAAGUAUAGUUUCUCAUCGGUUGAUAAUCUAACAAAUCGUUUGACAAAAAAAAAGUAUAGUUUCUCAUCUUCUAGUAUACCAGGAAACCUAUAGUAGCAUCUUCAAAAUAAAUUCUCUAACUUACACUAGGCCUAUGAAUUCACUUGCAACAUAAUAUUUUCUCCCUCAAACAGAGGGCAAUUGUGUUAAUUUUUGAAAAAUUAACCAUAACGUUUCUCCCUUAAAAAUAUAGGUAAAUAUUAAUUUAUUUUUAUUUUUUAUCUUCUAGUAUAAAGUUUGUGCAUACUAAAAAAAAUAAAAUAGUAAUCUUCAAAAGUUUAACCAUACUUGUAUAUAUUUUCUCAUAUAUACUUUCACCCAGCACCCAUAUUUUUUUUUUUCAGUUCUAUAAAGUAUACUUUCUCCGAAGUUUUUGUCUAACAAAAAAAACGAUCAUUAUCAACUUCCAAAAAUUAAAAGACCACGUACAUAAUAAUUAACUGAAAUAUAUUGAAUUAGCUAAGGUAGUUGCAUGUUAGUUCAACUUUUUGUUUUCUCUUUACCAUUUCUUCGAAGUUAGGAAUGGAAUUAUGAAAAGAAAAAAGGCCAAAAUAGUCUUUGUCAACUUUCUUGAGGUCGCCCACUACCCCUUCAAUACGCCUUUCUAAAUAUAAUUUGUUGUCGUCGUCGUUAGAGCUGCACCUUCCAAUACUCUUUCAUUUACUUUAAUCCACCGUGUGCUUUGGCUCAGAUUCCAGGACGUUUCCAAGAAACGAUACUGUAGAAUAGUUGAAGGGUCGUUUAGCGGUUUCGCAACCACUUCGGAUACAAUUUAAUGGCAGUGUGAUGCAUCAACAGCUUUGUCAAUGCAUGAUUUUUGAAAAAUGUUACCGAGGUUACGUUUUCAGAUUAUAUUUUGUAAACUAAAUGAUGUGGCAGUUGAUGGUUGAAUAUUUUGUUAAUGCAUGAUUUUUGUUUAUGCAUGACUUAAUAUUACGGAAUAGUAGUAUUCAUAUUCACUUGUUAGUGAGAAGUCUUAAGUUCGAUCUCGUCAAAGGCGAAUUUGAACUACAUUGUUGUUAGCUCAUUGUAAGUCUCAUCCCAUCCAUUGUCUUUUAGUAUAGAAAAAAUCGUUUGUUAAAAAAAAAAAAACCCAUGAAUAAAGGAGUAGGAUCAUCUCCCCUCUUAUUCUCAUCCUAUUUCUUUCCGUCCUCUCACGUAUUAUUUUUUGUCUUAUUAUCUCUAUAAAAAAAUCAAUAUAAAAUGUUAACGUAGCUUAAUCAUAACCGUUCAAGUAGGAGUGAAGAGAAUAAAAAAGAGAUAAGGAUGGAAGAGAAUCCUCAAAAGGAAAAAAGUAAAAAACUUUUGGUCUAAUCAAGAUAUGCCAAUAUUGUAGAUUCACAAAUAAAAAACCCACGAUCUGAUCGUACAACCCUAAGGCCAUCUCCAACCGAAGGGUCCAGAGGGCCAGAGGGCCGAAAAUAGCCCUAAAAUUGUCUCCAACCGAGAGAUAGGCCAGAAGGCUGUGGAAUCUAAGAGGGCCCCACGGAAUCGGAAAGGGCCAAAGGGCUAAAGGGCUAACCAUAAUUUUUUUAAAUGUGUCAUUUCCUGUCGGUUAUAACCGAUAGGAAUACAUUCUAUUACUUAAUAUAAAUGUAUUACUGUCGGUUAAAUAAUAUAAAUGUAUUCCUGUCUCUUAAGAAAAAAUUCAAAUGCAACGGCUAGCUCACUAGCCGUUGCAUUUGAAUUUAUUUUUUUUUACAGUUUUAUUAUUAUUUUUUAUUGUUUUAUUAUUAUUUUUUAUGUACAAAAUUUUUCAUAUAACUUCUAUUUUUUCCUAUAACUUUUAUUUUACAAAAUUUGUUUCAUAUUUUUUUUUUAAAUUCCAUUUUUUCCUAUAACUUCUAUUUCACAAAAUUUGUUUCAUUUUAUUUUAAAUUCUUCUUUUUUCCUAUAACUUCUAUUUCACAAAAUUUGUUUCAUUUUAUUUUAAAUUCUACUUUUUUUUAAUUCCAUAUUUUUUCAUUUUAUGUUUGGCCUUAUUGCCCUCUGGCCCUCGGGUUGGAGACGUUUUUUUGUGACAUGGCUAAAACGAGCCCUUUGACCCUUUGGAGACGGAGGUAAAUAUGAUCUUAUACUGUUCAUUAAAAUAUUAAUAUCUUGGAGGAUCUUGGAGGGCCAGAGGGCUAAAACGAGCCCUCUGGCCAGCCAUCGGUUGGAGAUGGCCUAAACUCUCUUCCGAAAUACGUAUCUCUCACAUUAUAAUAGGGAUGUGGCUGUUGUUGAAAUCAUUACAAGAAUGAAAAAUAUGAAGUCUUGCCUAAUGUCAAGUUUUCGAAAUGUAGAUUUCGUGUUUCAUUUGUCAAAAAUAAUUUUUCUCAUUCAAUUUACUUGUAGUUUAAUUGGUUAGGGUUUUGUUCUACAACAAAAAGUGAGAGGGGUUUUGAGAAUUGAAUAAGAUAAAUAAUACGAUAAAAGUGAUUUAAGGUAUAUGUAGAAAUCUUUUAUUUUUAAAAGAAAAAAAUCUUAUAAAGUCAAAAUUGUAGUUGCAUAGUAAGGUAUAUAAGUAUAAUUUUUUCUUUUAAACCUCAUAAGAUAGAAAUUAUCAUUACGUAUGUAAGUUGUUUAAUAUUAUAUUUAAAUAUGAGGUGUAUUCAAUAUAAUAAAGGGAAUUUUAUCGAAAAAUUUCAGGUACUAUUCAUUUUAACGAAAAACUACAAUUUUAUACUAAAAAGUCAAUCCUGGUACUAUUCACUCUAUACUUUAUUUUAUCCUUAUCGUUAAAACGCAAAACUUAAAAAAAAAUUUUAUUAGUUUUCUUUGUAAUAAAGGCCGGAAGGAAUGUCUAAAUAUUAUUCGUUAAUUGCAUUUUGGUUCAAAACUUUCGUUUGUCUUUAUGCUUUUGGCUCUUUAUGCUUUUGACUCAGAAACUUACCUUCGCAAUUUAAUUGGAUAAAAAAAUAUGUCUUCUGAGAACAGUACAAUAGGUUGGUCGAUUAUCUCUACCACUCUCACCAUGAAGUUUCCCAGACAUGGUGAUGCAGUUUCCUGGUUAAUUUCCAAGCGCUUCACAGUCAAUCAGCUAUUGCUAAGGUUAACGCGCUUCAACUCCGAAAUUUCUAUCGAGCUUCAGUAGUAAGUAUUUCUAUAUUAAAGGCCAGAGAGUUCGGAAAAUAAAAUAUCUUGCAUGAUCACCAACAACAUAAAAGAAAAUCGACUUUAUGUUGCUUGUUUUCUGAAUCUCUUUGUUUUGGGUUCCAAAUGUAAGAGUUUCUCACUUUUCCACAGUUUCUAAUCUGUUAUUGUUUUGGGAAAGUAGCUAAAAUGGUCCGAAAUCAAUUCUCAAAUUCCCAAUUCUGAACUUGUCAAAAUCAAAUAUCGAUGAUAUACUGAAAAACUGAUCAUUUCAGCUAUUGGGCGAAAAAUGAUCAUUUCUGCCAAUUUCCCUGUUAUUUUCUGUUGUCGUAAAUUUUAGAUUGAAACUUUUGUAAGUUUUUCUAAUUUUGGUGUUGGUUUUUGUUGUUAAGAAUCAAGGAAUGGGUGGAGAAGGCGGCCUUAUCGGCGGGGCUGGUCUCGGAACACUAUUCAAUGCGCUGUAUGAGGGCCUCGGGGAGCUGAUUGCCAAGAAUCUAGUGUUUAAGCCCCUACUCAAAAACAUCAGGUUAGACUCUUUGGAGCCAUUGUUGAAAGAUAUAGAAGAAUCCAACAAGAAAUUGGAUCUUCCGGUUGUGGAACUGGAAAACUUAAAAGCACAUUUGGAGGAGGGCAUAGAGCUCCUUCGAAAGUGCAAAAAGAUUCGAUGGUGGAUCGUCUACAAAAGGUACAAAUACGCCACUAAGCUGAUUCGAUGGGAUAAAUCUCUUCAACGAUUUCUGGAAAUACUAAACGUUCAGGGAAUAAGGGAUGUGAAGGACAGCACGGUUUCGGUGAAGAAUAUAGAGAAGCUGGUCAGCAGAAUUGAAUCGAAUAUGGGGAUACCAAAACAAACCGACAGUGAAGCUUGGUGUGCGGUACCUGAACUUCCCCCGCUAGUGGUUGGAUUGGAUUUUCCUCUCAAGGAAUUGAAGAGGAAGCUUCUAAAGGACGAAAACGUGUCAAUGGUUGUGCUGACUGCUCCCGGAGGAUGUGGAAAAACCACUCUGGCUACAAAGUUUUGUCAAGACAAGGAUGUCAAAGGUAUCAUAUAUUAUAAGUUGGCACUCGGAAUUGUUUAUAUUUUUUUUCUUUGUACAUUCAUGGCAGAUUUAAAUGACGCCCCAAUGACUGAUUAUUAUGUUUUCAUUGGACAGAUACAUUCAAGGAGAAUAUCUUCUUCGUCACGGUUUCAAAAAAGCCUAAAUUGGAAAAUAUUGUUCAAGAUUUAUAUCAACGCAAGGGUUUCCCGGCACCUACUUUCCAAAACGAAGGCAGUGUAGUGACGUGGCUGCAACAUUUUCUGAGGGAAGAAGGGCAGAAUCCUUUACUGAUUGUCCUGGAUGAUGUUUGGUCUGGAUCAGAAUCCCUUCUGGAGAAGUUUGAUCAAUUCAAAACGGAAAAUUUCAAGUUUUUGGUGACAUCUAGGUCUGAAUUUCGGGGAUAUGGUUCCCCUUAUUAUUUGCAAUCAUUGGAUCAUGACAAUGCGAUGAAACUUUUUCAUCAUUCAGCAUCCCUUGGAGAUAAGAGCUCUCAUAUUCCAAAAGAUCUUCCGGAAAAGGUACUUUUUAGUUGCAAUGCACAACAUGUAUAGUAAAAAAUUGGUUGACUUGGUUUAGGAAAAUUAUGAACAAAUUAUGUUCACUUUACGCAAACCAUCCACAAUCGAGUGAAUGAACACAUCCAUUUACCAUAAUUACUUGUGGACUAAAACUAAAAUUAGAAUACUGUAUAUAGUUAUUUAACCAUUUUCUCAUCUUAGUAACUUGAAUUUUGGCUCUGCAACUUAAAAGGUAGUUGACUUUGUUUUGGAAAAUUAUCCUGCAGAUAGUUGAGCGUUGCAAGGGAUUUCCACUUGCUAUUACAGUGGUGGGGAGAUCACUUUGCGGGGAGCCUAUUGAGAUAUGGCGCGAAAGAGAACUCGAAUGGUCGAAAGGAUUUUCUAUUCUUGAUUCAGAGACUGAAUUGCUGCUCUGCCUUGAAAGAAGCUUGGAUGCCGUUGAUAAAGAAAUCAUCAAGGAAUGUUUCUUAGACUUGGGUUCAUUUCCUGAAGACCAAAGAAUCCCUGCUGCUGCCCUCAUUGAUAUCUGGGCAGAGUUAUAUGAUGUGGAUACAGAUAUAGAGUGCAUUGCAAAUCUCUACGAGCUAACCAAACGAAGUCUAGCUAAUCUUGUUGUUACAAGGUAUAGAGUGCAUACUUUCUUUUUUCUUGUACGAUAUUUUUGCUCGAUUUUCCCUUUUAUAUUCAGGACUACUUGAUGUUGAUAACUUGUUAUUGCAAUAUGUUGGUUGAAGAAAUCUCUUCUAAGAAAAUUAGUUUUGAUCAUCACCAGGAAGGACAAGACUGAGGGGGACUGGUACUAUAGUGAGCACUUUGUUACCCAGCAUGAUGUUCUUAGGGAGCUGGCUAUCUACAACACAAAAACAGGACCGGUAGAACAUAGAGAAAGACUGAUUAUUGACAUAUGUGGAGACAAACUUCCAAAAUGGUGGAGAGAACAGAAGCAUCAGCCGAUGAAGGCCCGCUUAUUAUCCAUAACAACUGGUUGUUCCAUCGCUCCCUUUCUCUUUAGCAAUUAUGUAGACGCACACAAAUAAAUAGUCAUUCUUACACAUGCACGUCCAGCCGACCCCACUUAGUGGGAAAAGGCUUUGUUGUUGUUGUUGUUACACAUGCACGCCCGUGUGCAUUUAGUCUUAAUAGUACUUUCAUUUUAGUUUCUCAUCCCGACACUCACAGUUGUUACUCUGCAGAUGAAGGGUUUUCUUCAAAAUGGCACGACAUGCAAAUGCCACAAGUUGAGGUUUUAGUGUUGAAUUUCCAGACAAAGAACUAUGCCUUACCCAACUCCGUGGUGAACAUGGAUGAAUUGAAGGCUGUGAUAGUCACAAAUUAUGGUUUCUUACCUGCUGAAUUAAGUAACUUUCAACUUUUGAGUUCAUUACCAAAUCUUAAGAGAAUCAGAUUAGAACGCAUCUCAAUUCCUUCCAUAACCAAGAAUCCCAUACAUUUGGCGGGUCUGAAGAAGAUAUCCUUGUUCAUGUGUAACAUUGGUGAAGCAUUCAACAACUGUGCCAUCUCAAUCUCAUCAGCAUUCCCAAAUCUAGAGGAAAUGAACAUCGACUAUUGCAGUGAUUUAAUUGAAUUGCCCUCCGAGGUUUGUGAUCUUAUUAAAUUAAGGAAGCUCAGUGUCACUAACUGUCAUAAGCUAUCUGCCUUGCCUGAAGGGAUUGGAAAUUUGGAAAAUUUAGAAAUGUUGAGGCUAAGAUCCUGCACAGAACUGUCGAAGCUUCCAACCUCGAUGAAGUACCUUGGAAAGGUAAACUUUCUUGACAUAUCUGAUUGCUUCAGCAUCAAGGUGUUGCCCGAAGACAUUGGUGAAAUGAGUAGUUUAAGAAAGAUCAACAUGAGACAAUGCUCAAGGUUGCAAGAGCUGCCUCCAUCAGUCAUGGGUCUUGAGCAGUUAAAGGAAGUGGUCUGUGAUGAAGAAACAAAAUAUUUAUGGGAACCCAUCUCAUCGUAUCUCAAGAACGUAACGAUAAUUGUGGCCAAAGAGAAUAUGAACCUAAAUUGGCUCCACAAGACUCGGUUCUGAUGUGUUUCCCCAGUGAACCUUGCUCUUCAACCUCUGUGUUGGUUUGUGUUUUUAAUGAAACUUUUAAACUCUACUGUAACAUGUACGAAUAAGAUCAUGACCAUAAGUCCUAAGGCCUGCUAUUUGUUUCAGAUUCGUAUAGUAAAGUGCUAAUGUAAAAAGAUAUACUUAAUCCUUAUUUGUGGAGGAUUGAAUAAAAGUAUGAAAACUGGUUUUACAUUUUGUAUACAAUAAGGUAACUUAUUCAGUAUUGAAUAAGGAUUCUAAUAGGAGAAUUACAUGGAUUGAUUGUGUAUAAAUAGUAGCCUAUGUUCUCACAAAACAUACGCUCAGUAUUUUGGGAGGUAUACUAAGGCAGGUCAAUAGAAAGGACCUUUUGCUCUUUAUCUGGAGAAACAUGGCAUCGUGGCACAAUAUACGACACCUAGAACGCCACAACAGAAUGGAGUCUCAUAAAGAAGGAACAGAACUUUGAUUAGGAUAGUAAGGAGCAUGGUGUCUAGAGCUAAACUUCCAGCAUUCUUAUAGAGAGAAGCACUCAAAACAGCAACUUAAAUCCUCAACAGGGUGCCAACCAAAGCUAUUUCACAAAUCCCUUUUGAAAUUUGGACUGGAAGAAAACCAAAUUUUGAUUAUUUUCAUGUUUGGGGUUGCAAGGUUCUAUAAUCCACAUGAGCAGAAAUUAGAUGCAAGAACUCAAUCUUGCUAUUUUGUUGGCUACUGCGAAAAGUCCAAAGGGUUCAAGUUUUAUGAUCCACAAGCUCAUUCGAGAAUUCAAGAGUCACACAAUGCUGUUUUUCUAGAAGAUCAAGAUGUGGCAUAUUUGAAUCAAGAUGAAUUUAAUUUUGAGGAACUAAUCUCGGAUGAAUAUGUCUCUCCUGCAGAAAAUUACAAGAUUCUUUCCAUAUUCCUGCAAAAGAUUAGUCCAAAUGAAGAAGAAGAUCAUCAAAUGGCAGAUUGUGGACUUGAAACAAAAACUACAUUUGAUCAGACUCGGUUGGAAGAUCAUGUUGUGCAAAAACAACAACAAAUUGAAAGUUCAGAAGCACCUCGAGCUGAACCUGAAUUAAGAAAAUCAACAAGAACAAAUAAGUUAGCCAUAUCAAAUUAUUAUGUCUAUUUGCAAGAAUCUGAGUAUGACAUAGGUGAUAUUGAUGAUCCCAUCACCUACAAUCAAACUAUAGAGAGCUCACAAUCAAUCUUAUAGGUCAAUGCAAUGAAGGAGGAAUUAGAAUCGAUGAGCAAAACAAAGUCUGGACAUUGGUUGAAUCUAAUUCCAAAAUCAAGCAUAUAGGUUAUAAGUGGGUUUAUAAAACCAAAUGAGACUCUCAAGGCAAAAUUGAAAGAUACAAAGUUAGAUUAGUUGCAAAAGGGUUCACUCAAAGAGAAGGUAUUGACUACAACGAUACUUUUUCACAUGUAUCAUCAAAAGAUUCCAUGAGGGUCACAAUGGCUUUGACUGCACAUUUUGAUUUGAAGCUGCAUCAGAUGGAUGUCAAGACCACCUUCCUUAAUGGAGAGCUACACGAAGAUAUUUAUAUGAGGCAACCAAUUGGAUUUGUUGAAAGGGGGAAGGAAGAUAUGAUUUGUAAAUUAAAUAAGUCAAUUUAUGGUCUCAAACAAGCUUCAAGGCCAUGGUAUCUCAAAUUUGAUCAAGUGGUUAAACUCAUGGUUUCACUAAAAACAAGUUAGACGACUGCAUCUAUCUCAAGUUCAGUGGAUCAAACUUAAUUGUUUUGGUGCUAUAUGUCAAUGACAUAUUACUGGCCAGUUCUAGUUCUAAAUUACUGCAGAACACUAAGUCCAUGCUUAGUGUUAAUUUUGAUAUGAAGGACCUUGGUGAAGCUCACUAUGUUCUUAGAAUAGAGAUUGUGAUAGACAGAAGGUGGAGACUUUUGGGUUUAUCUCAGAAAGGCUAUAUUGAUAGAGUGCUAACUCAGUUCAACAUGGAGCAUUGCAAUGGAGGCCACGUUCCUGUCAACAAAGGUGAUAAAUUCAUUAGAGCACAAUGUCCCAAGAGUGAAACUGAAGUGAAAAAGAUGAGAGACAAACCUUAUACCUCAUUGGUGGGUAGUUUGAUGUAUGCAAAUGUUUGUACGAGACCUGAUAUUGCCUUCAUUGUUGGCAUCUUGGGUAGGUUUCAAUCAAAUCCUGAUGAAGCUCAUUGGACUACGGCAAAUAAGGUAUUGAUAUAUCUGCAACGAACCAAGUCUUUCAUGCUCAUGUAUGGCAGAGAUCCACAGCUAGAAGUCACUGGAUAUAUUGAUUCAGAUUUGGCUGGAGACUUAGAUAAAAGAAAAUCCACUGGAGGCUAUGUCUUUAUGCUUGGAGAUUGAGCUAUUUCAUGGAAGAGUUCUAAGCAAUCUAUUAUAACAACAUCUACCAUGGAAGCAGAUUUUGUAGCCUGUUUCGAAGGCAGCAAGCAAGCUAUUUGGCUCAAAAAUUUCAUAAGUGAGUUGAAGAUAAUGGAUUCAAUUCAAAAACCGAUGAAGAUGUUUUGUGACAAUACUUCGACUGUGUUUUUCUCUAAAAACAAUAAGAGGACUUCUGCUAGUAGACUGAUGGAUGUAAAAUUUUGAAAGUUCAAGAAAUGGUGAAGGAAGAAGCUAUAGAAGUACAACAUCUGAAUACAAAUCUCAUGGUUGCAUAUCCUUUGACUAAAGCUUUACCAAUUGGAGUUUUCAAAGCUUAUGUUACUCGAAUGGGAGUGCUGGAAUCUUUUGAUCAGUUGGAGUAGUUGCUGGUACAGAAGUAUUGAAGGUGAUGACAUCUUUGUAGGUUUAUAAGUUGAGUUAUUAGUUAGUUUUGCUUCAAUUAUUUUGUUUCAACUAGUUUUAUGUUUUAGCUAGUUUUGAAUAAUUGAAUGUUUUCAUUUGGGUUCAAUUUUUCCAGAUUAUCUGUGAUGAAUUGUUCUAGAAGACAAAUUUUGUUUUAUGGUUCUUAUAAUGCUUUAAAGUCAGUCUUUGAUUUGAUAAAGCAGUUGGUGGAAUUAUAAAGUGUUGUUCAUAGUAUUACUUAUGAUCUUUCGAGAUUUUGGUUUGAGUAAUUACUUGGAUUAUGUAUCAUGUUAUUCAAGUGGUUUGAAUAUUGAGAUGAUUACGAUUUAGUAUCAUGUGUUGAUGUUAAAUGUUUUGGCUUCAAAAGUGGGAGCAAACUUGUUUUGAGUUUGUCUUUAAUCAGUUGGUUCACAAUGUUACAAGGGUGCAGAUUUAGUAUUUGUGAUUUUGAAAUUAGCCCUAUAUUGUAUCAAGAGUGUGAAUUUCUGGAUUCAAUACUUUGAAAUGCAUUGAUAGAUUGUUUGUGAUGUAGUAAUUUUUCAUUGAGAUUUAGUGAUCACUUCUAUAAUGAUAUGAAUUAUUGUGCGAUGGUUUUGGGUCAUGAUCAAGUGGGAGAAUGUAAGAAUAUGAUCAUGACCAUACGUCCUAAGGCUUGCUAUUUGUUUCAGAUUCGUAUAGAAAAGUCUCAAUGUAAAGAGAUAUACUUAAUCCUUAUUUGUGAAGGAUUGAAUGAAAGUAUGAAAACUGGUUUUAACACUUUGUAUACAAUAAGGUAACUUAUUCAUUAUUGAAUAAGGAUUAUAAUAGGAGAAUUAUAUGGAUUGAUUGUGUAUAAAUAGUAGCAUCUGCUCUAACAAAACAUACUCUCAAUAUUGAACUAAGAGUCUAAGACCUAUUGUUAGUUUGAGUAUUAUUGGUUUUGACAGAGAGGAGAAGAUCUGCUACUUGUUUGCCCAUGGCUCCAUCUUCUACUGUUGCUGCAGGUUAGUUUAUAUUCCAUCUUCUCUAGGAGGUUUAUUCAUUCUUACAUAACAUGGUUUCAGAUUCAAUCUCUUUGUACAGUUUCUUGACUUUUUUGUUUAGAAAUCUGUUUCUGUAAUUCAACACCGCAAUCUCAUUCAUGCUCUCCCAAAAUAAAUUCAAUACCACAAGGUUGAAGAGUCUUCGUAAGAUAAGAACUUUCAUGUCACGGGAUCAGGUGUUAAUCUGAUUGUGGGUAAGUUUAUGCGGUAUCUAUACUAACGUCAACAGGUCAAGUUUACAGAACUGUUCACAUAUGGUCUAGAUGAAUUGCCAAAUCUAGAGGAAUUGAUUGGUUAUCGACUUCUAAUCAACAUAGAAGUCAGUGACAAAGUAGAUAAUGAAUAACAAUAUACUUCAGAAGAAAAUACUCAAAUUCAAUACUAUAGAGAAUUAAUAACAUCCAUUAUACAUUAAAAAAAUACACAAAUUUAAUACUUUGUAACAUAAGAAGAAGGCACAACUGAAAUGUCACAACUAAUAAUCCAUUGAGUAAAUUGUAACAAUGGUCUCUCAACUUUAAUCAAAUUAGAGCAAUGGUCCCUUAACUAAAAAUUCAUUAUCAUUGGUCCCUCAACUUAUCAAAAUGUGUAACUAUAGUCAUUUUCAUCAAUUUCGUCAAAAUUUUGUCAAAAUAAGUUAUGUUGGAAUAACCAUUUAUAUAAUUAGGGUCCCUCAACUCAUCAAAGUGUAAUUAUGGUCCUUUUCGUCAACUACAUCAAAAAUUUUGUCAAAACGAGUUAUGUUAGAAUGAUCAUUGCUACAAUUGGGUUAGAGUUAAGGGACAAUUUCUGAAUUAAAGUUGAGGGACCAAUGAUAAUGAAUUUUUAGUUGAGAGACUAUAGCUACACGUUGUGAUGAGUUGCGGGACGAAUGGUAAUGGAUUUUUAGUUAAGGGACCAUUGCUCCAAUUGAGUUAAAGCUAGGGACUAUAGCUACAAUUUACUCUAAUCCAUUAGAGUAUGUCAAUACUAUAAAAAAAAUUAAAAAAAAAAUUUUUUAAAUGACUUGGCUUUGUAAUGGGAGGGACACUAAGAAAUUUCACAGCUAAGAAUCAAUUAGAGCAUGACAAUUAGGUAAAUGAGGAGGUUCUCUUUGUAUAAACUAUAACAAAUAAUUGUACAUUAGAAAGAUAGUUGAUAUUUUCAAUAAAAAGAGGCAUAUUUGUCGAUUUGCCAUCUGAACUUGUAUGGAGCUGCCAAUUUCCCCAUAAACUUUAAUUUUAGCCAAUUACGCUCUUAAACUUUUAUAAUUAGCCAAUUUUCCCCUUGAAUUUUAAUUUUAGCCGAUUACCCCUAAACCUUAAUCAAUAGACAAUAUUCCCCCUAGCGUUAGAUUUUAAAAAAUUUCAUCUAAUUUUCCAUCCAUCUUGAUAAUGGAAACAACACAUAACAACUGUAUAAGGGUAAGAAGGAUGAAAAAUUGAAUAUAAGUUUUUAAGAUCUAGCGCCAGGGCGGGAAUUGGCUAUUUAUAAAAGUUCAGGGAGAGUAAUCGGCUAAAAUUUAAGUUCAAGGGGGAAAUUGGCUAAUUAAAAAAUUUUAAGGGCGUAAUUGGCUAAAAUUAAAGUUCAGGAAGAAAUUUGGUAGCUACAUACAAGUUCAGGGGCAAAUCAACAAAUACCUCUAAAGAGAGAGCUGAUUUUUAUUAAUCAACAUUGAAGUUUUUGUGUAUAAACUAUGAAGCCAUAAGGGAAUUAUGCUAUAGUCUCCUCACAUAAAAUUCUCAACUCUAUCAUUUUCCGUGAACCUAUAAUUCACACAAAUGAGGAUCAGUUUAUUAGGGGAUAUAUGAUACACCUAAAUGAGAUCAAUUCAUAUGUGCAUUAAACGUGACAGAGUCAUUGUACAAUUUAAAUUUAAGAAAAGAAAACUAUACUUUCAAGACAUAAAAAGUUUAUUAAUCAACAUUAAAAAAUGUAUGCAUAUUCUAUGAAAAAAUAAGGAAAUUAUACUAUGGUCUCCUCAUAAGAAACUCUCAACUCCGUCAUUUUCGUGAAUUUGUGAUACACGCUAAAAUGGAAUGAAUUCUUCAAUGAACUUUUGAUCAUGUAAAUGAGACAUAUUCGUAAGUUUAUAAAAAAAAGGAAAACUAAUGAAAAGACUUGAAAAUUUUGAGUUUUAAUGAUAAGGACAAAAUAAAGGGUAAAGUGAAUAGUACCAGGUUUGACUUUUUAGUGUAAAAAUGUGAUUUUUCGUUAAAGUGAACAGUACCGUGGGUUUUUCGUUAAAACUCCCUAUAAAAAAUGAUGAAGCUUAUGUGAGUGGACCAGAAUACAAUUUCCUGGUGUUUUCAUAGCAUAUGCACAAAAAAUUAAUGUCGAAAAAUAAGUUUUUUUUAAUGUAUAUAAGUAUAAUAUUUUCUCAUCUUCUAGUACAAGUUUUGUGCCUAUUCCACAAAAACAAAAACAAAAAAAAUAAAUAAAUAAACUUACAUUAAGCCUUCGAAUUCUAUUUUCCAACAUUAAGCCUAUGAAUUCACUCAGAAUAUAAAAAAAAAUUGCCUAAUAAAUAUAGACUAAUCAUAUUAGCUAAAACAAAUAUACUUUCCCAUAACCCUCAUUUUUGUGCAUAUUCUACCAAAAUGAUAGAAAAUUAUACUAUGAUCUUUUCACAAGAAAUUUCCGACUUUGUCAUUUAUUGUUAACCCAUUAUUCACGCAAACGGGUUUAAUUUAUCAAAGGAAGUAUGAUACACAUUAGUGAGAUUUGAAAGCCCAUGUGAGUAGAGAAAUAUAUAAUUUCCUUAUGUUUUCAUAGCAUGUUCACAAAAAAAAUUAAUGUUGUUGAAUAAAUUUUAUAUUGUUGCAGUCCUAUUGAAUAGGAAUGUGAUUGUAUAAAUCCUAGUAAAUAUGGGAAUGUAUUUUAUAUUCCUAAUAGGAGUAUAUUACCUAUUAAAUGUUGUAAAGGGAAAGGUUUUUACCUAUCCUACUACUAUAAAUAAAGGCAUAAUGGGGUGGAAUAGAACACACCCACAAUUACACACAUCUCUCUUCUUCUCUCCAUGUGCCGCAACCCUUCUCUCUCUAUGGCCUCCAUAAUUGUUCAGUAAAUUAUGUCUACAACACGUUAUCAGCAUGCUCUUGACGUUGCGCUAAUGAGAGUUUAUUCUUCAAUCAGGGGAGUAUUACGUUUUAAUCAUUCUUUUUUAUGAUUAAUUUAUUAUUUUGAAUUAAUCUACAUACUAUUGAUUCAAUUUAAUUUUUCUGUGUUGAACGUGAUACAAUGCAUUGGAGAUGCAAUUCCGGCUUUCCGAGAAGAAACUUCUACAAAUUCAAAGGCUUUUAUUUGUUUUCUGCCAAUCAGGUACGCUUAAAAUAAAGUAAGAUAUUUGAAUCAACCUUGAAGCAUGAAAACAUUCCCCAUGAUGCAUGAACGCCCCUAUGUUUAUAUUUUCCUUCCAAUAUAUAUAUAUAUAUAUAUAUAUAUAUAUAUAUAUAUUGUAUAUAUUUAUAUAUCUGUAAAUAUAUAUAUUUGUUUCAUGCAUUACGCAUAUAUGCUAUGUGGAAUUUGUGAGUUAAAGAAUCAAAAUAAAUUAGAAGCAUAUUAGGGUUUGUAGAACCCUAACAAUUUCGAAAAAAAAGGGGAACUUGGAUGCAAAAACCAGGCCUCGGCCUGGACGUCACCUCGGCAAGGCAUGAAGCCCCACGCCCCAAUUUGCUGUCUUGGUCCGAAUACCAGCAAGCUUAUGCUUGCUGGGCUCUGUGAAGCCCUAAACCCGUAUGCACCCUAAACAUAUGGCUUGCAUGCCGCAACCUUUUGGUUGCUGGGAUUGUGCAGCAGCAAAGGGCAUGUAGCCCUGGCAUUCUGUCUACGCCAGCAAGCCAUACAGCUUGCUGGGCCUUGCAGCAACCUAGCCCGUGUCUUCCACUGCCAGCCCAAAUUGGUUGGGCUUAAGUCCUUGCGGCCCGUAUCCCUGCAUGACGCCAGCCUUGUGGUUGGGCCUCCUAGGCGCAACAACCAACAGGUCAGCUUUGCUAGACCUGCACCGUGCCCCCUUGGUCCAAGUAUGAAACCCAGCUGUGGUUGGGGUUUCUCCCAUCCACCCCGUGGCCUGCAGCCACCAUCCAAUGACCUUUGGGCCGUGUCUUAUGCUUAAGACACCCACCCAUGCCCACAUAUUUUUGGGGCAUAUUUUUUAAUAAAAUGCUAUUAUUUAUCAUUUUAAAUAAUUUUAACCCGAAUGUUAUUAUUAUUUUUGCUUCUACAAUUGACCCUGUUUGGUCCCGAUUUAUUGAAUUAAUUAAAGUGACCUGCAAUCCAUUAAUUUGAUAAUGAAUCCAAAAUUAUUGACCUGAAGAUCACUUUUGGAGGUUAACGAUUCAAUAAUUUAUUUGUAUACUUUGAACCGUUGACUUACUUUCUUAGUCCCGAAGCACUUACACUUGAGUUCCCGAAGAACCUCAGAUCCACUACACUUAGUUGUAUAUUGCAUUAUGUGUUCUUCCAGGAACCUCUCUUUUAUGAACUAAACGUUCAUAAACUAAAUUGAACCUGUAGUUUCAAAUUUAGUGCCUUUGAAACUCGAAGAUUUCAUAAAACAAUACACCCAUGAAAACCCGACGUUUUCAUGAAAACCAUGGCUUAGAACUCGAAUGUUCUAACUUUGAUGCUUAUGGAUGAUUCAUUCCCAUAGCACCAAUCACAAUCUUGUUAUGUCCAAUUCAGUGGAUUAUCGAACCGUAACAAAUUCGAUUUUCCUGAUUUGGACGUUUCUAAAAGAAAACACUUUAUGUGGGGUACAAGACGUGAAUCUCCACUUGACUAUCAAGAAGCUAAGAAACCAUUGAAGCCAACAAUGGCAUGGAAGAGCUGAAUAAGCCUCUUCCAUGAUCUUCAUUCGAAGACUUAUGCCCAAAGCAUUACAAAUGGAAGUACCUCUUGCAUGAGGAUUCCAUGGCUCUUUGGCUCGCUCCUACAGACUGUUUAAUCAUGAAAGACAUUGCCUGAAGCACAUCAUGAUUAAGUCCAUGAAUGAAUACAAUUCUGAAGUUUAUAAAUCCGAUCGAAUUUUGACUGGAGAAUACUUUUCUCGUCCUUCCAUGUUUCUCACUCGCUCCUGAGGCAGCAGUGUAGAAAGCGGAAGUUUACCAAAUUCUCGGAUCUGAUUACUACCACAAAUGUGAGAGAACGGUAUAGAACCAGUUAGGUCAAAGCCUAACUAAAUGGUGAUGCACUGCUUCGGCAAGGGAUACACCAAAUGGCAUACUCUUUCACAUCCAAAUUCGAGUUUGUUUUUACAACAUAUGGUAGAAUCAAGGCCUGCCAAGGUGUGGCAUCAUGCCCGAAGCAUGAUCCUUGGUACCUUAGACCUAAAACUUCAAGAACAAGGGAUAUUAUUCCUAAACUUUAACCCUGCAUAAUCUACUUCCGUCUUACUGGAAUAGAUCAUUGGUUAUGCACAUGUUCGUGCCCCUGUUGUUGAGGAGUACCAUUCUAGUAGUUAAUAUGUGAGACUAAUUUUGCUCCACCAAACACCGUUGGAAUAGCAAAAUUUUGACAUGGAUGACCUUGUUGGCCAAAUCCCCUUAAUAAACCAUUUACUUUGUGAACAAUUUUCCAUGUUCUUUGAUUCACGUUUGGUGUAUGUUUUACUUAUGGAUAAUCUUAUUGAUAUUGUCCUCGAAUAUGAGUUAAUUGAAUCAUGUUUCUUAAUACAUGUGACCGAUUCAACUAAACACGUGAUUAGGUAGGAAUGUCAGAAAAUUAGUUGUCUGGAUGAAUCCGUACUACGCACACUAACUUUACACCUAAAUCACAUCUCUAACAACGACUUCAAGUCUAUCCAACCUGAUUAAGAGCAUUGGCACGCUCCUCAUUGUAUGAAUGGUACUAAAUCACCAUUUAAGGGACUUUAAAUUCUCCCUAACGUUGAGUUUUUAAGGAUAUUCGAGAUGACAAUGAUCAUAAAUGAAACCAAUGAAGAAAAUAGAGUGAAAUAUCUUUGCACCACCUCUAAAAAUGAGCCUACAGCUUUGAUUUAGGGCCAAUGGGUUGUCUCCCAACUGGGAACACGACACAUAUGGCCAGCCCGGAGCCAGGUGAUUGAGCAGUUUACUUGCUUUGGCACGAUCUUUUGGGACACUUAGGUCGAACAAUGAUGCUACAACGCAUCUCCUUACUUAAAGUAAGGAUCUUGUGCCUACAAGCACACUUUGCGAAGCCUGCUCAUUAAGAAAAUUGAUUUUCUAUAUCAUUCCUUGCAAAGAUACGACACGACUCUCUUUUCGUAGUGGAUUCAAGGGAAUAUUUGUGGACUAAUCCAACCAAAAUGCGGACCAUAUAAAUACUUAUGGUUUUGGUUGAUGAAUCGACAAACUGGUCACAUGUUUGUCCACAAACAUUACUGCUAAACCUCAUGGCCGAUUAAGAGUUCACCACCCUACUUAUCACUUAAGGUCCGGGAGACUGGAUAAUGUCGGAGAGUUUAUAUCGAUGGUUUUCGAUAAAGUAUUGCAUGUAUUUUGGGUUUAUAAUUGAACAUCAAAUUCCCAUGUUCACCCUAAAAUAGCCUCACCUAGCGAUCAUAAAGCACAAUUUAAAUGAUCACCCGAAUUUUGGUAAACGUGCCAAGUUUUCGGUUUCUACCUAGGGCUAUGCAAUCCUUGUACGCAGUUAUGUUGGCCGCCUUGAGGCCCAUUGCCACCCAACCUAUAUGACGUUAUAGUUGGUUACUGGGUACGAACCUGACAAUUUCGUAUUUAGGCAUUUGGGUGUGCAUUCUAUGUGCCAAGUUACGCCGCCGCAACGUACCACCAUGGGUCCUCAAAGAAGGAUGUGUAUCUUUUGUCGAUCAUGAUUCUCUUUCACACUAGCUCUCUUCGAGCCCUUGCAUGUGAUCUUUUUACCGUUCAUUUGCGGGUUGUCACUUUAAUGAGACAGUCUUCCCACCGUUAGGGGGAGAUAAGAACGUCAACGUUCAUGGAGAACGGCACGAAUUUGCGUGGACGUUGCCCACUAUGUCUCAUCUCAGUCCCCAUACCGCACAAGUAUGAUAAGCAAAUGCGAUGACUUCUAGAUUUCAGAAUCUUGCUCCAUAUGCAUUCAUCUGAUCUAGCUAAAUUGACGAGAUCAUAUACCAGCAACAAACAUGCCUACAAGGAUAGACGUACUUAACGGACGUCGAGUCAACAUCCCUGGAGGGUGUGCCACCCCUGUUGGACAGUUUGGACGCCUCUGUUGGACAGUCCUGUACACCGACGGAUAGCCAAUCAAUCUGUCUUGGCCUGGAGCACGACAGAUCAUUCGGUUCGUAGGAUUCACUUCCCUAAAAGAGGAAGAUAUGGCACAAUAAUGAAUCUAAACUCGAUCGCUAUCUCAAAUCAUUUCCAUCUUAUGAGAUUAAUCUGGAUUUCUCCCAAGACUUAAAGUUCUUGGUCUAGUAUACUAGUUUGGAUGAGCUAAAUGGAAUUGAAAUGAGAUUAUCAUCGAUGAUUUUUUCACUUAUAUGGUAGCUACCGACAUAAAUGAAAAGCGACGAUAUCAAACCGUGUUUCGUUGAUUAAAUGACAACGUAGAACUGAUUGGACAACUGAAAUUACAAUCUAGGUCAAAUUCCUUACCAAAGUGUGUAUUGAACCUGUCGUUCCUACACUGCCCAAGGUAACCCUAUUAUAUUACAAGUGGGAAAGGAAGCGUUAUGAGAUGAAUGAAAUAGUGCAAUAUGAUGCACGUCCUGUGAUUGAUAGCAGCAUUAUGAAAUAUGGUUAGUGUUUUCUCCAUGGGGAUAUAGAUAUGGAGAUUUACAUGUAAGUUCCUGAAGAAUUACAUGGACUGUUUCAAAUAGUUCCAAAACCGCGGAACACAUUCUUAACUCGUUUUAAGGCGUUCACUUAUGGAUUGAAAAAUCUGACGGAUGUGGUAUACCCGUCUAAGUGAUUAUUUGAUCAAUCAGGGAUAUGAAUUAUGCCCUUACAUGUUAAACUAUGAAGUCUUAUUCCAAAUUGCUAGAGUUACAUUUUAUGUCGUUGACACGAAUUUCACUAAGACUUCGGAAGAGCUUGAGAAAACUGCCUCGUACCUGAAUAUGGAAUUUGAGAUGAAGGAUCUUGGGAAAACUCGUUUUAUGCCUUGACUUGAAGUUGAAGCAUUGUUAUGACGGUAUUUUGAUCUACCAGUCGAACUACACCCUGAAUGUGUUACCUUUGAGUAUACCUAUGAUCGUCCAUAUGUUAUAAGCAAAUGAGACCCUUAAAGAGGUUAUGGAAUCCGAAAUUCCAUAUCUAAGUUCAACUUUGCGCUUCGUUGUACUUAGCUCAUUUUAUUUAGACAUAACAUCUCCAUCAUUGUUGAUCUUGGUAAAAAUGCAGCACUGUGCCUACACGCAACCACUGAAUUGGUAUUAAAGACGUACCCUGAAGGUACUACAUGGGCAAAUCCCAACGCAUCUUAGCAGAUCCAACCCCUCUGAUCCUCGAAAUGAUGUUUGCCUUGUUUGUUAUACUGAUGCAGGUUACUUAUCAAACCCGCACAAAGUAUUUUGGUGAUUGAACUAUUUGAUGUUUGGGGUAUAGACUUCAUGGGACCUUUCCCUUCUUCACAUGGCAAUCUCUACAUCUUGGUGGCGGUUGAUUAUGUCUCUAAGUGGGUGGAGGCAAUAGCUUCUCCAACAUGCAAAAGUUCUGUGGUGUUAGGUUUCUUGCAGAAUACUAUUUUUCCCCGAUUUGGAGUACCUCGUGCUAUCAUCAGUGACGAAGGUACGUAUUUCUUAAACCGCACCAUGGCUGCCCUUUGUGCCAAGUAUCAUAUUCACCAUCGCAUAGCCACCCUAUAUCAUCCACAAACAUCUGGACAAGUUGAAGUAUCUAAUCGGGAGCUCAAGAGGAUUCUUGAGAAAACUGUCAGUUCAUCUCGAAAGGAUUGGAGUUUAAAGCUUACUAAUGCUUUGUGGGCAUAUAGGACAGCUUAUAAGACACCAAUUGGGAUGUCUCCUUUUCGUUUGGUGUAUGGGAAAGCUUGCCAUCUGCCUAUGGAACUUGAGCACAAGGCAUAUUGGGCUAUUAAGCACCUCAAUUUUGACUACCAAGCAGCGGGAGAGAAGCGGAAGCUGCAGUUGAAUGAAUUGGAAGAAAUAAGGAAUGAUGUUUAUGAGAAUGCAAAGAUUUACAAGGAUAAGACCAAGAAAUUUCAUGAUGCUCACAUCCUUCGUAAAGAGUUUCAACCGGGUCAGAAGGUUUUGCUUUUUAAUUCGAGACUAAAACUAUUCCUAGGAAAGCUCAAAUCACGUUGGAAUGGUCCAUAUCGUGUUGUACAGGUCCAUCUUCAUGGGGCUGUGGAUAUCCAAAACAUGCAAACUGGUUUUGUCUUCAAAGUUAAUGGACAUCGCUUGAAGUUAUACAAGGAGUCUCUAUAUGAUCUUGCUAAGGAUUCCAUCACUUUGAAGGAACUUGUUAUUUGAAUCAAAUUGCCAACAGAAUGUCUAGCUCUAGACAGUAACUAAAGCGCUUCUUGGGAGGAAACCCAAGCUUUCUAUCUUUCAUCUUUAGUUUGAAUAAUUUUAAAUGUUCUUGUUCUGUUUUUUUUCUUGUUUUCUGGUUUGUGUGUUUAAGUCCUACUUUUGCUCCCUUAUGCAGGUAAUGAUUUUGCAAUCUCUACCACAACUUCUUGCAAAGUUUCUUAAUCCCACGGGUUACUCACACAUUUGUUAUGCAUAAUGGGACGUGUUGAAACAAGUUUGGGGAUGAUUUGGAAUUCUACCAUGGAACAAAAAUGCAUUUUUACUGCUGCUCUCCUCACCUACACAAAUUGGUGUGUUCUUUCCUUUUCUUUAUGUGUAUUGAUUUCAUUUUGUAUUUCUUUCCUUCAAUUUUUAUGUCUUAUUGUUAAAAAUUCCUUUCAUUAUCAUUGGGGACAAUGCUAUAAUUAAGUUUGGGGGUGGAAAUAUAUUUCAUUAGUUUUCUUCUUGUUUAAAAAAAAAAAAAAAAAGAAAAAAAAAACUAAUUAAAAAAAAAAUUGUAUUUUUGUUGUUGUUUGUGGGUAGUUCUCAAUUCAAUGAUGAGAUUUGAUCUUAAUUUCCUUCUUACUUCCAAGAAGUCUAAGUUAUUUUCGUUGUCUUUGUGUUAACUGUGAUUUCCAGCAAUCAACUUGAAAAAUAAAUGUGCCUAGUCUUGUCAAUGUGAAACUUGAGCAUGAUUUAGCGUUUCAUAUGUGAAUCAUGUGAGAUUAUGUAAACCUUGUGAGUUUUUUUAGUCUAUACAUGAUUGAACCAUUAUGCAUCAAUCUCAUUCCUUCUUGUGCGUAUGAUCUCACUGUACAUGUAUCUCUAGAACUUGCUUUAUAUUUCUCGAUUCAUUAAUCAAUUCAUGUAAUAACUUGGAAGUGAUAUAGGCCAUCUUUGGAUCGUUUGAGCCUUUCAUGCCUACCUUAUAUGUUAUGUGUGUCCGUAGUAGCCCGUUGAGCCUUUAACUAAGCCAUUUCUUUGUUAGCCACAUCUCUUUACCAUGCUCCGAUAUUGGAGUUGAGCCCAUACACAGAAAUCGAUUCCUAUUUGUUUUGAGAAAGUAUUACAUGGGUUGUGCUCUUGGGGGUUUCAUUUAUGUAGAAAGAUGGAUGGAGCAUGUGUAUUACAAUGAAAUGUGAAUUUGAUGGGUGAUGUAGCUUUUGCAUAUUUAUACAUAGCUUUGCAGAUUUGUUUCUUAAAAAAAAAAAAAAAGAAGAAGAAGAAAAAAAAAAGAAAAAGAAAAUUUGAGAGUGUUGAUUUGUUGAAAAUGUGUCUGCAGAGUAUAAAUUUCCUUUUGAAGUUGAAUUUGGGGAGUAACAAGUGCUCGAAGUUUUAUUAUUUUGCUUUCAAUUUGAGGUGGUGUGAUAUUGAGGUGUUGGAAAACUACUAAAGUGUACUUUCUCAAAAUUUUUGAUUUCCAUAUCCUUUCUUUCAUAUGCCUAUCACCUUUAGCCCCAUUACAACCGUAAUAAAGUCCUAUUGAUCCAAGGUAUUACUUAAAUAUUGAUAGCGAGUUAGGUGGACAAGCAAGCAUAUGGCGGCAUGUACAAUGAGAUCACUUGAGUGAAACACAUUAACCAAAACUUAUGAGUGAAUGAGCGUAUGUCUUGUGAGAAACUCACAUGUUUGCAUAUGAUGAUUUAAAGGAGCUUGGAAUUGCAUUGACUAGACUAGCUCACACAUGACAUUUCAAGUUUUGUUUGAAGGAAAUUUGGUUAACUAUUGGAUGAUGUAUUGAGCACUUGUUACUUACUUCUUGGCAGUGUAUUUCAUGGUUGGCACUUAUCUCUGAAAUCGAAUUUGAGAAGUUGCCUACUAAGUUGUUGAGUCAAGUCUUAGUUGAGUAGUUUUGUUUUGUUUUGUGUUUUGUUUUGCUAGAGGACUAGCAAAAAUGUAAGUUUGGGGGUAUUUAAUCACUCAUAUAUUUCAUGCAUUUAUACCAUCUAUUUCUAAAGUCUUUGUGAUGUUUUUGUGUUAAAAUGGUUGCAUUUUACCUUACCUUGUGUUAAUGUCCAGUUAAAUUUGCUUUAGGAUCAAUUUCAAGCAAAAAGGAGAAAAGAAAAUAAUAAAAACAAACAAAAGAAUUGGAAGUGAGGCUUGUCUUCCACUUGUGGCCUUAAUAACUUGGAAAAGAGGAGGGAACACACGGAAGUGGAAAAAAAAAAGAGAAAGGAAAAGGAAGGGGGAUUAUUCGGUUACCUAUAAAUAAUCAUCAUUUUAGUAGCCAUUGGUCUACCAUAAUUAAAUGAACAUAAUCCCACUAAGUUUCUCACAGAAUACUGACCCAAAAUUCAAAGUUGAAGAGAUCAUGUGAUGAGAACAAAUGAUGUCGCAGACCCAACAGAAAAGAUUGAAUAGAUUUUAAGCAUCAGUGAUAAGUCCACUAGCUAUUUUGGUUCAAUGCAGAUGGCUACACUCCUACUUUUUCCAUAAGCUUAAGCUAUUAGAAUGAAUUCUAUGUGUACGAAGGCUUGGACAAAGUGAAGAGCAACAGACGGACAGGAGAGCAGAAAAGAAGGAGAGGAAAAAGGAGAGAGUUGCAGGGAGAAGAAGAUGGCAGAAACAUAAGGGAGCCGCAGCUCCACAUGGAAGGAGGAGAAGGGCAGAUAGCUUCUUUGUAGAAAAAAGGGUUGUCUCUUUCUUUGUUUUUUUUUCAUGGAUAAUUUCUUAUGUAUUAAUACAAGUAUGUGUAACUAAUUUCUUUUCGCUAGAGUGAGGCCAUGAGCCGCAACAUGAAUACGUAGAUUUAUCUUUCAAUUGCUUAAGUGUUGUUACAUGCUUGCUUUGAUAUUUUCAAUCAUUGAAUUAAACUAUCUAUGUACCUUGAUGCUUGAUCACCAUUAGGAUGCUUAGAAAAGUUAUCGGAUGCAAUUUUGAACGAAUGUCACGUUAAAAUUGGUUGUGCUUCUUGUGAUUGAGGAUUGUACUCUCCUAAGGUAAAUAUCAUGCUCUUAGGGAUUACAUGGUUUAACAAAAGGAUUUUCACCAAGAUUAAUGAAUCAUUCAUGUUUAUAUUUAAUCCAAAUGUCAUGGAUAAGUUGCAUGUAGUGGUAUGUGUUUUAACUUGAAUGUCACAAGUAAAACAUACACAAGGAAAAUCCAACCUUCAAAGCAUGUGUAUUUUCAAUUAUUUAAGCAAUUGGAAUAGCUACGUAUGAGUGUUGUUGGUAAAGGUUGAACUCUAGCAUAUUGUCAAUCUAUUUUUCUUCAAUCAUUUAUUUUAUCUUGAAUUUCCUCAUUUACUUGUUUUGUUUAGUUGAAUCACUAUUCCUAUAAGCCAAUUCCCAUUUUAGAUAUUUGUUUAAGUCACAUCCAGUAGUAUUUAGUUUCGUCAAAUUAGUGUAGUUCUUAGAGUUAAAUAAGUUAAAUACACAAAAACUCGUAAAUUGUUUAUAUCAGUCCCUGAGGAGAUCGACCUUGCUUGAGCAAUUCUAUACUACAAACACUUGUUCUCUUGCAAGAAUUUUCUAUAGUUUAACCCUUGUUUUACAAGUGGAAAAAUCAUCAUCAUGCAACUUCUCACGUUUCUCCUUAGACUAUGGGUUUUUCUCUCACCUUAGGUUUUACCAUAGCGAGGUUUUGUGAGUUUUACUUUUUAUACAUUCUUCCGUUGAUUUGAGACUCGCAUUUGCUCAUUGUGCUAACAACUUCAUCAACUAUACUUGCUUCAUCACUGAAGACCAGAUGCGUCAUUUACUUGAGUAUUUACACACUCAAAGCGGAGUGUUGCAGUUCUAUUGGAAUAGGAAUGUGAUUGUGUAAAUCCUAGUAGAUAUGAGAAUGUAUUUUAUAUUUCUAUUCGGAGUAGAUUACCUAUUAUAUGUUGUAAUCCUAAAGGGAAAGGUUUUUACCUAUCCUACUACUAUAAAUAAAGACACAAUGGGGUGGAAUAGAACACACCCACAAUUACACAUAUCUCUCUUCUUCUCUCUAUGUGCCGCACCCCUUCUCUCUCGAUGGCUUCCAUAAUUGUUCAGUAAAUUAUGCCUAUAACAUAUAUGUAUAUAAUUAUAAUUUCUCAUCUUCUAGUAUACCAAAAGAAAACCAUAUAGUAGCACCUUCACAAUAAAUUUUCUAACUUACACUAGGCCGAUGAAUUUACUCACAACAAAAUAUUUUCUUCUUUAAACAGAGGGCAAUUUUGUUAUAUUUUGUCGAGUAUACUGCCGAUUUGCCCCCUGAACUAUCACCCAACUUUCGAUUUCCCCCCUGAACUUUUUAAUUGGAAAAUUAAGGACUUAAACUAAUUUUUUUGGCCGAUUUGCCCCCUGCUGUCAAUUUUUCAUUCAUUCCAUCCAAAUUUUUGUUAAAUAGAAGCAUAUGCACAACAUGUGUGGGUAGUUCGGUCGCUUCAUUCUUUAAAAUAAUUGAAAGCCUUAGAUUUCUAAAAUAUAAACCUAUGCAAAUAUGUGUGAUUCUAUAGCUUUUGUAUCUAAAGGUCUAGUGAAAUGACAUUUUUGUCCACAAAUGAGAGUUACGUGGUUUGCACAUGAUAAGAGUUAACAUUAAUUUGGAUGAAAUCUAUGAAAAACUAACUGUAGGGGGGAAAUUGGCCAAAAAAAAUUAGUUUAAGUCCUUAAUUUUCCAAUUAAAAAGUUCAGGGGGGAAAUUGAAAGUUGGGUGAUAGUUCAGGGGGCAAAUCAACAGUUUACUCUAUUUUGUCCCAUGCCAUGCCAUCAAUACUAAUUUCACAGGCUUGAGAAAUACGAGAGAGAAAUUUUCCAAAUUUCAGUUUUAGACUUAGUUUUAACUACGCCCAGUGGAGUUUGAUUUUCAUCUUACUAUGCUAUUGUAACUCAAAAAUCGUAAUUUUACUCCUGAAACUCAAAAUUAGCUCCACUUUACCCCUUGAGACUCGAUUUUGGAUCCCAUUUUACACCUUGAAACUUAAAAUUGUUAUUUUACUUUAUAAACCUCAAAAUUCGCUCUAUAUUACCUUAAUUUUGUUAUGUGAGAUGUUACUACACAGUGGAGAUUAAUUUUAUUUACUGUUGGUUUCAUUAUUUUACUAUAUAAAUUUUGAUUUUAAUAUUUUUUAUUUAUUAUAUAUUAACACAUAAUGAAGAUUUAUAAUCAGAGAUGGAUCUCACUCAAGACACUAUAGUUUUUUGAAUUUUAAAGUAUAAAAUAGUGACUUUCAAAAUUUCAGCAUGAUAAAAUAAGACCAAAAUUAAGUUAUAAGGUGGCUUCGUGUUUGUCCAACAUUUUGUUUUUUUCUUUGCAAUUUCAUCGAAGAAGUCGCUUUGGAAUCAUGAAAAGAAAAAACGCCAAAUCGUAGUUGCUUGUUAUUUCAACUUUUUGUAUUCUUUCCACCUUUCAACACACUUUCAUUUAUGUUACUCUGCCAUGCGUUGUCUGGGAUUGCAGGACGUUUCCAAGAAACGAUGCGGUAGAAUAAUUGAAGGCCGUCAGCUGUUUCCCAACCCUUUUUUAUGAGGACAAGGAUUGUCUGCCGUCCACUUCCGAUGUCCUUUUCGUGUCUUUUUAUUUUUUGUAAUCAUGGUUAAAUCACGUUAAUAUUUUAUAUUUUUUUUAUAGAUAUAAUAAGACAAAAAAUAUAAAAUGUUGACGUAACUUAACUGUGAUCAUACAAAUAAAAGGGCACGAAGAGGACAUCGAAAAUGGAGGAUAGACCAUCCCUAUCAUUUUUAUGGAUGUAUUUUUGCUCAACAUCUUCGAGUGAUGCUACGGAGACUCGCUCGUAAUGCAACUCUUCACCGAUUCACUAGACACGCAAGGAUUAUUUUAGAAUCUAUUGUGAUGUAUGGGUCCCACUAAUAAAAUAUAAAAAAUGAAGGUUAGAUUGAAAAACUAAGAUUUAAAUCCUCACCGGAUUCCUUCUUUAGGAAUCUAGGAAUCAACGCACGUUAACCGUUGGUAAAAAAUUAUAUAGAAAACUUCAUUUUAAUCCUUAAAAAAGAUAAGAUUUAGAUUAUAACCAUAUAUAAGAUUAAAAUCCAAUUUUAGUCCCUAGCACAUUUAAUCAUAUCAUUUAUUAGUUGUAUUUUGAUGUUUUAUUUUAUCUUUUUAUUUUUAUUUUAAUGUAUUAGUUACAUUUAAAUUUAAUUUAUAUUUCAUUCAUCAUAAUAUAUUUUAAUGUCUACAUUUAGGCAACUAAUUUUUUUUAUAAUAUAUAUUCCGAUAACAAUUUUGUAUGUUCUUCAUUUAGGUACAUUAAUACAUUUGAAUAUUUUGGUAUAUCCAUCGGUACAAACAUGUAGUUACAUUGAUUCAAUAUAAUGCAUUUUGGUCAAUAUAAUGUAUUUCGUUACAUACACUUUGGUACACAUAUUUGAGUAUUGACUUUUAGGUACAUUAAUUCAAUUAUUAUAUUUCGGUAAAUUCAUUUAGGUACAUACAUUUUGGUACUAAUAUUUAGCUACAUAUAUUUUUGGUAUUGAUAUUUAGGUAUAUACAUGUUGGUACAUACAUUUUAGUAUUAACAUUUAGCUACAUUAAUUCAAUAUAAUAUUUUUCGGUACAUACAUUUAGGUUCAUUAUAAUAUAUUUCGGUACAAUCAUGUCGGUACAAAUAUUUCAGUACAAAAAAGUCAAUUUUAUAUAUUUUGGCACAAUCAUUUCUGUACACUUAUGUAUUUAUAUAUUUUUGUAUCACAAAUUUCUUUUAAUAUUUUCUCAUUUACAUUCAUUUCUAAUUCAAAAAAACUAAAUAUGAGCAUAUUAAUAAAAUUAAAAUUUAAUAUGGAGAGAUUAAAUAAAAAUAAACAUUAAAUAACAAAAAUUGAAUGUAAAUUUUGAUAAAAGUACACUCAAGGGAUUAAAUUGAAUAUUUAAUCUAGCACCAGGUUUUUUUUUUUAAUUUUAAUCUUUUGCAAUGACUAAUGUUCAAAAACCCCAAAAUUAUAUGGCUCCAAUUAAAUGUUUUUUAUAUUUUUAAAAGUAAAAUAAUCUUGUUUUGCGUAAAAAAUGUAAGGCUUAAAUAUUAAAAUGGUCAAUGUGUUUUAGUCAUUAGGUCAAUCCAAUCCUUGUGUUUUCAAUUUGGCCAAGCUUGUCCUUGUAUUUAUCUUCGUUAGCCAAUUAAAGACAUUUUCAUCUAAUUUCAGUAAACUUUUUUUAUAAAUUAUGAUAAACUUAUUUAUAAAACUAUUUAUUUGAUUUAAAAUAUUUAAAAAUGAAAUAAAACUAAAAAUUUAAAGAAAAAUGAUUCUUCUUCCAAUUUUCCCACCUCCUCCCUAACAUUACCCUCUCUCUUUUCUAUGUCAAAACCUUAAUCAUUUUUCAGAUUGGAAGUUUUAUCUCUUAUAUGUGUUAUUUCUAAUUAAUUUGCAUUUUUAUGUAAAGAUAAAGGGUAAUAAUAUAUAAUAUAAUUGUUCUUAUGAUUUUUUUAAAAGAUAUUGAAUAAAAUGUCCUUAAUUGGCUAAAAGAGACAAACACGAGGACUAAAUUAGCCAAAUAAAAAACACGGAGACUAAAUUUUCCAUGUGACUAUAGCACAAGGAUCAUUUUGACAUUUAAGCCAGAAGGAAAAAAUUGUGGUCGCAUGAUUUUUUAUCAACGGUCUACAUGCGUUGAUCCCUAAGAUCCCCAGGGAGGGGAUCCGGCGAGGAUCCAAAUCCGAAAAAUUGUAUCUUUUGCCAUUUCCUUCUUCUGUGUCUUCCUCACCUCUCAAACGAUAAAUUUUGUUAGAUUAGAUGUUAGAUUAGUCAUUGUCAAAGUUCGACUCACGCCAUAAUUAUUUUCUCUAAUUGAGCUCUUGAAGUAUUUUUGUAUAAAACUAUAACGAAUAUUAUACAUUAGUAGUUGAUUGGCCUAAUUGGAUUAAUAGUUUCUGUAGUGAUAUGAUAGUUGGAAGAUAGCCUAUGUGGGGAAAAAAACUAGGAUUUAAGCCUAUGUGGUAAAGUCUAUUAGGAUUUAUGCCUAAAAUUGAAAGUUUUGUCAACUUUAUGUUAAUUAUUAGCACGUUCCACACAUGUUAGGCUAAAACGGAACUCUCCAUACACAUACUAAGCUAAAACGGACGUGCUAAUAAAUAACAAAAAGUUAACAGAAUUUUCAAUUUUAGGCAUAAAUCGUAACAAACUUUACCACAUGAGCUUAAAUCCUAGGUUUCGGUUUUAGACUUAGUUUGUAGCUACACCUAGUGGAGUUUGAUUUUAAUUUUAUUAUGCUAUUGUAACUCAAAAGUCACAACUUUACUCCUGAAACUCAAAAUUCGCUCUACUUUGCCCCUUGAGACUCUAUUUUGGAUCCCAUUUUGCUCAUUGAAACUUAAAAUUGUCAUUUUACUUUAUAAACUUUAAAAUUCGCUCCAUAUUACCUUAAUUUUGUUAAUUUUGUUAUGUGAGAUGUUACUGCACAGUGGAGAUUAAUUUUAUUUACUGUUGGUUUCAUUAUUUUACGCUAUAAAACCCGAUUUUAAUAUUUUUAUUUAUUGUUGUUAACAUAUAGUCAAGAUUUAUAAUCAAAUUUAUUGACACAUGUAGCGUAGUUUUAUUCAGGAAUGGAUCUCACUCAAGAGACUAUUGAGGUUUUUGAAUUUUAAAGUAUAAAAUAGCGACUUUCAAAAUUUCAGCAUGAUAAAAUAAGAUCAAAAUUAAGUUAUAAGGUGGCUUCGUGUUUGUCCAACAUUUUGUUUUUUCUCUGCAAUUUCAUCGAAGUCGCUUUGGAAUCAUGAAAAGACAAAACGGCAAAUGGUAGUUGCUUGUUAUUUUAACUUUUUGUAUUCUUUGCACCUUUCAAUACGCUUUCAUUUAUUUUACUCUGCCAUGCGUUGACUGGGAUUGCAGGACGUUUCCAAGAAACAAUGCGGUAGAAAAAUUGAAGGCCGUCAGCUGUUUCCCAACGGAUGUAUUUUUGCUCAGCAUCUUCAAGUGAUGCUACGGAGACUCGCUCGUAAAGCAAGUCUUCACCGAUUCACUAGACACGCAAGGAUUAUUUUAGAGGACAAGGAUUGUCUGCCCUUCAUUUUCAUGUCUUCUUUAUGUCUUUCUAUUUAUGUGGUCACGGUUAAGUUACGUCAACAUUUUAUAUUACUAUUCAUUUUUGUCUUAUUAUAUAUAUAAAAAAAAUAAUAUAAAAUGUUGAAUUAGCUUAACCAUUAUCACACAAAACAGAAUGGCACGGGAAGGGAACCGAAAGUGAAGGGCAGACAAAAUGUGUUGUGAUGUAUGGGUCCCACUAAUAAAAAAAAAAUGAAGGUUAGAAUUGAAAAACUGUAUCUUCUGCCGUUUCAUUCUUCUGUGUCUUCCUCACAUUUUAAAAGAUAAAUUUUAUUAGAUUAGAUGUUAAAUUAGUCAUUAUCAGAGUUCGAAUCACGCCAUCAUACUUUUCUCUAAUUGAGCUCUUGAAGUAUUUUUGUAUAAAACUAUAACGAAUAUUAUACAUUAGAAUAGAUAGUUGAUACGCCUAAUUGGAUUAAUAGUUUCUAUGGUGAUAGAGUAGUUGGAAGAUAGUCAUGUGGUGAAAAAAACUAGGAUUUAAUCCCCUAUGGUAAAGUCUAUUAGGAUUUAUGCUCAAAAUUGAGAAUUAUGUCAAAUUUCUGUUAAUUAUUAUCACGUGCCACACAUAUUAGGCUAAAACGGAACUCUUUAUACACAUACUAAGCUAAAACGGACGUGCUAAUAAUUAACAUAAAGUUAAUAGAAUUUUCAAUUUUGGGCAUAAAUCGUAACAAACUCUACCACAUGAGCUUAAAUCCUAAUUCUUUUCUACGGAGGUUAUCUUCCAACUGUCAUUUCACCACGGAAACUAUUAAUCCAAUUAAGCCUAGUUGAUAUUUCCAAUAAAAAGAGAGAUGAUUUUAUUAAUCAACAUUGAAGGUUUUGUGUAUAUUCUAUGAAGGCAUAAGGGAAUUAUACUAUAGUCUCCUCACAAAAAAUUCUUAGCUCUAUCAUUUUUCGUUUACCUAUAAUUCACACGGACGGGAUCAAUUUAUUAAGGGAUAUAUGAAACACGUAAAUGAGAUAAAUUCAUAUGUGCAUUAAACAUGACAUAGUCAAUGUGCAAUUUAAAUUUAAGAAAAGAAAAUUAUACUUACAAGACAUGAAAAAUUUGUUAAUCAACGUUGAAAUUUUUGUGCAUAUUCUAUGAAAAAAAAUAUGGAAAUUAUACUAUCAUCUCCUCAUAAGAAAUUCUCAACUAUGUCAUUUUUCGUGAAUUUGUGAUACACUCUAAAUGAGAUGGAUUCUUCAAUAAACUUUUGAUAAACAUAACUGAGACAUAUUCAUAAGUUUAUUAAAAAUGAUGAACCUCACUGAGUAGGCUAGAAUGCAAUUUUCUUGUGUUUUCAUAGCAUAUGCACAAAAAAUUAAUGUUGAAAAAUAAGUUUUUUUUAUAUAUAUAUUUUUAUGUAUAUAAGUAUAAUAUCCUUUUCAUCUUCUACUACAAGUUUUGUACAUAUUCUACAAUUUCAAAAAAAAAAAAUUAUAUGUAUAUAAGUUUAGUUUCUCAUUUUCUAGUAUACCAAAAGGAAACUAUAUAGUAGCAGUUCAUAAUAAAUUUUCUAACUAACUUACACUAGGCCUAUGGAUUUACUCGCAGCAAAACAUUUUGGACUUGGAUUCUCUGCCCUCCCAUUUCGGUGCCCUCCCCGUGUCCUCCUGUUUUGUGUGGUCACGGUUAAUACAUGCUAACAUUUUAUAUUGUUUUUUAUAAAAAUAAUAAGACAAAAAAAAUAGUAAUAUAAAAUAUUGACGUGGCUUAACCGUGACCACACAAACAAGAGGGCACGGGGAGGGCACCGAAUUAGGAGGGCAGAGAAUCCAAGUCCAAACAUUUUCACCCUUAGACAGAGGCAAUUUUGUUAUUUUUUGAAAAUUGAACCAUAAGGGCUUCUUCCUUAAUAAUAUUAGAUGAAUAUAAUAUUUUUCAUCUUCUAGUAUAAAUCGUGUGCAUAUUUUAUGAAACCAAAAAGAAAUCAAAUAGUAAUCUUCGAAAAUUUGAACAUACAUGUAAAAAGUAUUUUGAGCUACAUUAUUGCUAGCCCAUUGUGAAACUAAACUCAUUUCAUCUCCUUAGUAUAUAUAAUAUCAUUUGUUAAAAAAAAAUAUUGGUAUAAGGAAUGCUAACUCAUCUCAAGGUUAAGGACUUAAAGAGGGGGUCUUUGUCUUUUUUUAUUUUUUUUAACAGAUCGUUCAUAAAAAAUGAUUGCCGACAAUGAAAUUCAAACCAAACGCUUGAUCUAGCAAACAAAGCGAUCACUAUAAACCCCUAAAAUUAGAACAUUGUGUCCAUAAUAAUCAAUUGAAAUUUAGAGAGCGGAAAAUGCUACAGAGACUCACUCAAAAAUUGAAAUUUAAAUAACAAUUAAACUUAACAUUUUCUCUGUCUUUGCUCUACCUACCCAUAGGAAGUUCAGGAACGCAAAAGCAAAGUGCUUCUGAAAAUUCCAGUCGUUCAUGCCAACUCCGACCAUGAAAUUGGUAACCGUGGCUAAAAGUCGCAAACACACUAUGAAAAACUUCCCUAAAGCCCAGAUCUGAAUCUUGUAACCGGACAAAAAAAAGUGAAGUUUGAAUCGUAACAAAAAAGUUCAUAAUUUCCUUAACUUUGUCUUUUAGAAUUCGAUUUUUUUUAUUGCAUUGUGCUUCUUGAAAUUUAAAAAUUGUCAUUUUACUCUAUAAAACACAAAAUCUGCCUUACAUUGUCUUAAUUAUGUUAAUUCUAUUAUGUGAAAUGUUAAUGCAAGGUGGAAUUUAUUUUAUUUUCGUUUGAUUUUGUUAUUUUACUCUAUGAAACUCGAUUUUAUUAAAAAAAUUAACACAUAAUGUUGAAUUAUAAUCUAAUUCAAUGACACAUAUAGCAUAAUCUUAUUGAGGGGUGGGUCCCCUAUAUAUUUCACAAGGUGACCAUUGAUUUUCAGGGAGAAAGAAAAUUUAAAAGUUAAAAUAGAACAAAUUUUGAAUUUUAAAGAGAAAGAGAUGAUUUUUAAGUUAUACAGAACAACACAAGAUCAAAAUAUAGGGAACUUUAACAAAAAGCAUCCGGUACUGUUCACUUUAACGAAAAAUCAUAUUUUUACACUAAAAAAUCAAUCAUGGUACUAUUUAUUUUACCCUUUAUUUUGUCCUUAUCAUUAAAACUCAAAGUUUUCAAAUCUUUUUCAUUAGUUUCCUCAAAAUUUAAGGUAGGUGCGCGUUUGUUCAACAUUUUGCUUUUUCUUUACCAUUUCUUGGAAGUCGAUUUGGAAUCAUGAAAAUAAAAAAGGCCAAAAGUCAGUUGCGCGUUAUUUCAACCUUUUGUAUUCUCUGCACCUUUCAACACGCUUUCAUUUACUUUACUCGGCCUUGCAUUGACGCGGAUUGCAGGACGUUUCCAAGAAACGAUACGGUAGAAUCAUUGAAGGCUUUAGCUUUCCUUUUCUAUGGAUGUAUCUUUGCUCAACAUCUUCAAGUGAUACUACGGAGACUCGCUCAUAAACCAGGUCUCCAAAAGGCACGGUGCUUUUCUCUCCAGAGCUUCCUUCCUUCCUCUGUGUCUUCCUCACCCCCACCCUUUCUCCUCCCCACUCUCUCCCCUCUCCGAUGAAACCCAGAAGGCACUCUGCUUUUCUACACAGGAGGAUCGGUGAAGAAGAUGGAGAAGGAAGGAUGAAGUUUCGAGGGACCCGUCUGCAGAUGGAAAGACGGAGAGAGGAUUUUUAGUUUUUUAAUGAUUUUAAUAGUGGGGAAGUUGAAACACGUAUUUUAAUUCCAUCUGAAUUUGUGAGGAUUUCAAAAUUCACGUUCAAUUUCUUUAUUGUGAAUCGUACAAUCAGAUAUUAUUUUAAAUUUUUAUUAAAAUUAAAUACGGACAGAAAGUCCUGCGAAAUGACACGACAACUCUAACAAACGCACUAGAACUAUUAAAUAUGUUUGAUUAUUAUUUUCAAAUUCUUGAUUUUUAUUUAAUUUAACGUAUAUAGAGGGAAGGCUAUCCCAUUCCAAGUAAAUGGCAUAUUACAAGUUUUUUUGACGAUUUAUAAAGGGGUAUACUACAAGUUUUUCUGAAGAUUUAUAAAGGGGUAUAUUACAAGUUUCUUUGGAAUUUUGCAGAGCAUUCACCAAUAAGGUGUUUUUUUUUUUUAUCAAAUGAUAAAUUUGUUAGAUUAGAGAACCGACAUAAUUCGAAUUCAUACUAUGAUAUAUGAACAACACUUAUCUUCACCACUGUUAUAAAAUCCACUUAUUUCACUAAGAAAAGUUGUCGGAUGCGAAAUUCAAACUUGGAUUUUGGUCUAAUAAAUGUAGUUGAAUAUACUUUCCCUUAACACCCAAUUUUAUGCAUAUUCUUUGAAAAUGCAAGAAAAUUCUACUAGUCUUUUCACAAGAAAUUCCCAACGUUAUCAUUUACCGUCAACCCAUUAUUCACGCAAUUGAGUUUAAUUGCGUGUUUGUUCAACAUUUUGUUUUUUCUUUACCAUUUCUCCGAAGCGCUCUGGAAUCAUGAAAAGAGAGAAAAGGCCAAAUGGUAGUUGCGUGCUAUUUCAACUUUUUUGUAUUCUCUGCACCUUUCAACACGCGUUCAUUUAUUACGAUUGGGUGAUAUUACUCUACAUUCUAAAUAUUUAUUUAAUUUAAACUAUAGAGAGGGAGGCUACCGCAUAUUACAAGUUUUUUUUAGGACUUGCAGAUGGAGUUUUAGCAUAUAUUUUGAAUUUUACAGAUCGUUCAACAAGAAUAAUUGUAAGUUGCAAUAUUCGAACUUAGAUAUUGAUCUAAAGAAGAAAACAAUCAUUAUCAACUUUCAAAAUUAGAAUAACGCGUCUAUAAUAGUUAAUUGAAAUUUAUAAAAUUAUCUACAUAAAAUGAGGGUAGCAGAGAUGAAAAUGCUUUAUUGGAUGUGUAGGCACACGAGAAAUGAUAAGAUUAGGAAUGAUGAUAUUCAAUGUAAAGUAUGAGUAGUCGAAAUUAAAGAAAAAAUGAGAGAAAAUCAGUUACGGUGAUUUGGACAUAUGAAACGGAGAUCUAUUGAUACUCCAGUUAGAAUAUGCGAUUAUGAAAUAGAGUUUUAGGGCCAAAGGGGUAGAUGAAGAGACUAUAAAAAAAUACUUAAAGUACUUGAAUCUAACGGAAGACAUAAUACAGAAUCGAGCAUAAUUCGUAUAGCCGAUCUCAUUUAGUAAGAAAUUUUUUUAUGGGUAAAUUACAUAGUAGCCCAUCAAGUUUGAGGUCUAUUACAACCCCAUACAACAUUUUUAAAACAUUUCACUUUCAUACCUCACUUUCUAUUUUAUUUCAAAAUACAUUUUUAAAACAUUUCACUUUCAUACCUCAUGUUCUAUUUUAUUUCAAAAUAAUACAUCCGUUACAUUUUUCAUCCAUUGAUCCGUUAAGUGCUGACGUGGCUGUCAUAUUUAUGUCACAUGGCUACCAAAUGUGUGCCAUGUGGCAAAAAAAAAUAAUUUAAAAAAACAAAAAAACCCUAAUCUUCUAAAUAAAAAAAAAAAAAAAAAGGUUAGAAAAUCUAAAUCUCAUCACCCCACCCCUACCCCCAUACCUGAGCCUUAAGGAAAGAAGAAGAACCAGGAACAUGGAACCAUGAUCUUCUUCCAUCCGUCGUGCGCAUCCAUCCUCCACCUCCUCCUCUGCACCCAUCUCCACCUCCUUCGUGCACCCAUCUUCCGCUCCCCCAACCCGAGCCUAACCUGCAACCCAUAAAGAAGGAAGAAAAAAUAAAAUAAAAUAAAAUAAAAAACCCAGCGCACCCACCCUUCGCCUUAAAUCCACUCAUUGGGGAAGACGGGAUCUGGGUUGCAGGGAAAGGGAGAUGGGUUUUUAUUUUUUUUCUUUUCUUUUCUAGGUUGCAGGUAGUGGGUGCAGAGGAUAAGGUGGAGGAUGGGUGUACUGUGGGUUUGGGGAAGACAGGAGGGGGAAGAAAGGGGUGGGUUGCAAGGAGGGGGGGUUGGGGAGGAUGAAGAUGCGUGUUUAUUUAUUUUUAUUUUUAUUUUUUGCCUCUUCUCUUCUUCUUCUUAUGGGUUGCAAGUUGGGUGGAUGGGGGUUGCAGGUUCAGCUUUUGUUUUUUAUUUUUUUUGAUUUUUUGUAUUUUUUAGAAGAUUUAGGUUUUUUAAAAAAAAAAUUAAAAAAAAAUUGCCACUUAGUACAAAUGUGGCAGCCAUGUUAGCACUUAACGGAUCAGAUGGAAAAAGUAAUGGAGUUAUUAUUUUGAAAUAAAAUAAAAUGUGAGGUAUGAAAGUACAAUAUUUUAAAAAUGUUGUAUGAGGUUAUAAUAGAUCUCAAAUCUAAAGAAUUAUUAUGUAAUUUACCUUUUUUUUAUUGUUAUUCUUGUAGUUGCGUGUUACGUCAACUUUUUGUUUUCUCCCUACAAUUUCUUCGAAGUUGCGAAAUAUAAUGGAAUCAUAAACAAAGGAAAAAGACCAAGUCUUCGUUUACUUUGUUUAGGUCGCCCACGAGGGCCACUACCCCCUUUAUUAUUCUUAUUAUUGGUGCUGGUGGUUGUGGUUGUUGUCAGAUCGCAUUUCAAAUGAAUCUAUACGUUUUCUUUUACUUUACUCAGACGUGUGCGUGGGCUCAGAUUCCAAAGAAGUCUUUAUCUGAACCCACGCAUACCUAACCAUUUCAUACAAUUUACCGUAAAUUCUGUCCCUUUUUAUACAAUUUACUGUAAAAUUCCCCGUGUCUCUUUCUUACCUCGUUCGUUUAGGUAUAUAUAAACCUGUGCUAACAAUAUUAUUCAUCAGCCAAGAAGAGAUUCCGUAAGAGAAAAUAAAGUUUUGAGUCGUUUUAUUCACUUAAAUAUGUCUGUGGCUUCAGUCGGCGUGGGUGCCCUGAGAACGGCAUUUCAAAUGCUGUUUGAUGCGGUAAAAUCAGUGCAGGAGGAGACUACUAUGUUCAAGCACCUCCUCGGAGACAUCAAAUCCACACUGAACUCUCUGCAGCCACUCAUCCAAGAGAUUGAAAAAUAUAACUCGAAAGAGGGACUGGAAUAUUUUACAGUACAAAUGGAGAAGGGAGCAGAUCUUGUUCAAAAGUGCAGCAAAGUUGGCGUGUGGAAAAAAUGCAAAUACACCAAGAAGCUCCAUCAACUGGAAAAAUCUCUUCGAAGAGUGUUUGAUGAACUCAAACUGCAGGGCGUAAGGGAUGCGAGGGAGACGUUGGUUUCUCUCAGGAAUAUCGAGACGGCGUUCUCUCGAAUAGAAAAGAAUUUGGUGAUGAAAAGUAAUCAACCUGAAACGGUAAAUGUUCGUAUGCGGUGCCUGAACCCCCAUCCGUUACAGUCGGGUUGGAUUUGCCGUUGAGGGAGUUGAAGAUGAAGCUCCUUAAGGAUGAAAAGGUUUCGAUGCUUGUGCUUACAGCUGCUGGAGGAUGUGGGAAAACAACCUUGGCUAAAAAGUUUUGUCAAGAUCAAGAAGUCAAAGGUAUGCUAUCAAUGAUUUCAAUUUUUUUUUUUUGUGAAGUGUUAACUUCCUAGAUAGUUAAAAAAUUAUGUAGAUGAUGCAAUUUAGUAUUACGGUAUGGUGAUAUUUAUUUUUAUUGAUAAUUGAUAGGUUUUAAAUUAGAUUCUUGUUACAGACGAAUUUAAACUACAUUAUUGCUAACUUAUUGUAAGGUUAAAUCCAUCAGUUUAGAUUUUUCUAAAAAAGAAAAAACAUAUAGAGGAUUAGACGAGCAAAAGUAUGCACUAUGGCCAAGACCCCUAUAAAACGCCCGCUAGUCCCUCCAAGUAUCCACACCAACCCAAAUUUGUUCAAGAGAAUACAAUGUACAACGAAGGGGACAUGAAACUAAACCAUGCGAAAGCACAAAGCCGGUCCUUAAGGUAGUCUGUGCAGGUGCCGCCUAAGGCCCCACUUCGGAAGGAUCCCUAAAAAAUUUAUAUGUUGUGUAAAUAACAUAUAAAGAAAAAGUAAAAAAAUAUCAUAAUUCAUUUGUUGGUAUAGUGAAAAUAUUCAGCUGCCUUUUUCUUUGUGGUGGGAAUCGAAACAUAGAGUUGCCGUUUUAUGGUCACUAGUUUUUUCUUGUUUUUCAAAUUUACUCACAAUUCAUUUGUCCAAAUGCAUAUAAGGUAUAAAACUCAAGUCACUAUGCAUCUUUUUUUUUUUUUUUUUUUUUUUUUUUUCAAUUUCCCAAUCUCUUCAUUUCUAUAGAAUGUUUAAAUCAACUAUCACAUAGUCUUGAAGAUUGUACUUUAAGGUAAUAAAAAUUUUGAAUUAAUAUUUUGGUUUUUAAUAAUUUAUUAUUCAAUGAAGUAUUUCAAUAUCCGAUUCAUUAGUAUGAUGUUGUAGAAAAAACAAAAGAGAAACAAUUGACGUUGUUGAAUUUAUUAUACUCGUCAAUCAAGUUUUAUUGUUCUUUACUCUCCUGAUCAUCAAGUUUUAUUAUUUUUCACUCUCAAUCUUAAAACUUUUAGACUUCAAACAUUUAGUACAUUUGCGUUUAAAAAUGUGAGACGUGUAAUAUUUAAAUAAUGUUUGUAUAUCUAUUUUCUUUUGAUAUUAAUUUUUAGGGGCUUUUAAAUCCAGGUCCAAAAAUAUAGAUGGUUGUUAGGAGUGAGUCCAGUUAUCCAAUUACAUGCUUUUAUUUUUUUUUAUGCUCAUUUUAUAUUUGCUAAAAAUAUUAAAAAUCAAUUAAAAUCUUAUAAUAUUAUGUAUUUUCCAACUCCAAAAAAUCUAAUUAAUAUCUUAUAAUGAAAAAAAACUAACAUACUUAACAUAAAUCUAUCUGGUAAACAUUGUACCUGAACUCAAGUAACAAAUAUAUGAAGAGUGUUGAUAUUCUCACCCGGUGUCUUAUUUCCUCACCAUUUAACAAAAAUGUUAAUGACAUGUUUAACCUUUUUAACGAAGACUUUUAAACCUUAUUUAAUUAAUUACUAAAAUAUUUAAAAAAUUAUAAUAUAAAAUAAUAUAUAAAUAAUCAUGGGUGGGGUGUGAUAUCUGCAGUGGAGAGAGGCUGGGAAAGAUUUGGGCUACAAUGGGUAUAAAGGUUGGGAGAAGGAAUAGGUGUGUGCUAGAUGGAGGCGAGAAACUUCAAUGGAGUCUCUGCGGUGCGGUGAUAGGUGUGAGUACUAGGGUUUGACUCGGGGGAAAUGGAAUAUCGGUGAAAAUAGAGGGUGGGGAUCUGGAAAGAGAUCCGGGUGGUAUAUUUGAGUGGGAAGAGAUAUUGCGAAAGCGAUGCAAUGAUUUUAAUGACAUGCAUGAUUUGAAGGAGAUGAUGAAUGUCCAAGUUUGCAUUUUUUUUCUACUUCAGUUCUCCGUUUUUAUUUAUUUAUUUAAAUAUUAUUUAAAGAUAUAUUAGAGUUAUUUAAAACAAAACAUAUUAGGGUUAUUUUGAGAUUAAUGGUGGGUGGGAUUUACAUUUUACUUUUUUAACUUUUUGUGAUUGUGAGUGGGAAAAUAGGACAUUAGGGUGGGUCUAAUAGGACACUGGGUGGGAUUGUCAUUUUUAUGAAUGUGUAUUAUACUCAUAAGCGAGAUAUGAAAUCUAACUAAAAGGUUAAAAAAAUAAUAAUAUACAUAAAAGCAAGACAUAUUAAUCUGUGACGGGCUGAUUAUAAAAAAGAAUCUUUCAUAUAGGUGGAUAAAUAUUAUUAACCUGUGAUAUAUGUUGGUUAUAAAAAUUAAAAUUAAAAUUUAUAAAUGGGGUUUAAAGUAGGAGGAAAAACAAGAAAUAACAAAAAAAUAAUAAAAAGAAAUAAUCAAAGAGAUAAUUAGGAAGAAAUUUGAUUUUUAUAAUAAAUCUCAUCAUUGACGAGAUAAUUAUUAAUAAUUAAUAAUUAAAUAUAAGGAAUUGGACUUAUUUUAAUAAAUUGGACUAAUAUCAAGUUUUCCUUGACUUUUAAUGAUAUUUGAUGUGGAAAUAAUUUUUUUAUGUAUUUAGCGAAUUUUUUUUUUGUACAUAUAAAAAAUUGGGGGUCAAAGAACUUUAGGGUCCCACUUUGAAAGCUCGUCUAAGGCCCUCAAAAUCUCAGGUCCAGCCCUGUGAAAACAAAUUAAGAAAGUUCAUAAAUUCUUCUACAUAUAGCUUCAUCUCAGGGCACAAAUCUUGCAAUGAGCUCUUGCUUGACUACUUAAUUACUUGUUCUGAGAAUUGCAGACAUAUCUAGUCAACCUUUUUAUUAACCUCCGACAUUCUGUUUGGAUAGAUACAUUCAAGAACAAUAUCUUCUUUGUCAAUGUGUCGAAAAAGCCCAACUUGGACCUUAUUGUACAUGAACUAUAUCAACUGAAGGGGUUUGAGCCGCCUGUUUUCCAAAACGAAUUCAUGGCAGUUAACUGGUUGCAACAAUUUUUGAAGAAAGCAAGACACAAUCCUCUGUUGUUUGUCCUGGAUGACGUUUGGUCAGGAUCAGAGUCCCUUCUUGAUAAGUUUGAUCAAUUCAAGUUUUCAAAUUACAAAAUUUUGGUCACAUCAAGAUUUGCAUUUCCGAGAUUUGGUUCUCCAUACCAUUUGGCAUUAUUGAAUGAUGAGGAUGCAAUGGCUCUUUUUCACCAUUCAGCAUCCUCAGAGGAUAAGAGCUCUUAUACUUCCGAAGAUCUUUCAAGAAAGGUGAUUUCUUAGUCUGCAAUACACAUAUAUGCUUAUUUAUGCCUCAGAGAGUCAGAAGAGGGCAAAGAAAUAACGUUGAGCGUCCACGCAUGUCAACACAUCCAUUUACCGUCUUAUAAUAAGAAUGAAAGAGUAGACAGUUAAACAAUUUUAUCAUCUUUAUUGAAACAUUUAGAUGAUUUACAACAAUUUAAUCAAAUAAUAACUGAAUUCAUUCGGGAUAAUUAAAUUGCAGAUUAUGAAGCGCUGUAAGGGAUGGCCACUUGCCAUUGCAUUGGUCGGGAGGUCACUUCGCGGCCAGCCUUUAGAAAUCUGGCAGAAAAGAGUACUGGAAUGGAGCAAAGGUUCAUCUAUUCUUGAUACUGACAAGGAUUUGCUUGCUUGCCUCCAGAGCAGCUUAGAUGCCUUGGAUAAAGAAAAGACUAUGAUCAUGGAAUGUUUCCUCGAUCUAGGUUCAUUUCCCGAGGACCAAAGAAUCGCUGCUGCCACCCUCAUUGACAUGUGGGCGGAGUUAUAUGGUCUAGAAGAAGAAAUUCUGACCAUUGCCAACCUUCAUGGGCUCACCACCCGAAGUUUGGCAAACCUUGUUGUCACAAGGUAUGCACCCUACUCAUAAUUUUCUAUUCCAUUAUGUAUACCAAACAAAUCAUAAAAGAAAUUAUUAUUGAUCAUCCAGGCGUGAGAGGGAGGCGGACGGCUAUUACACCGAAGACUUUGUCACCCAGCAUCACAUGCUUAGAGAGUUGGCGAUCCAUCAGGCGAUUCAAGACCCAAUAGAACAGAGGAAAAGGCUAGUUAUAAACAUAUGUGGGGACAACCUUCCUAAGUGGUUGACAGAACAAAAGUAUCAAGCGUCCAAGGCUCGACUAUUAUCUAUCUCAACAGGUUCCAUCAAUCUCUAUAGUAAAUACGUCAUUGUUAUCUAUAUAGUAAAUACUUAUACGUGCACACAAGUAUGUGUGCAUGGACACGCUUGUGUGCACACACACUCGCUCAUUCAUAUUAAGACCUCAAUAGGACUUCAGAACAUUUAAUUUCAACCCACACUAACAUCUUAAAGCUUAUGGUUUGCAGAUGGAGCCUUCUCAGCAAAAUGGCCAAACAUGCAAGUACCUGAAGCAGAGGUUCUAGUUUUGAAUUUUCAAACAAAGAACUAUGCCUUACCUCAGUUCGUGGAGAAAAUGGAUAAACUAAAGGUUCUAAUAAUCACAAAUUACGGUUUGUCACCUGCUGGACUAGAUAAUUUUGAACUACUUGGUUCAUUAUCAAAUCUUAAGAGAAUUAGAUUAGAACGUAUUUCAAUUCCCACCAUAAGCAAGGUCCUCAAACCGUUGAAAAGUUUGCAAAAGAUAUCAUUUUUCAUGUGUGAUAUCGGUCAAGGUUUCAACAACUGUUCCAUUUCAAUCACAUCAGCAUUCCCGAAUCUUGAAGAAAUGAACAUCGACUUUUGCAGUGAUUUAAUUGAAUUGCCUUCCAAGCUUUGUGAUCUUAGUAAACUAAAGAAGCUCAGUAUUACUAACUGUCAUAAGCUAUCUGCCUUGCCUGAAGGGAUUGGAAAGUUGGAAAAUUUAGAAAUGUUGAGGCUAAGAUCCUGCACAGAACUGUCGAAGCUUCCAAUUUCGAUGAAGAACCUUGGAAAGGUAAAAUUUCUUGAUAUAUCUGAUUGCUUUGGCAUCAAGGUGUUGCCCAAAGACAUUGGUGAAAUGAGUGGUUUAAGAAAGAUCAAUAUGAGACAAUGCUCAAAGUUGCAAGAGCUGCCUCCAUCAGUCAUGGAUCUUGAGCAGUUAGAGGAAGUGGUCUGUGAUGAACAGACAAAAUGUUUAUGGGAAUCUUUCUUGUCGUGUCUCAACAACGUAAGGAUAAUUGUGGCGAAAGAGAAUAUCAACCCAAAUUGGCUCCAAAAGACUCAGUUCUGACACGUGUUUCCUCAAUGAACGUUGCUCUUAAACCUCUGUGUGGUUUGCGUUUUUUAUGGGACAUUUUAAACUAUGAUGUUUAGAAACCUUGGAUACUGUCCAGAAAAAUGGUUUGGUAGGAAACAAAGGAAAUGUUGUGAUCCAAAAUCAAGAAGGAUUUCAUGAUUUGGGUCAGUUCCUGAACCUCCAAUGUUACAGUUGGAUUGGAUGAGCCUUUGAGGGAGUUGAAGAAGAUGGGAAAACCACAUUGGCAAUGAAGUUAUGUCAAGAUGAGGAAGUCAAAGGUAUGAUAAUACUUUCUAAUUGCUUUUUAUAUUCUGAAAUUCCAUAUCCCCACUGAGGAAAGUGCCUAACCAAACCAGAAGGGUUAUAGUAGAAUUAAUCUGCAAUUUUGACAUCUUUUUCUCUCAAUUAGAACUAGUAGUAUGUUAUAGAUGUCAUUCGUUGAGUUGAAGCCUUUUGUACACUUAACAGCUUCGGUUAUAUAUAACAUCAAAGCUAAUCCAUAAAUGGAAUAUUUCAAAUGCUCAAAAAUCUUCUGAGAAAGAUUUAUUUCUCUCUAUGCAAUCCAAAACAAAUAUACUUAUCAAGGCUUCACAACAAAGUGUGGAAAAGAAAUUGUUUUGAUCUUUUACAAUAUGUAUGCACAUACAGAAGCAAACACCCAUUUUACCAUAAGAUUUUUCUUUAGAACUAAAACUGAAAUAAGAAUGAAGACGAGUAGGUAGUCAUUAACCAUUUUCACAAAACCCUUGAGAUGUUAAAAGAAACUUGAAAUUUCGGUAUGCAACUCAGAUGGUAAACCUGCAGAUACUAAACCUUUGUAAGGGAGUUCCGCUUGCCAUUACAGUGACCGGGAAAUCACUUUGUGGACAAGCUGCAGAAUUCUAGCGAUUCAAGACUAGCAGACUGUUGUAAAGGUUCUAUUCUUGAUUCUAAGACUGAGUUGCUUCUUCGCCUUCAAAGUAGCAUAGAUUCCUUAGAUGGCAAAGAGGCUAUCAUCAGGGAAUGUUUCACAGACCUUGUUUCAUUUCCUGAAGAUCAAAGAAUCUCUGCUGCUGCUUUCAUUAAUACGUGGGCAGAGUUAUAUAAGCUAGAUGAGGACUUUCUGUUCAUUAAGAACCUCCACAAACUCGCCACCAGAGGUCUGGCACAUCUUGUGAUCACUAGGAAAGCAAGCACAUGUAUAUGUACACACGCAAGUGCACAGACACACACGCUAAGAUUUGCACAUAAGUUUCAUUUAAUUUCUGUCCUACUCAUAUCUGGUAGCAUAUCGUUUGCAGAUGGAAAGUUCUCAACGCAAUGGCGGAGUGUUCAUCUACCACAAGUUUUGAGGUUCUAGUUUUGAAUUUUAAGACAGAGAACAACGCCUUACCUGAAUUUGUGCAGAAAUUUGACAAACUGAAGUUUCUAAUGGUCACAAACUAUGGUUUAAAUCAGAUUAGAGUGCAUUUCAAUUCAUUCCAUAACCAAGAACUUCGUUGCAUUGAAGAGUAAAGAAGAUAUCUUUAUUCAUGUGUAACAUGGGUCAAGCUUUCCGCAAUUGUUCCAUCAAAAUUUCAGAUGCCUGGCCAGGUAUAGAGGAAAUGAAUAUAGACUAUUGCCAUGAUUAGGUGGAACUGCCUACCGAGCUCUAUGAUCUUGUUCAUAUGAAGAUGCACAAUAUCACCAACUGUCAUAAGCUAUCUGCCUUGCCUGAAGAGAUCGGAAAGCUGGAGAAUUUUGAAGUAUUGAGACUAAGGUCUUGUACAGACUUGGUAAGGCUUCCGGUCUCUAUUGAGAACCUCACUAAGUUGUGCUGUCUUGACAAGUAUAAUUUUUUCGGCAUUAAGAAAUUGACUGAAGGCAUUGGUAAUAUGAGCGGUUUAAGAAAGAUCAACAUGGGACAACGCUCAAGAUUGAAAGAAUUUCCUCUGUCAGUGUGGGAUCUUCACGAGCAGUUCGAGGAAGUGACUUUGUGAUGAAGAGAAGAAGCGUUUGUAAUCCUUCAUAGCCAGAGACAAAAUCAAGGUGGCAAAAGAAAAAACCAAUCUGAAUUGGCUCGAAAAGCCUUAGCUGUUAGACCUGUCUUUCCUCGAUAAAUGUUGGAGCAGCGUUUUUCUGAUUUGUGUUGCACUGUUUUCUUUAAUUUGUAUUUUCUUGUUGGAUUUUCUUGUUUGAUUUCGUUCUUAGUUCUGUCUAAUUUCUAAGUUUCAUCACAUCAAUUUGUAAUCAAAUUUUCUUGAGUCUUAAGAAAUUAUGCGUUCUGAUGUUAUGGUUUUACCCAAUAUAAAUAAGGGAGUUUUAACGAAAAGCCCAACGGUACUGUUCACUUUAACGAAAAACUACAUUUUUACACUAAAAAGUUAAACCUGCUACUAUUCACUUUACCCUUUAUUUUUUCCUUAUUAUUAAAACUCAAAGUUUUCAAGCCAUUUUCAUUAGUUUUCUUUAUAAACAAUGUGUAUUAUAUUUUCUUGGAUUAUACAAAAAAUGUUUUUUUUUACUGCACCUAAUAUGUAAAUUAUGCAUUUAGUUAUAUUGACAAGUUUUCCUUUGUUGCUUCCAUGGAUGAUUAUAUAUUGAGAUAUUCUAAGUUGAGGUAUAUCAUAUUUUAAUUUAAUGACGUUGUUAUUGUUGAUAUCGUUGGUAGAUCAUCUGCAACCUUAGGUCAAAACCUAAAAUUUUUAACCCAGAAAAUUUAGAUUUUAACCCAAAAACAGCUUUGCUACUCAAACCCUUAUGGGUUAAAUUUUUAGCCCGAGAUUAAGAAUGAAUUUUGGCUAAUUUUUUUAAAAUAACUUUUAGAAAAAAAAAUUAAGUAGACUAUCAUAAUUUAAUUUUAAGAACAUUUUAACCUAAAAAUAUUUAGAUGAAAAAAAAAAAACUAAAUCGACACCAUGAAACUCAUGAACACUAUGAAAGAAUAUGAAACACAUGAUAGAGAUGUAUAAAACACAUGAAACACAUAUAAAACACAUGAAACACAUAUAAAACACAUGAUAAAGAUGUAUGACACACGAAACACAUACAAAAUACAUAUGAAACACAUGAAACACAAACCUACCCACACCAUAUUCUUCAAUCAUUCUCUAUAUAAGCAUAGGUUGAAUACCUAACCAUCACAUAACAUAUUCACCAAUCAUCCAUCUUUCAUAGUGUUUAUGUUUUCUCAAAAUCAUCCAACUUUCAUAGUGUUUUUAUUUCCUCGAAUUAUCAAUGUGUUAUAGAAAAAAGCGUAGCCUGACAUUGCAAAUGGCAAGUAAACAUUGCAGUUAAGGAAGAAGAAAUCAACAAUGAAGAAAUCGAAUUUGCAAACUCACUUAUGCAAAAUAGGCAACAUGCCAAAUCUAGCUUUCAUGGUUCUGUCACAAUUCGUUCAUUUGUGCAGCGUGACAGGGAAAAGUGCCAUGACCGGAUGAUAAAAGACUAUUUCAUUGAAUGUCUGAGAUAUCAUUCUCAUGAUUUUUGGAGGUGGUAUCGGAUGAGGAGAGAGCUUUUUAAAAGUAUUUUGAAUGCAGUUGCCCACCAUGACGACUACUUUGCAAUGAAGAUAGAUGUCUUAGGCUGACAGGUCUCACUGCUAUUGGGUGUUUUGCAACAUUGACAAAUAUUGUCGAUUUGUAAAGAUCACUGCUAUUGAGAACCUCAAGCACUUCUGUAAGACAAUUGAAGUCAUAUAUGGACAAACAUACCUCUGAAAGCCAAAUCGUGAAGACUUGAAGAGGUUUCUACGUAAGGCAAACAAAAGAGACUUCUCUGGAAUGAUAGGAAGUCUCAAUUGUAUGCAUUGGGAGUGGAAGAAUUGUCAAAUUUCUUGAGCAUGCCAAUUUAAAGGUCUUCACAACAAAACAACCAUUGUGAUUGAGGUUGUGACAUCUUACGACACUUGGAUUUGACAUGCAUUCUUCGACACCUUUGGAUCAAACAAUGAUAUCAAUGUUAUUUGGUCUUCUCCCUGUUUGAAGAUGUUGUCUAUGGAUGGCAACCGGAAUGGAGGUACAAGGUAAAUGAUAAUAGAUAUGAGCUAGGUUGCUACUGAACUGAUAAUAUUUAUCUUAGUUGGUCUACCUUUUGAAAAGUUAUUCUCGUUCCGAUAGUGCAAAGAUGAAAUUGUUUUUGUGGAAAUAAGAGUCUUACAGGAAAUAUGAGAGAGCGUUCGGAUCCUACAAACUCGAUGGGUCAUUGUUGGAGGGGUUGCACGAUUCUGGAGUAUGAAAGACCUCAAUUCAAUCAUGAUGACAUGCAUAAUUUUGCAUAACAUGAUUGUUGAAGAUGAAUACGUAGAAAUUGAAGAAGAUUCUGAUGAAGAUGUGGAUGGCGACCAACCAAUAUAUGCUAAGGCUAUGGCAAGAGACGUUGAAUAUCUCGCUGCAACCACAUACAAGACCUAAGAGGAUGGGGUCACACUGAGUGAGUACAUGAGAUGUCUUGCUAGAAGGAGAUUUGUUGAGCAUAUAUGGCAUUGAGAAGGAGAACGGUGAUGAUAAAAUGUAACAAAUGAUAAUUAAUAAACUUUGUUGGUACCACACAUAUUGGGCCUCAUUACCCAGCCCAUAAUUAUGUAAAAGGAGGAGCCCUUUAUUUUAUAAAAGGGGACUCCUCAUCCCUCACAAAUCAGACUUUGGGAUACUUCCAAAACAUACAAGUCUCAAACAACUCAGAGACAACACUCUGUUCCUAGAGGGACUCCCCUUGAGCUUGUAAUCCAUACAUACAGUUACAGAGAAAUACAAGCAACAUCAGUGUGGACGUAGCCCAAACAUUGGGGUGAACCACAAUACAUCUUUGUGUUCUUGGGCGAUUGCAUGAUUCACGGUCGGAUUUACGUUGUUCAAAGACCUUCCGUUUUGUGCAUCAACAAACUACAUAUAAAUUAAUGCAACAAUUACUAAUCGCAAUAAUAUUGACCAUCUUGACUUGUUGGUGGAUUUGAUGGUGAACUUGGGAUAUAUGCUUGAUAUGAAUUAUCAUCUUGAAAGAUACUCUUUGUGCCAUUCUUUCGCAUAAUUUCCUUUUGUUUAUCAUAGGAGAACUUCUUAAUAUUUGGAGUUUAUUUGUUGAGGUUUUCCCUCAUCAUAUCAAAAUCGAAUCUUUCUUGCUCCAUUUCCGAUUGCUUCUCAAAGGCCAAUCACAUUUGCAUCACUUCCUCCUCUCGAGAGUCUUGGCGUCUAGACAAUUUUGCAAACCGGAAGAAAUCGUUGCACCAAUUGGAUAUUGCAUCUUCCCUUUUCUCUUUGCUUAUUUUUGCUUAUUUCUUCCCGGAGGCCUUGGAAAAGAAGAAGUUGGGAUCCUUCAUUACCAACAUUUGUGCUUGCGUCUUCACUAGCAAAUAAUUUUUCUCGUUGUUGAUCCGCAUGGGUUCCUUAUCUCGGACAAUCCUUGAGGAUGUCCCAAGCAUGAUUCACCACUUCUACGGUGCUCCUUCCACUAGCCAUGUCAACCACAACUCUCUCAAAGCUUCCCUUCCAUAAAGUGCAAUUUUUGUUGAUAACCUUCCACCAAUAGUAAACACUCCCAACUUCCCCUUGAUUGGUAUUGGAGUUUUCAUUGAGCUUAUCAACAAUUUUAUCCCACAAAUCCUUUUUAAUUUGAUUCGUGUUAACGGCAUCAUCUUCGCUAAUACAAACUCAUGUCAAGCACAAAGCAACUUCUUCCUCAUUUUACCAAUUACGACCUCCAAUAUGAUCUUUUGUCAUCUUGAAAAUUUUGGAAAUGAUUUCAGAUGAUUGUAGAAAGAAAAAUUGGAAGAAUUGUAGGAGAAAAGUAAAUUUUGUGUGGAUGUUUAAACAAAUACGUAAGUAUUUAUAAAGUUUUUGGAUAAAUUUUGACUCAAAGAAUUUUUUUUUAAUUAUUUUAGCUGUUAGAUUCAAAUUUGAACCAUUGCAGUUUUUUAUUGUUGAAUUUGAUCAUAUUAAAUCUCAACUAUUGAAAUCAAUAAAUUUAUAAAUAUAAAACUAAAAAAUAAAAUAAAAUUUGAACUUGGACGGUUGUAUCAACCAACAAUCCAAUGAAUCAUUGUUGUUGGAUGAAAGAAAGAGUCGUUGGACUCAGCUGGGCACGCGUUUCGUGCGUGCGGCACGUCUCGGUUUACGCGGUUGGCCAAUUUAGGACGCGUCCACGCGCAUAUGUGAGACCCUCCAAGGGUUGGAAUGAAAAUAAAGAGGGGAAAUACAGGCUAAAUUUUGAGAUUUACCCCCAAAGAUUAGAGGGAGUGCAAUUAAGCUCUCUAUGCUGUUGUCGCCUUUCGAAACUUGCCUACACAAUUUAAUAGGAUAAGAAGAAAUACUUUCUGAGAAAAAUACAAUUGUGGUCGCCACCAUCUACCUGCAACAUGGUUGUUGGAUUAUCUCUUUCGCUCUCGCCACGAAGCUUCCCAGACAUGGUGAUGCAGUUUCCUGGUUAAUUUCCAAGUCUCCCUCCACACUCAAUCAGCUAUUGCUAAAGUCAACGCGCUCCAACUCCGAAAUUUCUAUCGAGCUUCGAAGUAAGUACUUCUAUGCCAACUCCCAGAUAGUUUGUUUAUCCUACCUUGCUUGAUCACCAACAACGUAAGAGAAUAUCCAACUCUGCAUUGCUUGUUUUCUGAAUCGCUUUAUUUUGGGUUCCAAGUUUCUAAUCUGUUAUUGUUUUGGGAAAGUGGCUCAAAUGGUCCGAAAUCAAAUCUCAAAUAUCGAAGACAUACUGAAAAACUGAUCAUUUCAGCAGCCAAUUUCCCUGUUAUUUUCUGUUGUCGUAAAUUUUAGAUUGAAACUUUUGUAAGUUUUUCUGAUUUUGGUGUUGGUUUUUGUUGUUAAGAAUCAAGGAAUGGGUGGUCUCGGGCUAGCAUUCAGUGUGACUGUAUGAUGUCCUCAAGGAGCUGAUCACCAAGAAUGUAAUGUUUACGCCCCUCCUCAAACGAAUCCAAUCCAAGUUACACCUUUUGACCCCAGUGUUGAAAAAUAUAGAAGAAUCCAACAAGAAAUUGGAUCUUCCGGUUGAGGAGCUGGAAAAGUUAAAAGUACAUUUGGAGGAGGGCAUACAGCUCCUUCCGAAGUGCGAAAAGACUCCAUGGUGGAGCGGAGCCAAAAGGUACAAAUACCACAACAAGCUGAUUGAAUGGGAUGAAUAUCCUCAACAACAUUUGGAAAUACUAAAAGUUCAGGGAAUAAGGGAUGUGAAGGACAUUGCAGUUACGGUGAAGAUUAUAGAGGAGGCGGUCGGAAGAAUUGAAUUGAAUCAGGUGAUCCCAAAACAACUCGAUUGUGAAGCCUUCUGCACAACAAGGAAUACAUAAAUACAAUUAGUUGGAAAAUAAGAUUUUGACACUCACCACUUCUACGACGCUCCUACCACUAGCCAUGUCAAUCACAACUCUCCCCACGCAUCCCUUCUAUAAAGUCCAUGCUUUGUUGAUAACCUUCCAUAGAUUGUAAACACUACCAACUUCUUUUCGGUUGGUAUUGGAGUUUUCAUUGAACUUAUUAACGACCUUAACCCACAAAACCUUUUCAAUUUGAUUCGCGUCAACGACACUAUCUUCGCUAAUACAAAUCCAUGGCAAAGCACAAAGUAACUUCUUCCUCAUUUUACCAAUUACGACUUCUAAUAUGAACUUUUACCGUCUUGAAAAAUUUGGAAAUUGGAAGAAAUGAUUUAGAAGGAUGGUAAAAAGAAAAACAGGAAGAAUUGUAGGAGAAAAGUGAAUUUUGUGUAGAUGUUUAAAUAAAUACAUAGGUAUUUAUAGAAUUUUUAGAUGAAUUUUGAUUUAAAGAUUUUUUUUUAAAAUUAUUUUAAUCUUUGAAUUUAAAUUUGUACCGUUUAGUUUUUUUUAACUUUAGAUUUGAUUAUAUUAAAUCUCAGCCGUUGAAAUCAAUGAUUUAUAAAUAUAAAAUAAAAAAAUAAAAUAAAAUUUGAUCUUGAAUCGUUGGAUCAACCAUCAAUCCAAUGAAUCACUGGCGUUGGAUGAAAGAAUGAGUAAUUGGGGUCAGUUGGGUGGCUGACGGACCCUUGUCCGCAGGAUCCUCCCGACUUGCACGCGUUCCGUGCGCGCGUGCGCGCGUUCCAAUUCACGGCUUGUCCACGCGCAUAUCCGUGUGGUGGCCGACCGUAAGUGCAAUUAGCUGCAAGUAGGAGGAAUUGUUAAAUAUUAGUCAUAUAUUGCUCAUUGGCUCUCUAUGCUGUUGUCGCCUUUCGAAACUUGCCUUCACAAUUUAAUACGAUAAGAAGCAAUACUUUCUGAGAAAGAUACAAUUCUGGUCGCCAUCUGCCUGCAAUAUGGUUGUUGGAUUAUCUCUUUCGCUCUCGCCACGAAGUUUCCCAGGCAUGGUGAUGCAGUUUCCUGGUUAAUUUCCAAGUCUCCCUCCACACUCAAUCGGCUAUUGCUAAAGUCAACGCGCUCCAACUCCGAAAUUUCUAUCGAGCUUCGAAGUAAGUAUUUCUAUGCCAACUCCCAGAUAGUUUGUUUAUCCUAUCUUGCUUGAUCACCAACAACGUAAGAGAAUAUCCAACUCUGUAUUGCUUGUUUUCUGAAUCGCUUUAUUUUGGGUUCCAAGUUUCUAAUCUGUUGUUGUUUUGGGAAAGUGGCUCAAAUGGUCCGAAAUCAAAUCUCAAAUAUCGAAGACAUACUGAAAAACUGAUCAUUUCAUCAGCCGAUUUCCCUGUUAUUUUCUGUUGUCGUAAAUUUUAGGUUGAAACUUUUGUAAGUUUUUCUGAUUUUGGUGUAGGUUUUUGUUGUUAAGAAUCAAGGAAUGAGUGGAGCAGGCAGCCUUUUCGGAGGGGCUGGUCUCGGAACACUAGUCAAUGCGCUGUACGAUGUCCUCAAGGAGCUGAUCACCAAGAAUGUAAUGUUUAAGCCCCUACUCAAAAACAUCAAAUUCAGGUUAGACUCUUUGGAACCAUUGUUGAAAGAUAUAGAAAGAUCCAACAAGAAAUUGGACCUGUCGGAUAAGGAACUGAGAAACUUGAAACUACAUUUGGAGGAGGGCAUACAUCUCGUCCAAAAGUGCAAAAAGAUUCGAUGGUGGAGCGUAUUAGUAUACAAAAGGUACAAGUACGCCAACAAGCUGAUUGAAUGGGAUGCAUCUCUUCAACGACUUUUGGACAUGCUAAAAGUUCAGGGAAUAAGGGAUGUGAAGGACAACGCGGUUACGGUGAAGAAUGUAGAGGAGGCGGUCAUCAGAAUUGAAUCGAAUAUGGUGAUACCAAAACAACCCGACAGUGAAGCUUGGUGUGCCGUACCUCAACUUCCGCCGCUCGUGGUUGGAUUGGAUUUUCCUCUAAAGGAACUGAAGAGGAAGCUUCUAAAGGACAAAAAUGUGUCAAUGGUUGUGCUGACUGCUCCUGGAGGAUGUGGGAAAACCACUUUGGCUACAAAGUUUUGUCAAGACAAGGAUAUCAAAGGUAUCAUAUAUUAUAAGUUAGCACUCUGAAUUGUUUAUGUUUUUUUACUUUGUACAACUAUGGCAGAUUUAAAUGACGCCUCAAUGACUGAUUUAUUAUGUUUUCUCUGGAUAGAUGCAUUCAAGGAUAACAUCUUCUUUGUCACGGUUUCAAAAAAGCCUAAAUUAGAAAAUAUUGUUCAAGAUCUUUAUAUCAACGCAAGGGUUUCCAAGCACCUACUUUCCAAAACGAAGUUAGUACAGCGACGUGGCUGCAACGUUUUCUGAAGGAAGAAGGGCAGAAUCCUUUACUGAUUGUCCUGGAUGAUGUUUGGCCUGGAUCAGAAUCCCUUGUGGAGAAGUUUGAUCAAUUCAAAACGGAAAAUUACAAGUUUUUGGUGACAUCUAGGUCUGAAUUUCGGGGAUAUGGUUCCCCUUAUUAUUUGCAAUCAUUGGAUCAUGACAAUGCGAUGAAACUUUUUCAUCAUUCAGCAUCCCUUGGAGAUAAGAGCUCUCAUAUUCCAAAAGAUCUUCCAGAAAAGGUACAUUUUAGUUGCAACGCACGUGUAUGGUAAAAAAUUAGUUGAUUUGGUUUUGGAGAAUUAUCAAGAAAUUAUGUUCACCUUACGCAAAGCAUCCACAAUUGAGCGAAUGAACACAUCCAUUUACCAUAUAAACCUGUGAGUAGUCAUGCAUCUAAGCAUACUUACUUGUCGACUAAAACUAAAAUUAGAAUACUGUAUAUAGUUAUUUAGCCAUUUUCUCUCAUCUUAGUAACUUGAAUUUUGGCUCUGCAACUUAAAAGUUAGUUGAUUUUGUUUUGGAAAAUUAUCCUGCAGAUAGUUGAGCGUUGCAAGGGAUUUCCACUUGCUAUUACAGUGGUGGGGAGAUCGCUUAGUGGGGAGCCUAUAGAGAUAUGGCAAAAAAGAGAACUUGAAUUGUCUAAAGGUUUUUCUAUUCUUGAUUCAGAGACUGAAUUGCUGCUCUGCCUUGAACGAAGCUUGGAUGCCUUAGAUAAAGAAAUCAUCAAGGAAUGUUUCUUAGACUUAGGUUCAUUUCCAGAAGACCAAAGAAUCGCUGCAGCUGCCCUUGUUGAUAUCUGGGCAGAGUUAUAUGAUGUAGAUACAGAUAUAGAGUGCAUUGCAAACAUCUACGAGCUCACCAAACGAAGUCUAGCUAAUCUUGUUGUCACAAGGUGUGCAUGUUUUAUUUUCUCUUGUAUGAUAUUUUCGCUCGAUUUUCCCCUUUAUUCAUGACCGAUUGAUCGAAGCUCUUCUAAGAAAAUUAGUUUUGAUCAUCACCAGGAAGGACAAGAUGGAGGGGGACGGGUAUUAUAGUGAGCACUUUGUUACCCAGCAUGAUGUUCUUAGGGAACUGGCCAUCUAUGACACAAAAAAAGGACCGGUAGAACAUAGAAAAAGACUGAUUAUUGACAUAUGUGGAGACAAACUUCCAAAAUGGUGGAGAGAACAGAAGCAGAUGAAGGCCCGCUUAUUAUCUAUAACAACUGGUUGUUCUAUCUCUCCCUUUCGCUUUAGCAAUUACGUAGACAUGCACAAAUAAAUAUUCAUUCCACACGCACGUGUGUGUGCACAUUAAGUCUUAAUAAUACUUUCAUUUAGUUUCUCCUCCCCACACUCACAGUUGUUACUUUGCAGAUGAAGGGUUUUCAACAAAAUGGCACAACUUGCAAAUGCCAGAAGCUGAGGUUUUAGUAUUGAAUUUACAGACAAAGAACUAUGCUUUACCCGAUUCCGUGGUGAACAUGGGUGAAUUGAAGGCUGUGAUAGUCACAAAUUAUGGUUUCUUACCAGCUGAAUUGAGUAACUUCCAACUUUUGAGUUCAUUACCAAAUCUUAAGAGAAUUAGAUUAGAACGCAUCUCAAUUCCUUCCAUAACCAAGAAUCCCAUUCAAUUGGUGAGUCUGAAGAAGAUAUCCAUGUUCAUGUGUAACAUUGGUCAAGCUUUCAACAACUGUUCCAUCUCAAUCUCAUCAGCAUUCCCGAAUCUCUAGAGGAAAUGAACAUCGACUAUUGCAGUGAUUUAAUUGAAUUGCCCGUGGAGGUUUGUGAUCUUAGUAAACUAAGGAAGCUCAAUGUUACUAACUGUCAUAAGCUAUCUGCCUUGCCUGAAGAGAUUGGAAAGUUGGAAAAUUUAGAACUGUUGAGGCUAAGAUCCUGCUCAGAACUGUCGAAGCUUCCAACCUCAAUGAAGAACCUUGGAAAGGCAAACUUUCUUGACAUAUCUGAUUGCUUCAGCAUCAAGGUGUUGCCCGAAGACAUUGGUGAAAUGAGUAGUUUAAGAAAGAUCAACAUGAGACAAUGCUCAAGGUUGCAAGAGCUGCCUCCAUCAGUCAUGGAUCUUGAGCAGUUAGAGGAAGUGGUCUGUGAUGAAGAGACAAAAUAUUUAUGGGAAGCCUUCUCACCGUUUCUCAGCAACGUAAGGAUAACUGUGGCCAAAGAGAAUAUGAACCUAAAUUGGCUCCACAAGACUCGGUUCUGAUCUUGUGUUUCCUCAGUGAACGCUGCUCUUCAAACUCUCUGUCGUUUGUGUUUUAAGUGUGUGAUGCAGAUCAGUUGGCCAGUGCAUUUAUUGAAUCAAUGGGAUAAAAUGAAUGACUAUAACUAAUCAGAAGAACUUAAUAACAGCCAUUAGUAGGUCCUAAUAAUAGC